rnacentral:lncRNA from 1 species
UUUUGUUAUUGAUGUUUUAAUUCAUUUGAAAUCAAAGUCGGAUUAUUCACGCGGUGACGAGAUUUAUUUACAUAAGUUUUGGGGGGCUUUUGCUUAUAUGCCUCUUAGGGCCCGUUUGGCCUAGCUUCUAGAAAAAUGAUUUCUGCAUAAAUGAUUUUAGUUUGGAAAGUGAUUUCUGUUAAAAACUGUAGAGCGGUUGGCUGAGUCUGAUAGAAAAGUGAUUGUGCUGAAGUGAUUUUAGAAAGCUGUUUGGCAAAUUUUUUUGCUAAAGUGAUUUUGUAAUGCUGUUUAACAUUAGUUAUUUUUUAAAACUAACUAAUAUCACAUACCAAUAUUUCAAGUUAUUAAUAAUUAUUUAAUAUAACAAAACCAUCUUAAUGAUAAAUAUCCAUUAGGAUAACAAUUUAUCUAAAUGUACUCAUCAAUGAUGCAGCAAUACGAUCACGAGUUUGGAUCAUGAUGUAAUCAUCUGUUACUCCACUAUAAGUCUGUGUCGAACUACUUGUACUGCUUUCAUCUUCUUCAAUGUUCGGCAUAUAAUUUAUAUCUUGAUCACAUUUGUUGAACUCUUCAUCUUGCGUUGAACUCAUCCUAAUAAAGUUAUGAAGUGUCAUAGUUGCAGACACUAUUUUUGAUUGAGUUGGCACUGGAUAACCUUGCAUCAUUUGUAAUAUACGCCACCGUGCUUUAAGUACACCAAAUGAUCGUUCAAUAACAUUCCUCAAGGAUGAAUGUGCAUGAUUAAACACUUCUUUACUAUAUACGUACUAUUGAAAAAUUUUAAAUUUAUCCUUCGAUAUUCAAAAUACAUUUUCUUAAUUAAAAUAUUUUUUUUUUAUUUAUUCAUUCUAAAAUUUAUAACUCUAAUUUCUUAAUUAUCACGUGUCUUUAUAUUAUGAAUUUUUUUAUUUUAAAACUUUAAAUAUUUUUAUUGUAUGUUAUAAUAUUUUAAAUAAUGAGUUAUGUUACGCUUUUAAAACACAGACAUAUGUGUGUGUGUCUGCCGUGUGUGUGUUUGUGCGCGUACGUGUGCCCACUCGCCCACCUGCGGGGGAGUAUGGAUAAAGAUGUUAGCUAUUUAAAAAUUUACGAAUAAAUUUUAUUCAUGCUCAAAUAAUCUGCUGAGUAUAAUUACCCAUCCGCAAGUUAUCCAAUCCGCCGAUUUACCAGAUCUAGCUAGUCACUCUCACUGGGUAGGGAAGUUAGGCAAACUAACUGGCCAAACAAAAAAGCCGCAGCAUUUGAUUCUACACUUUGCUUUUUGCCGGUCCUCUUUCUUUAAUAAAGAUUUGUUCACUUUACAUGAUCAUGAUUUUGCAAAAGGUUCUUCCCAUGACGACGCCGAUGAUUAAUUAAGAUUGAUUGUGACAAUGUUUAGUGACCUAUCACACACGAAAAAACAAUCUCUUUGUGCAGAAAUAGUUUGGUACAAUCAAAUUGAAAGGGUUCGACAACCGGUGCUCUCAAAUGCUAUUUUCAGGAGUUGCUGAUACGUCACAUCAUAGAUUAAUUUAUACAGUAUAGACUAGUACAUAACGGAACAAAAAGUAUUUUUCAUGCUGAAAAAAAUAAUUUUCAAGGUUCAAAUUUACUGGACUUCGUGUAGAAAAAAAUUGUUGGUGAAAAUUUCAAAAAUUUUCCAAUAAUUAUUUUACUUUUUAAUUCAUUAAUUUAUUAUUUUUAUUAUUAAUUAACUUAAGUUUUUAUUAUUGCGGACGUUUUGGCUUGCGCCUCGCGUGCACCGUUACGCGCGCUCCCACUCCGCUCGCGCGCACGCACGAGAAGCGGACGACCGUUCCACAGGCGGGCGUUCAAGUCUCCCAACGUUCCACUGUGUAACGAUCGAUCUUUGACCCUCUAUUCAUUAUAAAAGGGCUUCACUGUUCAUCAGUUCAUGGUGACAAUGAGAAAGCAAUUUUGAGAGAGAAAGAGAAAAGACUAUUACGAGUUGUUUAAUUUUUUCUAUUGUUUUAAUCCAUUUGAUUUGAUUCGUUUAUCAUCGGGUGUUGAAAGAGUCUCCGUCAACCUCUUCCGCGUUCGUGCUCGUAGGAGGAGGAAUUCCGGUCGUAUCUUGGGGCGGUGUUUCGGGUUAAUCCCGCACGAAAGACAGGAAUACGCCUUAGGGCAGUGCUUCGCACGCUUCCGGAUCAAUUAAAAUCAUUAUUUGGAUAUUUGCGUUUAUCUGUAAGUUGAUUUAUUUAUUUUCAUAAUAAAAUUUAGUUAGAUUUAAAUCACACUCAGAUUUUUUGUGUGGUAUUUGUUCUAACAAAAGUUUGGUAUAAUCAAAUGGAAAGGGUUCGACUAGGAGUGCACUCAAUUGAUAUUUUCGGGAGCUGCUGAUGUGUCAUAUGUAGAUUGAUUUUGUGUAUCAUCGACUAGCACGUAGAAGGUGCAAAAAAUAUUUUUCCUACUAAAAAACAUAAUUUUUAAGGUUUAAAUUUGCUGGUGACCUUGCGUAGAAAAAGUUGGUAUAAUGAAAAAAAAGGGGCACCACUAUGGGUGCUCCCAAAUGCUAUUUUUAGGAGCUACUGAUGCAUCACAUGUAGGGGUGGAAUACGAGCAGGAUUUUUCAGCUCGUUUAAUAAACGAGCCGAAUAUGAGCUAGGGUCAGCUCGCUCGUGUUCGGCUCGAUAACAGCUCGAAUACAUAUAUUUUAUAUUUAUAUAAUUUAUUUAAUUUAUAUUUUUAUAUAUAAAUAAAUAAUUAUAUAUAAUAUAUAUUUUUAUUAUUUAAGUUUUAACAAAAUAAAAAUAUAAAUACGAGCUUAAUUAUAAAAAGACUCAUUUAUAUGUAAAAUUUCAACUAUUAGAUAAAAGUCUAAUGGAUAAGGUUUUAUAAAUUUAUUUUUUAUAUAUAUUUAAUCUAAUCUUUUUUAAUUUAUUAUUCGUUGGCCAGCUCGUGUUCGGAGCCGAACACGAGCCGACCCCAGCUCGCUCGUGUUCGGCUCGUUUACACCCCUAAUCACAUGUAGAUUGGUUUGUGCAGCAUAGACUAACAUGUAAAAGGUACAAAAAGUAUUUUUCAUACUGAAAAUAGAAUUUUCAAUGUUUAAGUUUUGUUGGACUUUGCGGAGAAAAAGCUUAGCAUAUCAAACGAAAGGGUGGGGACUAUGAGUGCUCUCAAAUGCUAUUUUCAGAAGCUGCUGAUGUGUCACAUGUAAAUUGAUUUUAGAGAAAAUUUCAAAAACCACUACUUUGGUUUCACACUUUCUAACUGUAGUACCUUAUGGUUUAAAGUAUAUCAGUUUAGUGUCUUGUGGUUUUUUUUUUAUCUUUUUAUUAUCAAUUUCAUUAAUUUUUUUCGUUAAAUCAGUGACAAAGUUAAAACUAAAGGGUGCUAAAGUAAAUAUUCGAUAAGUCUAGAUUGGUAUCUGAAGUUUUUCAUAUAUAAUUUAACGAAAUAUUAACGGAAAAGCUAACGAAAAGAUAAAAAUAAAAUCAUAUGACACUAGCUUGAUACAUUUUAAAUUACAUGAUACUAAAAAAAGAAAGUACGAAACCACAAAAAUGGUAUUUGAAGUUUAUUCUUGAUUUUACGUAGUAUAGACGAGCAUGUAAAAGGUGUAUGGGUAGUUAAUUUAGUUUUUAAUUUUUUUAGCGAUAUAUGAAUAGGCACGCUCUAACUCUUAUAGGGAUGCAAACGGGGCGGAUCCGGGGGCGGGAGAGUUCCCCCACCUCCCGCUCCAUUUCUUAUCUGGGCCGGGCGGAUUCGGGGCGGGUUACUUUUCAUUUUAUUUUUGGCUCCCACUUACCACUCCAUUCGGGGCGGAUCGGGGCGGGAGCGGAUUUUUAACGGAUCGAGGUAGAUUGAAGGAAGAAAAGAGUCUCCCGCCUCCCGCUCCAUUUACUUGGCGGAUCGGGGCGGAUUCAGGACGGGUUAUAUUUUUCUAUAUUUUUUGUUCCCACCUACCACCCCAUUCGGGGCGGAUCGGGGCGGAGCUCCACCAACCCGGAUCCAUUUGCAUCCCUAAACUCUUAGACUUUUGACAAAUCACCCCCUGAACUUUUAAGUUUGGCAAUCAGAUUCAUAACUUUAUCAAAUAAUUCACUUGGCUUAUUCUGUCAAGCAAAUUGAGUUACUAUUAAACAACUGUGCUAGAAGCAUGUCUUGUAGAUAUCUCAUGAAUACUUCUUUUCUUUUCACAAAUAAAAUAAAAUAUAAAUUUUAAAGAAUAAGUCGAAUCUAUCUUCCAUUUUUAUUUUUUUUUUCCAAGCAGUAUAACAAAAAAGAUAGGUUUUAAUAAUAUGCAAAACAUUUGCCAAGAAUGGAUAUUUAGUCAGUAAGUUCUCUAAAAAAAUAUGACCUUUUAAAUUAUUGGAUAAAGUUUAUAUUAAAUAUAAAAAUAUUUAAACACCGUUCUCUAAUAGGUUAAGCUUUUAGAGUACAACAGUUGUUUCACAUGAUAUCAGAGUAGGAGAUCGUGAGUUUAAGUCAUGCCAGACUCCUGGCAUAUUAAUUUUCUCUCAUUUAAUUCAAGCCCACGUCAUUAACCGACUAAAAAAUGUCGAGUCCAGACGUGAAUUCUCAAAAUUACUAAUUUAUAUACGUAUUUGCGAACGCUUGAAAGUUUUAGAGGGUGUGUUUGUAUAUUUUUUCCUUCUUUUUAAGUUGUUUUCUUUUUCUUUUUCUUUUUCUUUUUUUUGCAUAUCCUUAAUGUUAGUUUCACAUCCAAAUUUCCAUUUUUUUUUUAUUUUGCAACAAAUAAUCAACUUUUUCAUAUUUCACUUUACAUGGGCCACAUGCUUGAGAGAGAGAGAGAGAGAGAGAGAGAGAGAGAGUACAAAUGGAAACCAAACUCUUGUGGCAACUAGGGCUGGCAAACGAGCGAGCCGGCUCGCGUUCGACUCGUGUUCGGCUCGAUAUUUGGCUCGCUCGAGCUCGACUCGAAAUUAAAUGAGCCGAGCUUGAACAAAAUAAAAGGCUCGAAAUUCAUUUCAAGCCGAGCUUGAGUAUUACUCAGCUCGUUCGAAUUAGGCUCGAAAAGCUCGAAAAGCUCGAAUAUAUAUAUAUAUAUAAUGUAUUUUAAUUAUAUAUAGGCUUUAAUUUAAUUUGGGCCAUUAUUGUUGGCCGAUAAAAUAAACCCAACAAGUACAACCGUGCAAUUGAGCCCAACUCUAAAUUUACAUAACACACUUCUUUUUUCGGACUUGGGUCACUGUUGCACAUAACCAUCAAAGUGAUACAUUCAAUUUUUCACAAUCCCUUACUUUUUUUUUCUCUCUCUCUCUCUCUCUCUCUCUCCUCUCUCUCUCUCUCUCUCUCUCUAGACCUAUAUCUUAGUCAAGAAGUCACCCUAGCACUUCAAUUUCUUAUAAUUAAAUUUGUUUUUUGAACUAUUGGACAUUUGCACUCAAAUUGUAGGCUUACGAUUGUUCUUAUAAAAAAUUAAAUUGAUUGAUUAUAUAUAGUUGAAAUAUUCAAUCGGGUCGUGUUGAAGCUCGAGGCUUCGGCUUCGACUCGAAAUUAGCGCUCUCGCUUCAGCUCGGCUCGAAUUAAUUAAGCCGAGCUUUUCGAGCCUACAUUUAUGGCUCGAAUUAAUUUACAAGCCGAUUUGGAGCUAGACAUUAAGCUCGCUCGAGCUCGGGUUCGUUUCCACCCUAGUGGCAAACCCAUGUGGGGAUUUGGCGGCAACUAAUCAUAUAAAUAUUUCUUUAAUUUAAACAUACAUAUUCAAAAUUUUUAUUUAUAAACUUAGACUUAAGGCAGUUAUAUAUAUUAUAUAUAUAUAUAUAUAUAAUAUAUUAUAAAUUUGAAGCUCCAAAAAUAUAUAAUUAUAUAUAUAUAUAUAUUUGCACUUUCUGAAAAUAUAUAUAUAUAUUUCUAUAAGCUCCAAAAAUGUAUAAUAUUAAAUAGUAAAAAUAAUUUUUAUAUUUUCAGAAAGUGGUAAACAGUUGAUUACAUUUAAAAGCGGUGAAUCAUUCACCGCAUAACACUAAUUUUGUAAUUAAAUAAUUUUUUAAAAAACUAUUUUUAUAAUUUUAAUACUUUUUAAGUAAAAAAAAAAAGAAGAAAAUUCAACCCUUGUUUCAAUUUUGGUUAGCUGGUCAAAUGGGUUUCCAGAUUUCUGCAUCUUUGCAGUCCAGGGAGGCAGAGACUUUGCCUCAAUAAUUGACCUACUUGUCAUUACACAUAUACCCCUACAAGUCCCUCUAUUCUAAUUUGUACCCAAAAGUAUCCCAUGGGUUAGUUUCUCCUUUUUGACACCGUCCUUGAAAUUAAUAGAUGUAGCCAUUACUCACUUAAUAACACUUAAAAAAUAUUAGUUUCGAAAUAAAUGUGUUCCCUAAUUUUUCUAUAAAUUAUUCUUUUGUUUUCUUGAAAAGAAUUAUGGUAGUUUAAAAUAAUGUGUCUGUCUUAGUAUUCCGGUAUGUUUUUUUUAGUUUUUAUAUAAAAAUUAAGAGUGAGUUAAUGCACAGAAGAAUUGAAGAUCUUUUGUGAGCAUAUAUAUAUAUAUAUAUAUAUAUAUAUAUAUAUAUAUAUAUAUAUAUAUAUAUAUAUAUAUAUAUGUGUGUGUGUGUGUAAUAAUUUUUGAUGAAAAAAUAAGAUAAGUUGAGCUGAAUUUUCUACUUUUUAUUAAGAAAAAAAGAUUUCUUUUUAUCUUACUCUGAUUUCUCAGGUAGACUUUCUGUAAGAGAAAAUUAUUGCUCGACCAUUGUAUCAGUAGAUUCUGCGUAGUGGUAAGUGUGCUCAAGUUCAACAUGAUGGAUAUUAUGGUGGACUGAGUAUUUAUCUGGUCUUGUUUGUUUUAUCUCUGCAUCUCCUAUAAGUUUCGGCGUUACCUUUUCUGUCUAAUAUUACAGUUUAGUCUUUUGAACAAUCUUGCUAAUCAUUCUAGCUUGCAUUAAUAAUCUAUUUUUUUCCCUUAUAAUUUGGCAAUUUUGUAGAAAAGUCAACGUGUAAUAUAUGGAAAAGUGCAGUACUAAAGUAUGAAAAUUAACUUGCAAUUUUGGGAUAAUGUAGGAAUUAUUCUAACUUGCAUGACUUUUUAUAGGGGUAUAAAUGUAAAAAAAACCCCUCCUAGUUAAUUAAUAUCAUUUAAGUAGCUGUGGGUUAGGAACAAGGUGGGCCUCAUUUAAUUUCCUGGAAUGCAUUGCAACCACCUCCCACAUGAAAGAGACCCUGAUGGAGAUUCUUGGGAACAACAAAAACCUUCUUAAAAGCUAUGCCCUAAUAAAAAAAAAUAAAAAAUAAAAAAUAAAGAAAUAAAAAAACAUGGUAAAUUGCAGCUUUGGUUCCCAAUGUUCGAGAUAAGUGAUAUUUUGGUACUCAAAUUUUAAUUAACUUAUUAUAAUUUUUUAUUUAAAAUUUUUAACUUAUCAUAAAUUAGUCUUACAGUUUAAUUUAUUUGGUUAAAUACUGAUAUUUCGAUGAUGCGUACGGCACUAACAUGUUACUAUCGCAUUAGAGGCUCAUUAUUACUAGAUCUACUAAAUUUGACUUGUAUGACUUAAAUUUUAAAAGUUUGAGCCAAAACUCGUAAUAAAUUAAAAGUUAAUAAUUGAAGUAUUACCAGCCUACUAGAAGCUUGAUGACCAAAAGUGAAAAGCUGUUGCUUAUUUACCCUAGGCUACUUUUCAAAAUUUUUAAAUUUAUCUUAAAAUUAUUAAAAUACCCAUUUAAAUUUUAAAUAUCUGAGAUUUGAAAAUAUUAGAAGAAAUUUUUGAAAAUCAAUGAAAUUACUUUGGUCCAGCAGAAAUAUAUUAGGUAUUUUUAAAAUUUUUAAAAAUAGGGUAGAUAUUAUAAAAAAAGGAAAAAAAAUAUCCUUAUCAUGUGGGCCCCACACUACAUUGACAUUUGACAUAUUAUUAUUGCUCCACAUCACAUAUAUUUUUGGAGUUUCUCCUCUCUCUCUCUCUCUCUCUCUCUCUCUCUCUCUCUCAACAACCAUUUCCUCUUCCACAUCUUGUUCAAAAGAAUCAAAACUUUCCCCUUCUCUCUCUCUCUCUCUCUCUCUCUCUCUCUUUUGCUUAACAAAAAUAGACCCAAAAAACCCACUGCAAUUUCCAUGUGCUUUCCCCAUCUCUCUCUCUCUGUAGCUCUCUCUCUCUCACCUAACAGUUCAAUAAUACACCACUGGGCCAACUCAGAUUUCAAAAUCAGUGCAAAUUCAAAUUAUCAUCAUAAAAAAAUAAGGCAAGUGGGUACUGGUUUGUUUGUCCAUCUUUGUUCCUGCUUUUUCUGGGAGCUUCAUUCAGAUGUUGCAAUUUGACAGCAAACUUCAUCUUCAAUCUGCUGCAGGAAAAUAGAAUGGCUUCUGCUGCAUACAGCAGAAGACUGAAGCUUCUUGCAAGGGAGAGGAAACCAACAAAGCAAGAUGCAAAAUCAGUGAAGAGUUUCAGUAAAAUCGAGCCGAAAAAGAUCGGCAUCGGAUUGGUUUCGGCAUGUCUUUUGGGUUUACUCACCUAUGCCUCUCUGUUGAAGUUCUUCGACAGCGAAGAUCUGCCGAAUUUUAGUAAGUUUUCUUCUUCUUCUUCUUCUUCUUCUUCUUUUCCUAGUACUUAGCCAUGUUGGCUCGAAAGGGUCGGCAUCCUGUCCUGUGGCAAAAGGUCAGGUUAAAAGUGGUGUGGGACUGGAUUGGGCUGAGUCAUGUUCGAAAUAGUGUAAGAUUGGUUGGACCAAGUCACAAUCGAGACCUGUGGGCGCUGUAUCCGUACGUUUUAAGUGAAUUGAUUGUAUAUUUUUAACGGCUAGAACUUUAGGGAUUAAUGAUUAAUGUCAACAAUCUGAUAAGAGAGUCAAAAUUCACGGAUUCGAUUUCCGUAUGCUGCGAAUUUGUACGGGUGUUAGGAGAGAUUGUUGGCCGGAGGCCAACCAUUCACUUAAUUAUUGGCUUAAAAGGGCCAGCAAAAGGCCAACCAUACGCUUUAAGUGCAUUGAUUGUAUAUUUCUAACGGCUCGAACUUUUGUAAUUAAUGGUUAGCGCCAAUGAUCCAACAAGCCAUGCCGAUGUUUCUUUUUUCUAAUUUAUUUGAUUGGUUUUGCAGCAAAUACUACUACAAUUUCAGUGACAGAUGAGGCUUCUGCGGCUCCGAUCGAUGAAAGAGGUAUGAUAAGAACAUGGUCCUUUUAAAAUGUUGCUGAAUUUUAAAGAUUCAGAUGUUUUUAAUCAGAGUGUGUUGUGUAGAGAUUGGAAUGAAAAAUGAAACUAUUGAGAGCGAAUCGGGCACUGUCGAAGAGGAUGAUUUUGUGCAGCAGGAGGAGGAGAUUACACCCUCUAGGGAAUCUGAUUCUGAUUCUUCUUCUGCAACAAAAGAUUCUUCAGAUAUUAGUGCUACAACAUCAGGUAAUUAAUUUCCAAAUUACCUGAUUUCAGUAUCUGAAAAUAAAUGUUUCAGAUUCUGAUUCUGGGUUCAUAUUUACUUGCAGAUGAAGAUAUUGGAAUUGUGGAGGACUCCUCAAAGAGUAACACCUCACAAAUAGGUAAAAAUGCCAAUGCAUUGUUUGUUUAACAGAGUAUUUUUUCCAGUUGCCAAAUUUAGUGGCGGUAUAUUUAGUUUGCCCCCAAAUUAAACCAAAAUUGCACUCUGUUCCCUAUGAAUGAGACAAUAAUUUACAUUGAGCACAGAUACUAUAUCAUCUAGGUGAUAAAAUGCAUAUUCUUGUAUAUUGGGGGUACUCUCUAAUUAUUGUAUUUGGAACUGUGGCCAAUUUUGGCGCAGUUCCAACUGCUACUGUUGGGCCUUUUCAUGCAGUUUUAACUGUAGUUAGAUUCAAACGCAUCAAACCAAACACUGUAUUUAGAUUUGUAUACAGCUCCUAAGCUUAAUUACUAGUGUUAGUUGUUUACUCGCAUGUACAUUUUCCGCAGUUCAAAAUUUUCGAACCAUCAAGCCUGAGAGUAAGAUCACUUGUGAUGAUAAGAGCAUAGAUGAGGGUUUUCCGUAUGCGAGGCCGGUAUUCUGCGAAAUGACCGGAGAUGUUCGGAUUAGCCCGAAGAAUUCUUCCGUGUUCUUCGUGACUUCGUCAGAAGGAAUUGAAGAGGAGCGUCGGAUAUACCCGUAUGCGCGAAACGACGACUAUCUCAUCCCCAAAGUCCGCGAAGUGAUCUUGAAACCAGUGAAUGCCGAUCACGAAACACCCAGUUGCACCGCGAUUCAUGACGUACCCGUGGUGGUCUUCUCCGUCUCCGGUUACACCGGAAACUUCUUCCACGACGUGGCCGACGUGCUGAUCCCUCUCUUCAUGACUUCGCGGCAGUUCGGAGGAGAAGUGCAGUUUGUCGUCGCGAAUUACGACAAGCGGUUCCUGCGCAAGUACGAGCCGGUCCUGAAGAAGCUCUCGCGCUACGAGACUAUCAACUUCGAUACCGACGAAAGUGUCCACUGCUUUCGGCACGCGUUUUUAGGAUUGAUAAGAGACAGGGACCUGAUCAUCAAUCACCACCCGACACGGAAUCCGAGGGGCUACUCGAUGCCCGACUUCACCGAAUUCCUGCGCGGCGCGUUCUCGCUCAGGAGGGCCGCGCCGUCGGUCCUCGGCGAGCAGCACAGGAAGAGACCGCGAAUGUUGGUGAUCUCGAGGACUGGGACGCGGAAGCUGACGAACAUACGCCAGGUGGCGGCGAUGUCGGAGGAGCUAGGAUUCGAGGUGAUCAUCUCGGAGGCGCGCGCGGACGUGCGGCGGUUCGCGCAGGUGGUGAACUACUGCGACGUGCUUCUGGCGGUCCACGGUGCGGGACUGGCGAACGAAAUCUUUCUGCCGCCGGGGGCGGUCGUGAUUCAGAUAGUCCCGUGGGGAAAGAUGGAAUGGAUGGCAGAAAACUUUUACGGGAAGCCGGCGCGGGAGAUGAAGCUGAAGUACCUGGAGUACUACAUUGCGAAAGAGGAGAGUAGUUUGAUGAAGAAGUAUCCGCGGAACCACAUUGUGUUCAGGAACCCCAUGGCAAUCCAUGGGCAGGGUUGGAAAGCUCUGAGUGAGGUGAUCAUGGCACAAGAUGUGAAGAUCAACUUGAGGAGGUUUAGGCCUACUUUGUUGGAAGCUAUUGACCUUCUCCAAGAGUAGUAGAAUCCUUCAAAACGUAAAACGAUAUUCGAUAUUCGCGCAUCGCACUGACUGCUAGUAAAGUUGGCAGAGACUGUAUUCUUUGAGUGAACGGCCGGAUGUUUAAUCUUCUUCAGAGCAAAAGAAGUUACGGGGGCACGGAGACAGUUGUUCUUUUAUUGAUUUUUAAAACUUUUUUAUGUAGAGAAUUAAUUGUAUUCUUUUUGUGCAUAGAUCAUUGUUAAUUUUCUAUUUUCUUUGCAAAGGGAGAUUCAUUGUUAGCAUCUGAGAACCGCGGAAAUUUUGUGACUCCCAUAUCUUUUCUCUUAUGAUGUGAGAAUCACACCGAUUUUAGCGCUUUUCAUAUAAAUCGACAUAUACAGGUUUUGAGUUCAGAUUGAAUAUUGCUCAAGAGGGCCUUUGCACUGUUGUAAUUACAAAUUCAGUUGUAAUUUAAGUUUAGUGAGAGUAAAAACAUUAGUUCUGUGAUCUUUAAUUUUGGAUUUUUUUUCAUGAAAUUUUGCUUAACAGAACUUUUUAAGGGAAAACGAUCUCAGAACAUUGCUGUGAUCAGCAGAAGAGCUAAUGUCUUUUUGCUAAUUCUUCAUAAAAACUUUUUGAUCUCUCAAUAAUAACUGCAAUUUUAGGCUCACAACAGCUGCAGAAAAAUCAUUACUGGUUUAUUUUAAGGCAAGUUUUUAGUUAUUGUGCACAAAUGUUUCAGUACAAAGUUGCGAAGCAGAUGAUUCGCUGUCGAAUCACUGCUUUAAGUGCUUGUUUGGCAUCGCUUCUACUUCUGUGUUUAACAACAGUCACCCUCCGCAGAGUACUAACAAAGAAAAAAAAGUUCCGUAUUUUUUCUGUAGCACGAAUCAGAAAUGAAAUUCUAUGUAAAAGAUCGUGUUUGAUAACACUUUGAUAUACGAUGUUUCUAAAAGCACUAGCCAGAUAACACUUCAUCUAAUAGAAAAUAUUUAUAUACUCUAACGCAGUGUCAACAAUAACAAUAAUUUGAAGGAUAUUUCUUUUUCGACGAUCCGCCGCCGCCGCUACAACCAACUAAUCGAGAUUGGGAUCAAAUCUAUUCCGUGUAAGCAACUUGUUAUUGAAUCCUACAAAUUUUCUUUCUUCGCGGUUAUUCCUAAACCCUAAUUUCCAUUAUCAUUACCCUCUCGUUUCGUAAACCCUAACUCUAAUUUCUUUCUACUAUUUUAGAAAUUCUAGCAAAGCGGGUAAGAUCCGACGAACGAAAGAAAUUAAACUAACUCGUCUGCAUGCUUGCGAUGGAUCCAAUCCUACGGAAACUCCAAGAAGUAAUCUUUUUGAAUCGUUCUCUCAUUUAAGUUUUCGAAUUCCAAAUUUAUCAUUUAUUGUUUGUAGUUUGAUUUUUAAGAAUCGCUCAAUUCGUAUUUUUAAGUAAUUCUAGAAAAUUCUAAACGGUCCUGCAUCAUAGAUUUUUCUCUUCUUUUUUUUUUUUAAUGUUUAAUGUUAACAAUGGCCCAGGAGGUCAAUUAAUGCACAACCAGGAAACUUGUGGGGGAACAAAUCCGUGACAUCUCAGAAACAGAAAAGGACAUGGCUCUUUUAAUGUAGUAACUUGGCAUUGCAAGAAAGGGGUGUAAAUGGAUCUGGAUUGAUGGACCUCCCGUCUCGACCCGCUUCGAAUGUGACAGUAAUAAAAAGUAAAAAAUAAUUUAAAAAAUAUUCCGGAUCAGUCCCGAUCCACUAAGGAAAUGGAGUGGGCGACAACGAAUCCCUUUCUUUUCUUUCUUGGAUUCAUCUUGAUCUGCUAAGAAAAUAGAGCACAAGGCGGCGGCGGCGGCAGACUGUUUCUUAUUCUACAAUCUACGAAAAAAUUGUUCCCGCUUGGGUCCGCUCCAAAUAGAGCAGUAAGUGAGAAAAAAAAAAAAUGCUGACAAAAUUAAUCAGUCCCAAAUCCGCCACGAUCCUCAAAGAAACCAGCACAGGAUCCGCCCCAUUUGCAUCAUUAAUUGAAGAUGAUUAAAUUAUGUAACUGUGGAUUCGUGCAUUGCAUGAGAUUGGACCCGGUUGAUAUAUAUAGAAAAAAAAUAAUUAAGAGGAAAAAAUAUAGAUUUUUUAAAUUUUUGGAUAAAAUACACAUUUGGUCCUCAAACUAUGAUGCGCAUAGCAUUUUAGUCCUCAAACUCUAAUUCGUUAUAAUUUUUCUGGCUCGAAUUAUGAGGCACGCUAUACUUUAAUUCUCGAACUUUAAUUAAUUAUAAUUUUCGGCUCGAGCUAUAAGACAUGUGACACUUUAGUUCUCAAACUUUUUGAUUUAUUACAAUCAAGUUUCACAACUUAAUUUCUUUGAAUGAAUAUUGAUGAAUUAGUAAAAUCGAAGUAAUGUAGCAUUUUAAUUAUUAUAUUGUAUCAUCAAAUAGAAUAUUAUUAUAAUUCAGAAAGUUCGAGAACUAAAAUAUUACAAGCCUCAUAGUUCGAGCAAAAAAUUAGCUGAAAAUAUGAAUAAACUACGCUUCGAAUUUAGGACCUCAAAUAUCAAUCACCAAACUCUUUGCCACUUACGCUAGGGACGAUUAGUUACAACUAAAGUUUGAGAACUAAAAUGUCACGUGCUUUAUAGUUCGAACUAAAAAUUUUAACGAAUUAAAGUUUGAAAACUUAAGCGUCGCAGGCAUUAUAGUUUGAGGGCAAAAAGUGUAAUUUACUCCUUUUUUUAGUUGGUCACGAAAUAGUGAUGGAAUAGUAAUGAUAUCCAGUUAAAUUCUACAAUUUAAAUUUUAUAAGAAGACAAAAUAGAAAAUUUUAGAAAGUAGACGACAAAGUAUAAAAGUGGAUGUUUAUAAGAGGAUUUGUGUAAUUUAGCCUUGUAUAUUUGUUUUUGCCGACAGAAAAACUCCGUUCCAUCAUGUAUAGGAAUGUCAACAGGUUGAACUCGGCGCUACUUUUCAACAAUCCGAACUGAACCAGACUUUUUGAAUACGUCGCAUUUUGAAAAUUCAUAUAAUAAAAAAAAGGGUUAAUUUCAUACAGGUCCCCGCAAACAUAUUGAAUAGCAAAUAUAUUCCUACAAAGUUCAACUUUCAUAAGUUAUUCCUACAAAAAUCCUUAUGUAUUCAGAUAUGUCCCUCUGAUUAGUAUCAGUUAGAAAAUUGUAAAUUUUUUAACAGCAGAGAUGUGAAAUGACUAUUUUGUCCUUGCACUUGCCCUUGCCCUUGCCCUCUUUCUCUUCCUCUUUCGAUUGUGGGAGCAUGCGGCGGCGGCGACGGCGACGGCGACGGCGACCUUGCGGAGUUUGCCAGGGUUGCGGCCAACGGGGUUGCGGAGCUUGUCGGGGUCACGGCGCUGCCGAUGCCGUCGGAAGCGCCGGUGACAACAGCCCACGCCCACACCACAACGACAACGACGAUCGGAUCAUCGACGACGACAAAGAAGAAGAAGAAGAAGAAGAAGAAAAAGAAGGAGAAAAGGAGGAGGAAAAUGAGGAUACGAAGAAAAAUAAGAAGAAGAAGAAGCAGGAGAGAAAGAUGAAGAAGAAGAGGAAGAAGAAGAAGCAGGAGAGGAAGAUGAAGAGGGGUAAAAAUGUUUUUUUAUCUUAUUAACUGACCAUAGUUAAGAUACUUAACUAUGGUUAACUAGAUUUCUCUAACGGAGAUUAAAAGUAGGGACAUAUCUGAAUACAUUAUAAUUUUUGCAGGGAUAACUUAUGAAAAUUGAACUUUGCAGGAAUAUAUCUGCUAUUCACCAUAUUUGUAGGGAUCUGUAUGAAAUUAACCCUAAAAAUAAAAACAUGACAAAAAUAUCGAAAUCUGAACCCAAAAGAAAUUAUUUCUAUUUAUCAAAUUUCAAAACAUAUCAUAUUCGAAUCUAAAUAUGACAAAUUUUAAAUUUUUUUUUAUAUUUAAUGUAAAAUCGAUUUGGGUUUGGUUUGAAUUGGAUUCAACCAGAUCGGGUGCACAUAAAAAAUUAUAUCCGAACGCGAGAUAUCAUACAUGUUUAGCGUCAGUUAAAUCAGCUCCGUUUAAUUUUGAAUUCGGAUGAACACGUUUAACGCUCAGCGUUGUUGGUGGCACCAAACAAAAUCCUGUAAUUUACGCCAAUUAAUUCAGGUGAGUAUGAGUGGCCUCCACGCCAUCAGCGUGUAGGGCUAGCAAAUGAGCAAGUCGGCUCCUGUUCGGCUGGCGUUCGGCUUGAUAUUCAGCUUAUUCGAACUCAGAUUAAAAUUAAAUGAGCCAAGCUUGAAUAGAGAAAAAAAAAAAAAAAAAGGCNCCAAACUGUUAUACUAUUAGUAGCACCCCUAAAAAUGGGUAGAUGUUCACCCAUCCAUUCUAGAGUAGGUUAAAUUUUACUAAUCACAUCGAUAUAACUAGUAAAACUCAUUUGUAUAGAGCCAAACUGUUAUACUAUUAGUAGCACCCCUAAAAAGGGGUAGAUGUUCACCCAUCCAUUCUAGAGUAGGUUAAAUUUUACUAAUCACAUCGAUACUAUUAGUAGCACCCCUAAAAAUGGGUAGAUGUUCACCCAUCCAUUCUAGAGUAGGUUAAAUUUUAUUAAUCACAUCGAUAUAACUAGUAAAACUCAUUCGUAGGAUGAGUGGAGGUACAUCAUAUGCCUUUUUUUAGGGGUGCAUGUAUAGCAUGGAUCAAGAUGGGGACCACUGGUUCUAAUCAGUAAUCCCUUCCUACAACCAUGUGCACAUGUAGAACCCUAAACUAGGGCACAGUAAAUUAUCCCAAAAAUAUGAAAAGUUUAUAAUAGAGAAUAGUGAAAUUGUCCCAAAGCAGAUGCUUCUUCCUCCCUUGAUAAUCACCUCCUCCUCCUCCUCCUCAAUUAAUCAUGUAGAGAAAAAAUUGCAAGCUCUCUAUUAGAGAGAUCUCAAUAGCCUUUUUUCACAAUGAAAAAGAGGGAUAAAGCUAGGUUGCUUCAAAACCUCCGAAUCGAGUCGCAGAAAUUUCGGUUUCGCGCGACCGUAAUCGGCGUUUUCCUGAUCACAUUGGCCUUGAUUGUGGUUCCAAAACCUGAUGCAUUUCUUUUCUCCAAAUGUAUGCUCUAAAUAUCACAAUUUUAGAGUGACAUUUUUGUAUAUAUGUAUGUAUAAUGCAUUUCAUUAUCUAUAUUCAACUUUAGUUUCUUUUAUGUGAUUGGUGUGACAGUGAGUUUGACGAGACUAGUAUUGGAUGAUGAUGAAGCUCAACUUAUAAAUUCGCGCGAAUUCGGUAUGUUUCUCAUGAUCUAAAUUAUUGAUAUUUUUACCUCAAAAGAAAAAAAACAAAUGAUUAGUCGAAAUGUAAUGCUCUUACAUAGAAUGUUUGCUACAAUUUUAAGUUCUUAAUAUCUAAAUAGAUACUUAAUUACCAAGUCUUUUUCAAUGUUACAAGGGGACAUUAAUGAAGGUGAGCAAAAAAGUGAGGAGGAGGUCCCAAAUGUUGGAAUCACUACUCUUCCGACGAAUUCGAAUCACGCAAACGACGGUACGAUUCGAAAGGAACGGAUCGUAAAUUCUCAUCAACUAGGUAAUUGACCAAUUUACAUCAAGCAUAUAUUAAUUUCAUGUUUGAAUUUGAAUUAUUCAAAUUUAAAGAACUAAUUAAUACUUUUCCACAUGCAUAUGUGCAGCUAAUGGGAGUGAAAUUAGGGUUACAAGUGAGAGCACAUCAAAUGAAAAUGUUAUGCUCCCGACGAUUUCGAAUCGAACCACUAAUGAUCCAAUUAAAAGAGAAGCAAUUUUCUCCAAGCAUUCAGGUAUUGUGAGAUGCUCUUAUGUUUUUUAAAAAAUAAUGAUAAAUUUAUAAUGCAAUUUAUUUAUUUAUUUAUUUUCAUAUUAUUAAUUAUCAGGUAGUAGGGAGAUAAGCAAAAUGGAAGGAGACAUUAGGGCUUUGAUUGGAGCAACUGAGAAAAAAGAAACAACUAAUUCCAACAAAUUAUGUAUGUUACUAUGAAAUUUUCCUUGUAAUGCUUUAAUAUUAGGGUAAAUUACAAAUACCACUCUGUAUUUUCACCGAAGUGAUCAAUCACUACAAAUUACAAUUCCACAUUAUCAAUUGCUUCAGUGUUAACUUUGCAUUUACUCGCGUCUAAUAUGCUCAAAACAUUGGAAAGAUUAUUACAUUGGUUACACUUUUAAAGGAAAAGAAUCACAUGGAUUAAAAAAAUUGGUCGAUAAAUUACAAUUUUAUCUAGUCCUAAUAAGGAAUAUCACAAAGUGCAAAAUCAAAAUUUGAUAAAAUAAACCAAAGUUUUAGACCUAUUUGAAUCUCAAUAAAAUGCAAGCUAGGUUGAAAUUGAAGCAUUUGAAAACUUGAAAGUGAUAGUUGAGUGUUGAAAGUGCAAGUGUGUCUCAAUUACUUAAUUACAUUAUAUUUUGUUAAGUGAUGUUAAAUGUUUUCUCUUGAUGUGAAGAUACUGCGAGAGCGAAGAAACGGAGGACAAAGCCGUUGUGUGAUUUUUCAUUGCCGAGAGCAGAUGUUUGUGAGAUCGAAGGUGAUGUAAGGAUUCAUGCGAAUUCUUCGUCGAUCAUAUAUGUCAAACCCGGUCGCUCUGCGAGGAAAAGAUCGUGGACAAUUAGGCCGUAUGCUCGAAAGGGGAAUGAGCAUUGCCUACAAAAUGUUCGAACACUUGUUGUUAGGUCAAGCAAAGAUGCCCCUCAAUGCACCAAGAACCACAAAUCCACGGGCCUCAUCUUCGCGAUCAAAGGCUACACCGGAAACCUCUUCCACGACUUCACCGACGUGCUCGUCCCUCUCUUCACGACCGCUCGACAAUUCGAUCGCGAUGUGCAAUUCCUAAUGACCGGAAUUCAUGUUUGGUGGGUCAAUAAGUAUCGAAAAGUUCUAGAAGCUCUCACGCGCUACCCUUUUAUCGAUUUCGAUGCAGAUGAUUAAGUUCAUUGUUUUAGUCGCGUGAUCGUUGGUCUCCGAGCUUAUGACGAAUUCACUAUCAAUCCUUUGCUGGCUCCGAACAACUAUUCGAUGGUCGACUUCAAUCGAUUCAUGCGUUCAACUUACUCACUAGAACGAGAGUCGACGACUAAGCUAGUAGGGGAUGGUAGUAAGAAGCCAAGGCUUCUUAUCAUAGCUAGGAAGAGAGUAAGGAAGUUCACAAACAUGGUUGAAAUUAUUCGAAUGGCAGAAGAGCUAGGGUUUGAAGUGGUGAUUGACGAAGUCGACGUCGGUGACGAUGUGGGGAAAUUCGCGAAGAUCGUGAACUCAUGCGACGUGAUGAUGGGUGUGCAUGGCGCGGGGCUCACGAAUUCAGUGUUCCUCCCUCCGAAUGCGAUUCUAAUUCAAAUUGUGCCGUGGGGCGGGCUAGAGUGGAUUGGUAACUUGGAUUUUGGAGAUCCAUCAAGAUCCAUGGGGCUAAAGUACAUACAAUAUAGCAUUUCAAUAGAAGAGAGUAGUUUAAUAGAGAAGUAUCCUAGAGACCAUGUGGUGUUUACAAAUCCCUUUUUGAUACACAAGAAAGGGUUUGUAGAAGUUAGCAAGGUGUUCUUGUGGGACCAAAAUGUGAAGCUUGAUGUGUGGAGAUUUAAGGGUGUUCUUGUGGAGGCACUAAAUCAUCUCACCAAAUUGAGUAGAUAAAAAGAAUUAUAAUUUGUAGACUUAGUUUAUUUUUCCUUUCAAAAAAAUAUUAGUUGGUUAUUGACCUUGUUAUUAGAUCACAAAAGUGAUGAUGUGACCUAUGGUGUAAAAUUUUGCUUUUAGGUGAUGAACACCCUGUUUGGAACCAAACAUACCUAUAACAAUUUAGAUAGUUCAAGUGAAAUGAAUAAUAAGAUUUCAAAAAAGUGGAAGGAGUAAUCCAUUUUUCCUUUUGUUUGUCUACUACUUCUUAUGAAUCUAAACAAAGGAGUUCCGAUAGAAUAGACUCCGAAAAGAAGGGCGCUCUUUGCAAAAUGGUGCUUAAUUUUAUAUAUGUGUUGCAUUUGCACUUACCUGUUUGGAAUUUAUAGAGUUAAAUUUAAAUCAAUUAGUUUUUAAUAUAAAAAUUGUGAAUCCUAAGUGCUAACCAAAUUAAUCAAGCAGAGGAAAAAAAAAAAUAACAAAUAGAGUAGGCUCUGGUACAGGUCAUUCUUUUUUUUAAAAGCUUAAACUACUAUGGUACAAAUUUUCGAAUAAUAUUCAGCAGUUUUGAAUAUAUUUGUUACUUCACAAUAUAAUACGAUCUCAAAUAUAUUUCAAAAAGCUUAAGUUGGUAGAACAAUAGUUUCAGAUGAGUGUUUCAUAUUUUAAAGAUAUAAAAUGUUCAUUUUGAAUUCAUUUUAGAACAAGGAGAAUUUUGACUUGUCCUUGAGGCUGCAAUUGGUUGGAACUUUCCACUUUUACUCUGCUCGAUAAGAAAAGUACUCAGGACCUGUUUGGCAUUAAAAGGCUCACCUAAUGCUAAUAUGUAAAAUAAAAUUAGGAUAAAAAAAUAUACAGAAAUAUACUACUACGUUUUCUGAUAAAAUAGCAGAAAAUAUACCGUAAUCGACUAAUUUUGAUAUGCAAAACGCUAUAUUACAUAUGAAAACAAACUUAAUAUUUUUUCAUCAUCCCGCAAAUCCGCAAUCCUAAACGAAGUUUCAGUCUGUUUUUCUUAUUUUAUCCUCUAUAAAAUAUUAUGUUAGAAAAGUUCCAAAUGUAAUUCUAAUUGCUAAACCGACUAUCGCUAGUACAAGUGGCAAAGGGCUUGGUGGUUGGUAUCCGAGGUUCUGAGUUCGAAUCCUAGUUGAUUCAUAUUUUCAAAUAAAUUUAUUUCUAAAUAAAAUAAACGAAGCGGGUAACGUGCUAUCUAUCUCUAAAAAAAAAACACACACACAAGAUCUAUUCGCGGACCGUAUAAAUGAUUUUUUUUUUAAUGCAUUAUGAUUUGUUAUUAAGGGAGUCUAUCCGCAAGGUGGGGGCUUGAGCUCUCAUUUUGCACCAAAAAAAAAAAAAAAAAAAAAAAAAAAAAAAAAAAAAAAAAAAACAUGGUACAGGUUUUAGGGUGUCUUGUAGUGAGAAACUUCUGGGUAUUAACAUACACAUAUAAAAACAAAAAACACACACAAGAAACGCGCAUUGGGAGUUCAAAUCUCUGACUAAAAAAAUUCUUGAUAACGACCAACUGAUCUAAAUAGUGAUGGUUAGUCUUACAGUAAGUCGUAUUAUUAAGUUACUGUUCUAUUCCUCAAAAAAGCGUGGAAAUUUUUUUUCUAAAUUCUUUUUUAUAAAAAACUCCUUUUUCCCAUUUGGUUUGAAAAAAAAAAAGCUUUUUUGAAAAAAAAAAAUCAUAUUUCAUGGAAAACUAGCAUUUUUGUUUUUUGAUUUUUUUUUUCUUAGAAAAACGAAAACAAUAGUUUUCUAUAUAAUAUGAAAAAAAUUCAUAAAAACUUAUUUUCCUUAGAUUCAAAUGGACCGAAAACUAAAAAAUAGUUUUUUUUUAUGAAAAACUCCUUUUGGUGAAAAUUUUUUUCCAUACUUUUUUAGGAACUAAACAGUUGUGAGCAUGAUUGAAUUAUUAUAGUUUUCUGAAGAUGAUGGGCUUCGUAUUCAUAAAUCAAUUGUUUUAUAGACACAAAUUAAUUAUAUACUUUUUUGACGGUUCAUAUCAUUAAAUAUAAUAUUCAGUGUUUGAGACAUAUUUAACAAGUUUACAAUUAACUUUGGACUAAAUUAUCUCAUAAUCAAAAGGUUCGAAAAUAAAUAAAAAUGACACAUUUCUUCAGAAAACUAUAGAGAAAAAUAAUUUAAAAGAAAGCAUUUUAAUUUCUAUUAAAUAUAAUAUUCAGUGUUUGAGACAUAUUUAACAAGUUUACAAUUAACUUUGGACUAAAUUAUCUCAUAAUCAAAAGGUUCGAAAAUAAAUAAAAAUGACACAUUUCUUCACUUGUUGAUAGAGAAAAAUAAUUUAAAAGAAAGCAUUUUAAUUUCUUUUAAAUUUUAAAAGAAGUUAUAAAAUCGAUUUUUUUUUUUAUGUGUAGCUUUACAGAUUCUUAAUUAUACUAAUGUUGCGAACAUCAUCUUGCGCACAAAAUUAAACAUCAAGCUAUACCAUUUUUAACAUUACUUUAUAAAUUAACCUCACCAUUUUUACAUGGGAAAACUUCAAAAAGCCCCUCGUGGUUUCGCACUUUCUCACUUUAGCAUUCUGUGGUUUAAAGUGUAUCAAUUUGGUGCCCUGUGGUUUCAUUUUUAUCUUUUCGCGUGACAGCUUUUUCGUUAAUAUUUCAUUAAAUUAUUACAAAAAACUUCAAAUACCCACCUAGCUAGGUUUAUCAAAUAUUCACUUUAGUACCCUUUAAUUUUAACUUUAUCACUGAUUUAAGAAAAAAAAAAUAGUUAAAUUGAUAAUAAAAAGAGAAAAAUGAAACCACAAGACACCAAAUUGAUACAUUUUAAACCACAAGGUACUAAAGUGAGAAAGUGCGAAACCAUGGGGGGUUUUUGAAGUUUUCCCUUUUUACAUUUUGCACGAACACAACAUGUUUUAUAUAUAAAGAAAAAAUGCUUAGGAAUGAGUGAUUUUAGUAGUGAAUUAAGUUUUAAACAAUUUAAUGGUUGAAGGGUAUAUUUCAAAAUCGUCGAUAGUCGAGGGUAUCUUCUUAUAAUUUUGCCAAAUUAAAAUUAUUAAUUAUUAAUUUCUCAGAAGAUGGUCACAUUGAAUGCGCACAACAAGAAAAGAAUAUAAAAACCCCACCGACGUUACAAGAAUAAAUGAUCAAUUAAUUUAUGUUGUUGUUGUAUGUGAUGAUGUAUAAAUUUGACUUAAAACUUAAAAAAGACAUUGUCAAAAACAGGAGUUCCAGGAAAAAUAUAUUAAUGGGGGCUUCAUAAUAUAAAUAUAUAUUGUGAUUUUUGUAUAGGCCAUGGAAUAAAUAAAUAAGAAGCAUGGGUAAGGUCACAAGGCACACAUGAGAUGUUCCCUAACCAAUGUGGGAAACACUAUUGCAUACACCAUGUCUAUAUAUAUAUAUAUAUACACUGUAAUCUCGAAAACAUAAAUUUUAAUUAACUUAAUAAAAUGUAUAUUUUUGGAUCUGUUUCUUACUAAAUCGAUUUUUCAAGUAAUAUGGUAUCAUAUAUAGUAAAAGCACCGUUUUUUGUUAGCUUAUUUUGAAGCCAGUUGAGACCCAUAUGAGCUUAAGAAUGUGACUUAUCUAAUGAAACUCAUUCAACCUAAGGCUUAAGCAUUUUAGAUUUACAUCCGUUAGUAUACAUCAGCAUUUUUACUCUUUUUUGAUUAUCUAAUGUAGGACUAUAUAUAUUUGAAUUCUUAACAUUCUUCUCUAUCUUCCACUCUCUAAGCACGGGACUGAGUUGCCAUUUUAUGGCCUUCUCAAAAACAUGUCUUUCAAGUUCUUUUUAUGAGUCACUGUUAAUCCAACUCAUCGGAGUACAUGCGCUUUAAUAUGUGCUACUCGGAAAUUCAUCUGAGCCCAUACACCUGAUCUGUGCCUUCAGACCUAGCAUUAUUGAAUGCACCAACCAUCUGAGACCAUGGAUCUAACCCGCGUCUCUCGGGCUUAAUUCUUUUGGGUGCAACAAACCGUCAUAUCGUGUCUCAUGAUUCCGCUAUGUGAAUGCGUCAUAUUAAUUCGUAAGAGCCACCAACUCGAUCGCAUCUCACUACUUAGACGAGUAGUCCAGAAUCAAAAAACUUUCAGCUUUGACGCCACUUGUUAGGGUAGGUAUUGUUAUCAAAUGUUUGAUGGACUUUGAACCAUAUGUUAGCCAAGUUGAGUCAAUUUGUUAGGUUGAUCCCUUGUCCUAUUCUCCCUCUUAUAUAUGAAAAUAUAAAGCCACUUUAAUAACUACUAAUAGGUGAGGUGUCAAUUUCCAGGAGAGCUUGGGUCCUAGUCAAACAUGAGGGCUCCAAUGCACCAUCCAAUAGAGACAAAUAGGUGGUCAUUUGUGAAUGUUAGGGUUUAAACAUACCAUGUCUAUAAUAAUGUUAUGUGACUAACUAGCUGUUUUUAGUUGCAUGCAUGGUCCUAUGGGCCAUGUGUGCUGUCCCUACUUUGUCUCCUUGAGAGAAAGUAGAGAUGUCAACGGGUCGGAUUCGGGGUGAAUUUUUAAAAACCCGAACCCGAAUCCGACCCCAAAUCCGAGACCCGAACCUGACGGAUUUUAAAAAUCCAUAUUCAAACCCGAACCCGACCAAAAAUCUAAAACCCGAACCUGAACCCGAACCUGAAAAUUUGAAUCCGAAACAAUUAUUUCUUUUUUCAAUAUUUCAAAAUAUAUUAUAUUAAAUCUAAACUUUUAAAAUACAAAUUCAAAUAUAACAUCAAAUUUAUAUAUAUAUAUAUAUAUAUAUAUAUAUAUAUAUAUUAUAUAUAAUACAAAAUAAAUUCGGGUUCGGGUCGGGUUCGGGUUCGGGUCAGAUGCAGUCAAAAUCUAUAUCCGAAUUCAUAUCUGUCGGGUUUCUAUUUUUAAUAUCCAUAUCCGAAUCCAUAUCCAUUUAGCAUCGGAUAUAUUAAUUUUAUUCGAAUUCAAGUUCAAAUAAAAUUUUGGAUAUCCAUACCCAUUGACAUCCCUAAGAGAGAGAGAGAGAGAGAAUUUGUGACAAGGGAAUCUUGGCAUUGGCCAACAAUAGAGGAAAGAAAAGCAAAGUGUGAACAAAGUUUGGAAUAUUAACAUUUCUUAAUUGUAUCAAAAAAGCAUAUUGAAUAAGGUGCAAAAGAUAUUAAACCUUAAAAAAUUCUUUUCCUCUGAACUCUACAAUGAUUAGUCACACUAAAGCUUUAUUACUGUUAUUGAUUCACUUUAGUAUUGCAUGGCCUAGUAUAACAAAUGUUAGGACAUUACACAAUUCUAAAGAGAGAUUUGAUGGUGGACCAUGUGUCCUUUUUCUUCUUUGUCUCCUCAAAAGCCAUGAAAGGAAGAGGAGAGAGAGAGGGAGAGAGAGAGUAAAUUUGUGACAUGGGAAUCUUGGCAUUGGCCAACAAUGGAGUAAAGAAAAGUAAAGUGUGAACAAAGUUUGGAAUAUUAACAUUUCUUAGCUCUCACCUCUAUCAAAAAGCAUAUUGAAGAUGAUAAAGAUAUUGUUCCCUAAAAAAUUCUUUUCCUCCUAACUUUACAAUGAUCAUUCUCUACAACUAUGAUGUUGUAGGGCAUCAAACUAGUUCACACUACUUCUAAAACUUUAUUACUACUAUUGAUUCACUUUAGUGGUGCAUGGCUAAGUAUAACAAAGAUUAGGGCAUUAUAUAAUUCUAAAGAGAGAUUUGAUUGUGGGCCUUGGCAUAGUGUUCAUCGGAUCUCUCCUUUAAGACCUAUAUACACAUUAUAGUUUCAAAAAUAAAAUAUAUAAUAAUAUAUAACAAAUCUUUUGUUUGAUGCACCUAUUUGUUUUGGCUCUAGUUUCUUUCCGAGAGAUAAAAAUCUGCUAAACGAAAAGCUUUUAUAUUUCACAUAGGGUGGGAGAGAAGCAGAUCGAUCAGAUCAAUCAUAUAAGCUCUAAUUUGAAACUUUUAUUUCAAUUAAUUUUUUGAUGAAAUAAUUACGUACCUGAGAGAUUGAAGAAUUAACAGCAUUAUUAAUUGAAUUCCAAUUGUAUAUUGAAUUAAUUAUCUUUUGUAGCCAAUCCCUUGCACAUUGUUGGAAACUAAGAGAAUAAAAGCAUAGAAAAAUACACUAAGGCCCUGUUUGGAUGCAUAGCUAAAAAACUCCAUGGACUUUUUAUUCUAUGGUUUUGGCCUAAAUGAAAUACAGAAUCCUGUAACUAUAAAAAAAUUCCACAGUUUCAUUUUUAAGCUGUUUGGAUACAAAUCAUACAAUUCCACAGUAUUUAUAACAAUUAAAUUUCUAAAAUUUUAAAAUUCAAAAUUCAAAAUUCACAAUUCAAAAUUCAAAAUUUAAAAAUAAAAUUUUAAACAUUAAAAUUCAAAAUUCAAAAUUUAAAAAUAAAAUUUUAAACAUUAAAAUUCAAAAUUCAAAAUUUAAAAAUAAAAUUUUAAACAUUAAAAUUCAAAAUUCAAAAUUUAAAAAUAAAAUUUUAAACAUUAAAAUUCAAAAUUCAAAAUUUAAAAAUAAAAUUUUAAACAUUAAAAUUCAAAAUUCAAAAUUUAAAAAUAAAAUUUUAAACAUUAAAAUUCAAAAUUCAAAAUUUAAAAAUAAAAUUUUAAACAUUAAAAUUCAAAAUUCAAAAUUUAAAAAUAAAAUUUUAAACAUUAAAAUUCAAAAUUCAAAAUUUAAAAAUAAAAUUUUAAACAUUAAAAUUCAAAAUUCAAAAUUUAAAAAUAAAAUUUUAAACAUUAAAAUUCAAAAUUCAAAAUUUAAAAAUAAAAUUUUAAACAUUAAAAUUCAAAAUUCAAAAUUUUAAAAUAAAAUUUUAAAAAUUAAAAAUAGAAAUUCAAAAUAUAAAAUUAAAUUUUAAAAUUUUAAAUUUUGAAAUUUAAAAAAUGUAUAAUUAAAAUUUUAAUAAUUUAUAAAUUUACAUAUUUAUAAAUUUUAAAUUUUAAAUUUAAAAAUUAAAUUAGAUUUUCUGUUUUAAAUUUGAAAUUUGAUAUUUGGAAUUUGAAAUUUCAAAAUUUGAAAUUUAUUGAAAUUUGAAAUUUGAAAUCAAAAUUAAAAAUAAAUUUUGAAAUUUUAAAAUUUGAAAUUUAAAAUUUUAUGUUAAAAUUUAAAAUUUAGAAAUUGAUACAUCUUUGGGAGCCCAAAAUGGUGGAAUUUUUUUCCUUUGGUUAAAGUGGAUUGUAAGUUUACUCCAUUUUUUGGAGUAUAGUAUAACUAUACUCCAAAAAUUACGUAAUUUUUUUUUCUUCCAAACGCUUCAUAGGAUUAUUUUCCUACCAGCGUAGCAUAGUUUAACUAUGCUACGUUUUUAGAGGUAUCCAAACGGGGCCUAAAUUUGAUGAUAUAUUGAUAAGGACACAGCAAAAACAACCAAUGCAUGGAAUAUUAUUAAUAAAUAAGGACAAUAUAUAGUAUGCGAAUCUAAUGCUUUAUAAACCCCACCAUUUUAAAUAGUUUCAAAAUUGGACACAAGGAAGAAGACAAUAAGAUGGUCAUCUCCAUGCCAUGAGAUCAGUGAACCACUUACUUUAAGCUGCUAAAAAGCAAAAUCCCUUGUCCAUUUCUCAAGGUAUUCAAAAAAUAGGGCUUAAUUAAUUAAGAUCAUUUUAACAUGGCACUUCUUUUCAUAUAUAUUUACCACACUGGUUAUCCAAACUAACAAAGAAUUUAUAGUUAUCAAUAUAACUUUCGAAACUUUCGCCCAUUUUGAUUCAACUAUUCAAUAUUUUAAAAGUUGAUGAGUCUUUUAGUAUAAAUUUUAGGCUCAUUACAAUUUUUCAAUGAAAGUAUAUAUAUGUAGUUGCAUAACUUAUAUAAAUAUACUAAUUAGACCCGAAGGGAACGAUGAAAUUAAUAUUCAAAUUUUAAAGUUAAGAGUCAUUACUUGAUUGGAGUCAAAUGAAUUAAAAGAGUAGAUAACAAAAUCAAGAUUUUUUAUCAAAGUUGGAUAUAUAGUUGGAUCAAAAUAGGUCAUAUAUAGUUCAGAUAAAUUUCAUACAUUUUUAUCUUUUAUUUAUAAUUAUACUUGUAGCCAGCCCACAUAUGUACUCGUAUUUUCAAUGUAAAAGCACGAUUCGAACUGGAGACUCAUUCCCAUGAAUUUUGCAGGUGGCGACUAAUUACGCACUUUGGCAUAACAAUUAUCCAAGUAGAGCUAGAAUACUUUUAGAAGCACCAACUCAUUGGUGCUUCUAAGUUUCUAGCCCUUGGAUCUACUCCCCAAUUACUAAUACCCCUUGGAUCAAACACUAUUCCACCUACCACCAUCAUCUCAACCCUACAUCUCUCCAUCCAAGGGCUAAAAACUCAAAAACAUCAACCCAUUAGUGCUUUUGAGAGUAUUCUAGCUCUACUCACAAUUAUCCUGUUGUCUUACAAAUGGCCUUGUCCAAAACAUUAUAUAUUACAAGUACAUAUAUGUCCUUUUAUGAAAUUUGCCAUUUUUCCUACUUAACAUUUUCCCACCAUGUCCUUUUCUUUUUUUGUUUCUUUCUUUUUAUUUUAUGAAGUUCAUAGAUCGAUUCAUCAUCUACUAGAUGACAAUUGAGAUGCCUACCUAACAAUGUCAUAGUUAGUUGAAAUUCCAAUAACCUUUGCAAUAUUUUUUUUGACACAUAACUAUUAUAUAGUAGCCUAAUUAGCAAAAAUUUUAACUUGACAAAUAUGCUUCAAACACUCAAAUUUCACAUAAAAUGAAACUAGAUCCAAAUUAAUCAAGGAUAUUUUAUUGAACAACUUCCACAAAUUCAAAGCGCGUUAAGAAAUGAAAAAAAAAGGUUAAUUAAUUUGAAGGUUCAAUUUAAAUCGUUCAUCACACCUUAAUAAUGAUACUAUUAAUAAUCGAUCUGUAUCCUUUUCUUUUAGAUCUAGUAAUAACAUAAAGAACUUACUAAACUUUGGAUCAUUUUGAAUUAGCAAAAUUUUAAUUUCUCUCUUUAUUUGAAUUCAGUCUUUAACUAUAAAAUUUAAAUUAGUUACUUACUUUAAUAUACUAACUAAACUGGGCAUGUUUGGUUCAUGAUUGGAAUAGAAAUGAGAAAUGGAAUUAGAUUGCUUUGGAAUGGAAAAUAGAAUGACGAAUCAUCCAAAAAUGUUUGAUUCAUUAUUGGAAUGAGAAUCAGAAUGAAAAUUUAAAAUUUUUGAGGGAUAGUUUUGAUUAAGAGAGAGGAAAGUGAUGAAAGGAGAGGAGGUAGGUGUUGAUGAAAGAGAAUUUUAAAUAGUUUACUUUGGAAUGAGCCAAUCCGGGAUUUAAAGCAGGAUUGGAUCAUAAAUGGAUUUGGCUAUUCCCAUUCCGGAGUGGAAUGGGAAUCGGAAUCCGAUUCCUAUAAAACAAACGGCAACUAUCGGAAUCAAUAAAUUCCAUUCCGAUUCCAUAGUUCGAACCAAACAUGCCACGAAACAUUCGAAUUUUUAGGUCAAAAUAUCGUUGAUUAACUCAAACGAAAUAAAUUGAAAGGUUAAAUAGUAAAAUCAAAUUUUGGAAGAUUGGAUCGCUGACUCAAAAUAGUUUAUAAUUCAGAUAAAUUAUUUAUAUUUUUACUUUUUUUUUCCUCAUGAAAGAAACAAUUACCAACUUGUUUUGUUUUCUUUUUGAAAUACUCUACAAUUACUAACAUGUGCGAAUUAAACUAAUUGGUUUACCUAAUUACAAGUUGGCGUUACUUGCUUGUUCAAAAACAACACUACUACCUUAAAUUUUAUAUAUAUAUAUAUAUAUAUAUAUAUAUAUAUAUAUAUACCUUUUGAUCAUUAGGCAAAUGAUGGCAAAGAAAAAUUUGAAUUUGAUUUUGUAAACCUUCAAGUGGUAUAGAUCAUGUUCAACGGAGCCGAGCGUCAAUUGGAAGCCUCUAUCAUCGAAAACAACUCGAUAGUAAAACGCCUGUUUACUAUCGAGAGAUAUUCUAGCUCAACUCUAUAUAAUAUAUAUAUAUAUAUAUAUUAUAUAUAUAUAUUAUAUAAUAUAUAUAUAUAUAUAUAUAUUACGGCCUUUUAACAUCAAGGAAAAUUAAAGGUUAUUUUCCAAAUAAUAGAGUUCUCCCUGUUUUUCUUUUUUUUUUCUUUCUUUUUCCCCUUUUUUUUUUGUCUACUUUGUUGGGAGUUUUCCAUAAUUGGUCCGUUUCCAUGAAAAUAUUGAAAUUUUCCGUUUAUCCCGGCACAAUUUCAUGUGAAUUGCAUCUAUUUCCACAUGCUUUUGAUUGGAUGUUAAAAUGAUAUAAUUAAGCUUUUGAUUGGACAUAAAAUGUUAUUAAAUUCAUUAUGUAAAUGUCAAUUAGGUUUAAUGCAUUUGUCGAUAAUAAUUUCUAAGUUAAGUUAUCAUUAUUUAUGGAUAUAAAUAUAAUUAAUCAUUAUUGUGGCGUGCAAAAACUAGUUUCAAACCUUACAUAGAGACAUUAAAUUCGAGUAAUGUUACAUCAAAAAUCAUUUUACAUACAUGUUACAAAAAAAAAAAAAAAAAAAAUUAAAAUUAAAAUUACGUACCAUCUUAAUAAUAAUAAUAAAUGAUGGUGAUGAUGAUGAUCUCUGGAUGAUUACAAAAAAGUAGGUGGUGAGUGGACCACGAGUGGACCAGGUCUAAACAAUAAUUGUCACCAAAAAAUUAUAGGCAAAUUGUUAAUUUCUUGUUGAUUUUCUAAUUUCAGCCAAUAUAUAUGAUCCAAUUAAUUUAGAUUUAUGAGAUUGCUUGUUGAUAUCAAGCCUUUUUAGUUUAAUUUUGGUUUAGUGCCCAAAUUUUAUUCAAAUUUAUAUUCUUAAGAUCGUGUGAAAUAUUCUCUAAUUGAGCAUUAUAUUAACUAAAUAAAAAAUGAUUAUGAUCUGUCUUUAGUUUUAAUGUAAUACUCAAUAAUUUCAAAUCGGAUAAAAAAUAAAUUAUAAUUAAAAAUAAAAGGACCAGAAACUCCGGUAAUAACAAGUGGAUUUAAAUAUUUUCAUCCGCGGUUUUGGCUAACGAGUUAUUAGUGCUACUAGUGAGUUUGGGCUAGCAGAAGUAUGCCAUGAAUCACAUCAUCUGAUGAUUUUGAAUUAGAAAAUGGGACCUGAUGGGAACGAGCGAGAUUCAUCUCAUAUCGCCUUAUGAUCUUGGACUAAACGAUGAGACCUGAUGAUAAAGUUAGGGUCUGAACGGAGGACCAAAAACUUUAAUACUAAUAAUAACAACCCGACUUAGAAUUCUUAGUACUAACGAAUUGAAUCGUUACACGUCUCUAUUGCAUUAAGCUCCUAAGACCAUAUCUUUCUUAAUCAUGUGUAAAGUCCUCAUUUGGCAAAAGGGAAGGGGGAAAAAAAAUGAUGUGUGAAGUUCCUAGAUCUUUCUCAAUUCACCCUCCCUUUAUUCCAAUGAGAAGGUAAUGAAGACAAUGUUUUCCACAACCUUUUUCUUUUUGCCUUUUUAAUUUGUGUGGUCCAUAUUUUGAUAGGAUCACCCAACCAUGCACUCAACCAGAUUCAUUCAAUUAAAAGGAGAGAAAAAGUAACUUGACUUGGCCCAAAUUAUUGCGCACUCAAACAAAAAGUUCUAUUUCUUUGAUGAGUUACAUGUAGUAAUGAGAGUACAACUCUUUAAAAAAGUAAAUUUCCAAUUUCAUAUGAUAAAAAAAAGAAAAAAAGAUAUAUUUAUCUCUUUUACAUCUCCCUCCUUUUAUUUUGUACUGCAUUAAAUUUACGAGCGCUACCAAAAUUUCGGAAUCAAAUAUCUGCUUGAUGGCAUUGUACUGGAAUGAAUGUUUAAAUUUACACUUACACACUUAACUGUUUAUUCUCCAAUAUACCAAAUCAAAUGAAAAUUUAAAUUUUAAAAUUUUAAAUCAUCAAAAACCAAAAUAAAAAAAUAAUAAAUAAAGUAAAAGAGGGAGCUCAUGGUCCAAUUAUAUCCACCACCACCACCACACACCAACCAGUACUCCUAUAUAUUAUAUUAUUAUUAUAUAAUUUAUUCUAGUGCAUGUGAGAAUGGGGUAGGAGCUUCAGAGCCUGUAACAGGGUCUUUUUGAGCCUACCCAAAUGAGGCCUCACAUUUUGCUUAUCUAAGUAAGCUGUUUUAAUGGCGGUCCACCCUUGCUUGUGGAUGGAGCAUGGGUUCUUCAACACUGGGUGAUUUUUAGGGUAUUGCUCCCUCAAUGUGGUCUCAUCCAACUUGAUCUUGUACUCCAUGUAGUUGAUCUCCAUAUCCUUAGUCGCGUUACCAAAUGUUCCCAUUGUUAGCCACUCUAACCCCCCAAACGGCACCACCUGCGUCGACCAGUACAAAAAAAAAAUGUUAAAACAUCGUUCUCUAACAACUUCAACUUUAAAUAACAAUAAUUUUAAGAUAAAAAAAUAGGAUAAAAUGCCCUCCAUCUAUAGUCCUUUGAUAUAUAUAGACAUUAUUGGGGAACUUUUCACUAUACUUUUUUUUAAAAAAAUAUGUAUAUAACUCAUCUGAAACCAUUUUGAAUCAGCUGCUCAAUUUUUAAAAAUUUUGAUUCAACCCUCCAAUCUUUUAAUUUGCUUUAAAAUUUGAAUGAAUCGGUCAUCUUUACAUAUUAUAAGUAAUAUAAUUCAUUCAUUAUAGUAAAUAAUUAAUUUAAAUUUUGAAGUCAAAGUUCAACGGACCGAAAUUUUGUCAAUUCAAAAUAAUCCACAUUUCAAGUAUGACCCUAUAAUAAAUUAGGAAAGUCUUUUUUGGCCCGCUAUCCCUUUUAUUUGGGUAGGCAGCAGGUCGCGAUUUUACAGCCCUAAAAUUGAUAUGAUAGAAAACAACUCAGGAAUGAAUGAAUGAAUGAAUGAAUGAUGCAGACAAGCGCAGGUACCUGAAUGAGGACGGCGCCUGCGGGGAGGAAGACCAUGUUGGUGAGGCCGGCGCCGUGCACGCCGAGCAUUACGUCGGCGGAGUUGACGAGCCGCGCGAACUGGCCGACGUCGGUGUUCACGUCGGGCUCGCCGAUCCGGACGUCGAACCCGAGGCUCGUCGCCAUCUCCACCAUCGCCCGCUCGUUCAGGAACAUCCGCGUGUUCUUCCGCGAUAUGAUCAGCAGCCGCGGCUUCCGCCGGAUGUCCCACCGGUCCCCUCCCGGCACCGCCGCCGCCCUCUCCAAUCCAAACGCCUCCCGCAGCAUCUGCCCGUCCAAUAUAAAUAUUAAAAACAUCAUUCUCUGAUAUCUUAAAUUUGAGUCCGGCUAGGAUAUUAUCCAUAGCACCAAGCAUUUGAUGCUAUCGAAGUUUUCGCUGUUACAUCUAAAAGCCAAAAAUCUAAUAGCACCAAUAAUUUAGUCCUGUUGAUAGUAUUCCGACCUAGUUUCUUAAACUUUCGUACUAUUUAGAUAUAAAUAUACAUUACUUAUCUGAGCAUGAAUCAUUCAAAAUUUGAAUUGCCAACUAUUUACUUUAGUAAAUUUAUAAUUACCAAAUUCAAAACUUCCAGAACAGUUUAAGUUCUGUAAGUUUUUCAUCCGUUAUUAUUAUUUAACAUGGUAUCAGAGCAGAGUAGAGCACAACCUUUCGGAACUCGACGACGGAGUACCCGCCGGGCGUCUUCGAGGCGUUGACGCCGAGCUCCUUGUGGAAGGCGGGACCGGCGACGAGGCGGGGGAAGCAGCGGACUUCUUCGUCGGCGUCGACGUCGACGAUGUCGAAGUUCGUCAACUGCUUGAGGAUCUUCUCGAACUUGUGGAUCCACCACGGCUUCACGUCGGUGACGAGGAACUGCACGGCGCCGCGGAAUUGGUACGCGGAGAUGAAGAUCGGGACGAGGACGUCGGUGUAGUCGUGGAACAGGUUCCCCGUGAACCCGCCGGUGGAGAACAGGAACGCGGGCACGGACUGGUUCACGGUGCACGCGGGCGGGGGCGGGGGCGGGGGCGGCGGCGAUUGGCCGCGCGGGAAGGGGAGGAGGGCCCACUCGCUGACGUGGCGGAACGCGACUGCGUCGUGCUUGCGGGCGUACGGCUUGAUGCGCUGCGCCCGGCGCAGCGGGCGCACGUGGACGGUCUUCGACCGGCCCGCGACGCGCACGUCGCCACGCGCGUCGCACGUGUCGGAGCGGCGGCUCGUCGCGUGGCACGUGGCCUCGCCCGAGUCGUCGUCCUCCUCCUCCUCACCAACCUCAUCGAUGAUGUUGAAGUUGUUGUUGUUCUCGCUCUUGGAUUUGGUUUCUAUUUUUUUGAUCUCCUCGUAUUCUGUGAGAGAAAUUUUGUUCUUUUUUUUAAAGAUUAAAUAAAAUUUAGGGGUUUAUUUGUAGUUUUUUGUAGCAAUUUUGCUUUUUUUCUGGGAUUUUUUGGUGAGGGGAAAAAAAAAUUGUGGGUGUUAUUAUUAUUUUGCUUUUUUCCAUUUUUUUGGAUAUUUUUUGGGUGAAGAAAAAGAGGUUGAGAAAAAAAAAAUAAUGAUAAUUAGAAUAGUUUAGAAAAAAUUGAAUGAGUUAUCUGUAAAUUUUAUUUUUUGCUUUACUGGAAAGUAGUUUUGAUUUUGUAGUAAUGAUUAUAAUUUUUGCACCAAUUUUGCCAAUUAUUGGAACUAUGAUUGUUUUCAGUAAAUAAAUUGAGGUUAAUUUAGCUAAUUUUUCUAAGUCCACAUCCUCUGUGAACCACAAAAAAAAAAAAAAAAAAAACUAGAGAUAUUUACAGAAAAAUUUGGGAGUUAUAUAUUUUGUAGAAUUUUAUUUUUGAGAAGUAUAAUAGGCUUGAUUUCGUAGUACUGCUAACAAUUUUUUGUCAUUUAUUUGGUGUAGAAAUCGCAGUAAAAUUUGGAUAAUUUUGUAGGAAUUAUCUUGAAGUAUUUUUUUUGGGGGGGGGGGAAUUAUUUUGGGGAAAUUUAUAACACAAUUAAUUAGCAAAUUUUACAACAAAUUUUCCUAACUUUUGGGAAUUUUUGGUGAAGAGAUUAAAACUGUGGAUGCAUUUGAUGUAUUAAGCCAAAUUAUGAUGAAAUUGAGGUAGAAAUAGCAGAGCAUUGCAAACAAAUUUAAUUUUUAGGGUUAAAAAAAAAAAAAGUUUUUUUAAAAAAUAAAUUAUUGUUCAUGUAUAAGGAGACGGGGAAUUAAUUAAUUAAUGAAGAUCACUAACCUUUUAUUGCUGAUUCAGAAAUUUUUCUCUGAUCAUCAUCUGUGACCAUCAUUAAACUCUCCUCCAUCUCUACCUCAAAUUUCAAAGGCCCUUUUGAUUUUCCUAAUUAUAAUAAUAAUGAUAAUGGUAAUGAUAAUGCUUAACAUGAGAGUGAUGAGAAAAGUGAAUUAUCAUAGAAUAAUAAUAAUAAUAAUAAUAAUAGGAAUAUGUAUGUGUAUGUAUGUGGAUGUAUGUAUAUGCAUACCAUAAGGGGUGGAGCAAAAUCGAGCCUUGAUGAAGGAGAGGGCACAAAGGGAGAGGAGCAUGGAUGCUAUGAUGAUCAUAUUCCCUAUCCUUCUUGAGUGAUGAUCUCCACCCCUUGCAUGGUUCCUUUGGGACUUCAUCCUUUGCCUCUCUCUCUCUCUCUCUCUCUCUCUCUUGUUUUCUUUCUUCCUAGCUUUCCUUUGCUCUCUCUUUCUUGGUUCCUUCCCUUUGUGUGUUCUCUCUCUCUCUCUCUCUCUCUCUCUCUCUCUCUCUCUAGAUCUUUCUCUCCCCCUUGGUUUUCUAUCUCUUUCCUCCUUCCUUUAGCUCUCUCUCUCUCUCUCUCUAGAUCUUCCCCUUCCCUUUGCCUCUCUCUCUCUCUCCCUCCUUCCCUUUCCCCUCUCUCUCUUCUUCCCUUUGCCUCUCUCUCCCUCUCCCUCCUUCCCUUUCCCCUCUCUCUCUUCUUCUCUUUGCCCCUCUCUCUCUCUCUCUCUCUCUCUUUCUUCUUCCCUUUCUCCCUCUCUCUCUCUUUCUCUCCUCCCCUUUACCUCUCUCUCUCUCUUCACUUUGCUCUCUCUCUCUCUCCCUCUCACUCUCUUUCCACCUGCCUUUAGCCUCUCUCUCUCUCUCUCUCUCUCUCUCUCUUCUAUUUGCUCUCUCUCUCUAUUUGUUUUAAGCUACCACUUUCAAGCCUUUGAAUCUUACAACUAAGUUGGGUCCAUUAUUAAUGGGAAUGUGGGGGGUAGCAGCCUAAAGUUGGCUAAGUUUGCUGUUCUCAUUUCAUGGUUGACUAAGUUAGAACCACUGCCAAAUUAACCAUGUACCAAUAUGUGACCAUUAUAGGAUAAAUUAACUUUUUGAUCCCUAAAAAAUAUGAGACGCGUGAUAUUUUAUUUCUCAAAUUUUAAUUUAUAAUAAAUUUUUGAUUCGAAUUUAUUGAAUUAUUUUAAAGGUAAAUUUUUAAAUAUCACUCCUGUAGUUUCGCACUUUCUCACUUUAGUACCAUUUGGUUUAAAGUGUAUCAAGUUAAUUAGUACACUGUGGUUUCAUUUUUUUCUUUUCGUCAGCUACUCCGUUAAUAUUUCGUUAAAUUAUAUAUAAAAAAUUUCAGAUACCCAUCUAGAUUUAUCGAAUAUUCACUUUAGUACACUUUAGUUUUAACUUUGUCACUGAUUUAACGAAAAAAAAAAAAGUAAAAUAGAUAAUAAAAAUAAAAUAAAAUCACAGACUACUAAAUUGAUACACUUUAAAUCAUAUGAUACUAAAGUGAGAAAAUGUGAAACCACAGGGGUGGUAUUUCAAAUUUUUCAUCAUUUUAAUUAAGUUGUACAACUUAAUUUAAUUCGCUGAGCAAUGAUAAUUAGUGAUGAAGUAAAGUAACAUAUUAAUUAUUAUGAAAGCAUCAAUUACAAUACUUUACAUUAGUUUUUACAUCAAUAAUUUUUCAAUAUUUUGCUUAUUAAAUUAGAUUAUAAAACUCAAUUGCAAUAAUUCAAAAAAUUCAAGUUAGAAAUUAUAUAGAGUCUGGCUACUAUACUAUAUAUAUACAUAUAGAGUCCGACUACUAUACUCUUAUGAGUACGAUCGUCCUCAUACUCAUAAGUUGUUUUCAAUGAUAGAGCUUCCGAAUCGACAAUCCAUACCGUUAAAUAUUAUUUAGAGCAUUUAAAACUUCUAGAAAUCAAAUUUCAUAAUUUUUCGACAUCAUUUACCUUACGAUCAAAAGGUCACAAAAUUGACAAUUUUUAACGGCCGGUGCGGGAUACUGGCUAGUUUAACAGUGUAAAAGAAUUGGAAUAGGUAGAAAAUUCUAUUUACUACCUAGAUAAAGAUCAAUAACUCCGAUCUUAAAUUAAAGAAUCCGAUCAUCCAUUUUUAUGAUGUCGUUCAAUUUUGACUGUUUAUUUUAUACCCGCUUGAUAGACUUUUUUAUGAUUUCGAAAAAUUACGAAAUUUAUUUUCCAGAGGUUUCAAAUACUCUAAAUCAUAUUUAACAGAGUCGAUCUUCGAUUCGGAAGCUCCAUCAUCGAAAACAACUUAUGAGUACGAAGGGCUCUAUACUUAUAAGAGUAUAGUAGCCCUACUCUAUAUAUAUAUCUAUAUAUAUGUAGAGUGCGUUUGGUAUGCUUCUGGAAGCACGGAGCGCUCCGUGCUUCCAAGUUGUUUUUGAUGUUCGGACUUUCGAAUCGACGAUCGCCUCCGUUAGACUUGAUCUAGAGUAUUUGAAGUAUUUAGAAAAUAAAUUUUGCAAUUUUUCGAUAUCAUUUGGCUAGUGAUUGAAGUCGCUCAAAACCAACAGCUGAAAAUAAAAAUUUUACAAAAUAUGAUGAUAUGAUAUUAAAAUUUUAUAUCAAAGUUAUUGAUCUUGUUUUAUACGGUAUAAAGAAUUUCUAUCAAAAUUUCAUAUGAUUUGGAUAUUUCUACACCGUUAAACUUGCAAACGGCUCACCACGGCCAUUAAAAUUAUUGAUUUUAAGUCCCUUCGAUCACUAGGCAAAUGAUAUCAAAAAAUCACAAAAUUUAUUUUCUAGAUACUUCAAAUACUCUAGAUCAACUCUAACGAAACCGAUCGUCGAUUCGAAAGUCCGAACAUCGAAAACGAUCUAGAAGCACGGAAGGCUCCGUGCUUCCAAAAGCAUAGUAGCCUCACACUAUAUAUAAAUAUAGAGAGAGAAAGAGAAAGUUGAGCUAGAAUACUCCUAAAAGCACCAUGUGAGUGGUGCUUUUGAGUUUUUAGCCUUUGGAUGGAGAGAUGUAUGGUUGGGAUGAUGGUGAUAGGUGGAAUAGUGUUUGAUCCAAGGGCUAUUAGUAAUCAAGGAGUGAUCCAAGGGCUAAAAACUUAGAAGCACCAAGAGAUUGGUGCUCCUAAAAGUAUUCUAGCUCAAUUCUAUAUAUAUAUAUAUAUAUAUAUAUAUAUAUAUAUAUAUUAACACAUUAAAUAUGGGAGUACUUGGCAUGUGGUUGCUAACCAAGAAGUAUCUAGCUAGGCAUGCUUUAUUUUAAACUCAUUUUUCAUGUGUACUUCUUUUUACUAAUAUUCAAUCUUGAAAAUACUUUACAAUAUUUAGAUGUAUAAAUAUCUUAUUCCAUAUAUCUCUUUAAUUUACUUAAAAAUUUUAAAUGUUUAGUUGAUAAGAAGUGUGAUCAAUUGUUUAAAAUAAAAUAUGAGAUUUGAAUUUGUUCAAAAUAAAAUAAAUUAUUUUAUAGGUAAAAUAUGAUGUUAUAUCAAAUCAUAAUAGUAAAAUCUUUGAAGAUGCAAAAAAAUCAAACUCCUUAUUUAUUAUCAUAUUAGAAAAUUUUAAUAAAACUUUAAUAAAAAAUAAGUUAUUUUUAAAUAACUUAUGCUAAAAUCCAAAUUAACAGGACCUGCGAAGUAUGGGAAUUGAACAUCAGUCUUCGUGCAAAAUUUAUGAAAAAUAGGAAAUUUCUAUGAAGCCACCAACAACUCGCAAAUAAUAAUAAUUCGUUAGCUCCAGAUCCAAACCAACGAUUCAAAAUACUUAAAUCCAGUUAUUAUUAUUAGCAUAUAGGUCUCAUAUAUAUUCUAAAUAGAAUUAUUUUUUCAUUUAAUAUGGAACUACUGGAACGUUACAGUGUAUUUGUCGAUGCAUACGGAUUUGAAAAGAAAAGAAAAGAAAGAAGUUUCCACAAGAACUCAAAAUUGUUACUCAGCUUACCUACCUAACCUACUAAAAUAUUCCUAAUACUAGAAGCUUAAAAAGGUCAAAUGUGUGCGUAAACCAAAAUAGUUUUGUCGUAGUGGCGUAGCAGCGAAACUAGAAGACUUUUGCUUCUUCUGCUGUGACAGAUACCGAACAGAGUUUACGUAAUUAAAGACAUAUAAUUUUUUUUUUUCAAAUAAUUCUACUUAAAUAAUAUUUUUACAGAAUAUACAGUUUGGACGUGUAAUUAUUUAUAGAAAAAACUUCAAAAGCUUCUCAUAUGGUUUCGUAUUUUUUAUUUUAGUAUUCUGUAGUUUAAAGUGUAUCAAAUUAGUACUAUAUGGUUUCUCACUUUCUCACUUUAGUAUUCUGUGGUUUAAAGUGUAUCAAGUUAGUACUCUGAUUUUAUUUUUGUAUCAAGUUAGUACCUUAUAGUUUUAUUUUUGUAUGAAGUUAGUGCCCUGUAUAAAAACCACAGGGUACUAAAGUGAGAAAGUGCGAAACCACAGGAUACUAACUUGAUACACUUUAAACCACAGGGUACUAGAGUGAAAAAGUGCAAAACCAUAAGGUACUAACUUGAUACACUUUAAACCAUAGGGUACUAAAGUGAAAAAAAGUGAAACCACAAGGGGGUAUUUGAAUUUCCCUUAUAUAUAUAUAUAUAUAUAUAAUUAAUACUAUAUAGAGAGAGAGAGAGAGAGAGGAGAGAGAGAGAGAGAGAGAGAGAGAGAGAGAGAGAGAGCAGGACUGCUGUGCUCUCAGGAGCACGGAGGACUCCGUGCUCCUGAGCCGUUUUCGAUGAUGGAGUUUUUGAAUCGACGAUCGGCUCCGUUAAACUUGAUCUAGCGUAUUUAAAGUUUCUAGAAAAUAAUUUUGCGAUUUUUCGAUAUCAUUUACCUAGCAAUCGAAAGGAUUCAAAAUCAAUAAUUUUUAACGGCUGAAAAUAAAAUCUAUAAAAGUGAUGAUAUAGCACUAAAAUUUUCGAUCAGAAAUAUAGAUCUUGUUGUAGAUAGUAUAAAGAAUUUUCUAAUCAAAUUUCAUCUAAUUUGAAUACUUCUACACCGUUAAACUUGAAAACGGCAGAUAUCAACCAUUAAAAAUUAUGGAUUUUGAAUUCUUUCGAUCACUAGGAUAAUGAAUAUCGAAAAAUCGCAAAUAUAUUUUCUAGAAACUUCAAAUGCGCUAGAUCAAGUCUACGGAGCCGAUCGUCGAUUCGAAAAUUCCAUCAUCGAAAUGGCUCAGGAGCACGGAAAGCACAGCAGUCCUGCUCUAUAUAUAUAAUAUAUAUAUAUUAUAUAUAGAGAGGUCCGGCUACUAUCCUAUUAAUAGGAUUGGGACCAUUGUCCUAUCAAGUCGAUUUGAAUGAUCGGAACUUCAAAUUGAUAAUCGGCACCGUUAAAGUUGAUCUACACAAUUAGAAAUGUUUAGAAACCAAAUUUUGUAACAUUUAAAAAUUACUAUCAAAUUCAUCUUAAGAGUUGAAAAAUGAAUGGUCAUAAAUGAAUAAUCUUCUUAAAAUAAAGGUUAGACUUUCUCAGUUCGUAAUCAGAGUUAUCAAACAUUAUCUAAAUAGUAUAAAGAAUUUUCUAUCAAAAAUUCAAGCAAUUUGGAUUGCUCUACACCGUUAAACAAGCAAACGGCUCAUAUAGGCCGUCAAAAAUUGUCGAUUUUACAACACUUUGAUCACCAUAUAAACUAUUAUCAAAAUUUAUGAAAUUUAGUUUCUAGAUAUUUCAAAUACUCUAGAUCAACUUCAACGGCUCCGAUCAUCGAUUCGGAAUCUCGAUCAUCAAGAACAACUUGAUAGGACAAGUGCUCCUAUCCUAUUAAUAGGAUAGCAGCAUUAGCCUAUAUAUAUAUAUAUAUAUAUAUACACACCAAUCCAACUUAUUUUGACUUAAUUAAAGGGAGAAAGUACGUGAUUAUGGAUAUUACUAUGUCCUACUUUAGAUACUAAUUGAACAAAUAAUCCAUGUUUGUUGUAAGUUUAUAAGUUUAUAAAGAACUUAGUGGUACAUAAUAAAAGGGCAAUUGCUUGUAUACUCCCUAAAAAUUUCCGACUUUCUGAUUUACCCCUCUUAGAACGCUAAUAUUAAAAAUACCUUUUUUACGUUUCAAGUUUUUUCAAAUAUAUACCUACAGUUAAAUUCUGCAAUAGCUGUUAUCUCUGUAAAAUUACUAUUUUAUCCUUUCAAAUAUACUCUCCUACCAUCAUCAACUUUUCUUAUCUGAUUUUUAAUUUUUAGUCUUUACAAAUAUACCCCUCUACCGUCACCAACUUUUCUUAUAUAUUUGUCCUUAAGUUAAGGUCAAAAUAGCUAUUUUAAUUUUUUUUAACUCUGGUAAAUAUUUAACUCACUUUUAACCCGAGAUAGAUUAACGGAUGGUAACUAUAGGAGUGUUUUUGAAUAGCGGAGAAACAUAUGAUCAGUGUAUAUUGAAAAUAAAAAAAAAAGGUAGGAAUAAAUUAGAUAUUUUUAAAUUUUUGAGGGGUAUACCGGCAAUUAUUGCUAAUAAAAAAAGGGCCAAAUGAUCGACACAUAUAAUAAUGUUAUAUUAAUAAAGUGGCUUGUAAUUAAUAACUGUUUGGAACUCCCUAGUCAUUGACUAUGUCUUAUAUGUGACUCUGUCUUUGUUAUUGGACACACAAGCUUAAUUAAAGAGAAAAAGUGAGCUUAUUCCCCUCGAAUAACAUAACAUAUUAUUUAAGGGUUACUUUACUCCUAUUUAAGUAUAGUAAAUGUGUGUUAUUUAAUUUAAUUAAUCCAAUGUACACAUAUAAUGUAACAGCCAUCACUACAACAAAAUAUGUUUUAGACGACGCUCUAUUCUAGUGUCUUCAAUUUUUGACAUAUGCCGACACCAUGAUUAAGCAUUGCUAAUAAACAUAUUUUUAUCAAAUAUUAAUAGAAAUUUUUCACCUUAAUUUAUAUUAAAGUAUCGGUAUAUUAUUUAUCCCAAUAUAUUUACUUAAAAAUAUUCCUUACUCCACGCUUUUACAAACGUCGAGGUUAUUCUUACCGACACUUUAAAGCAUCGCUAGUUGUUAUUUAAAGUGUCCUUAAAUGUAAGAUUUGUUGUAGUGGUGCAUGAAACAUCAUCUAUAAUACCGAGUACAAGCGGUCGUGCCAAAUGGAACAUUAUUUAAUUUAACUAACCAAACUUGAAUCAAUUAACUUAAUUCUUUACCUAGUACAACAUUUUGACUCCAAUCAUUUUUUUUCACUAGAAAUUUUUAGUAGAUAUGGGUUUUUUUUUUUUCUUUUUGCAAAAUUUAAUUGAGAUCUUCAUUGAUUAAGCAAAGUGUUUAAGUAGUUAGACCAAAUAUUUGUGAACUAAUCAUUAAAAUAGUGCCAUGAUAUAAGGAGACUUAGUCCUUUUGUUUCGCGUUGUAAUAUAGAGUCAUUAGGUUAUUAAUUUUCGAUAAAAUUAAACUAUUGGGCCUUCAUCAAAUAGUUUUGCUAAAAUAACACUUCUAUCUGAAAUGUACAAAUACCUAAACAACAUCAAUAUCACCGCAUGCUUACUCUUCCAUCUCCCCCGCCUGAUUUUUCUUUUCUGUCGCUCGCAACUCCUACAUAUCGAUCAUUUACUUCUGAUUGAUGGCUUAAUCGUACCAAACUUAUAUACUUUCAUUAUGAGACAUGUAAUAGGAAGUCGAUAUAAGCUUCUUCGCUUGAUAUAUAUAUAUAUAUAUAUAUAUAUAUAUAUAUAUAUAUAUAUAUAUAUAUAUAUAUUGCUACAAUGCGAAAUCGCUAGUUGCUUUCAAUCACAAAUAAAUUGUUCGGUCUUUUUCAAAUAGCUCGAUUCAAACAAUUAGCAUCACUUGAAAGAGAAUCAACCCCUAUACCAGGGGCAAGAUUUAGGUUUGGCGGAAAAAAAUUCGACCUCAGAUAAUAAGAAAAAGGAUUUGUCAAGUUCACUAGCCAUCUAUUAAUUGCUAGUGACAGCAACGAAAAUGUGCUCAAGAAUGAACAAAACUAUAAGAGCUGAAGGAAAAGGACCGAAGGGUUCAGAAAAAGAUUGGAACAUGAGUUUUAUUAGAAAAAAAUAAUAAAUUAGCUCCCCUAAAACUAAAAUUUGUAAUACUUUAAUUUUUGAUAUAAAGAACUUAAAUGUAAUUUUUAAAGGUUGAGGAGGGGCCAUGGCGACUGUGAGCCUCACUAUGACUCCGUCUCUUAUCAAUUCACUUGAGACUCCUUCUGCAUCAUUUAUUUCUGAUGACCCAAUUAUACCAAACCUAUGUAACUAUACCAAACUUUUAUAUUCAUCAUGUGGAUGUGACAUGUGAAGAAUUUUACUUGGAUGGUUAUUGGCCACCACAAGGUAUAUGCCCUAAGUUUUUAGUAUCAAUGGAUGUCUUGUGAUUUGGCUUGUGGGUUCAUUAUUGGGUACAGCUAGGGUUAGUGGGGUUUGGAAUCAAAAGGAGAGGGGCCCUUAAUUUGGUUGUUGGUGGUAGGUCAUCCAUCUACAAAACAGUGUAGGAAUUAUUCCCUAGACCUGGUCCACCGUAGACCGCUUUUUCUGUAUGGUUUUUCUUUUUUUAGAGAGAGGGAGAGAGAGAGAUAGUAUACUAUCUGUUUCGUUUAUUAUUAUUACUUUUUGAGAAAUGAACUUAUCUGAAAAUGUAAAACAAUUAGGCUUUGAAUAUGGAACCUCGGGUAUCAACUAUUAAACUUUUUACCACUGUGGAUCGUAAACAUUAGCCAACGAUCCCAAAAGCAUGUCUCAUCGGAAAAACACACCCAUCGUACUUAAUGGCUUAACCACAGUGCUUCACAAGUUUUGACUUAACUAAACCCGUCUGAACGUUAGGUCUAUUGUUGGACCUCUUAAUGUUAAAUCUAUUGUGGACCGCAGACCGCUCAAGUUAUUAGGCUCACUCAAUUUUACUUAAUAAUCACCUGGAUCUAUUGUCACGAGCCAGAAAGUCAGACCUAUAUUAGCCAAUAAUAAAUAGCCAGCAGCCACCUGCUCUAAGGAUAGUUGGUUCCGCUGUUAUUUUAUUGAAACAUUCAGUAGGCAACCCAUACUAUGUGAAGGCACGGAGGUUGGAUUUUAGAUGCGCAGAAAACUUGAAUUUUUUAUUUCUAUACAUCAGAGAAAAAGGUGUGCUCGAAUUGGAGCUGUCUGUGCUUUUCUUUUCAAGGACAUGGCCUACGACCAAUCUUAACUCACACUCCUGAUGUAUAGGAUGAAGAUUGGAUAAGUCCUUUCUUUUUUAGGAAUAAACUUAGCAAGCAAUGCAAAGCUGCUAAGAUUUGAAUUUGAAAUCUCAAAUAUCAACCCUCAAGCUUUAGCUAGAUGCGUUAGGUACGGUCGGUAUUAUUUCAUAUUUCCUGACCAAAUAUACACUGACCGUCCCUAACGCUAUUUAAGCCAAAUGUUUGGUACUCAAAGUCUCAAGUUUGAAACCUAAUUGUUCACAUUUCUAACUACGUUCAUUUCUAAAAAAAAAGAACGAAAUAGAUAAUAUGCCACUUUUCUCUCAAAAUAAAAAAUAGGCAAAAAUAUCCAAAUAAAAUAAUGAAUUCAAAAAUUAAACUUAGCUAGAUUCAGAACUUUUUCGAAAAGGAAACGGCUUAUGAUGAAAAGGGCUUAGUAUCAAUUUUGUUGUCAUAUUAUUCAAAAGAUUGAUUUCACACAAUAAUAUUAUGAACAAUGUUACAUCUAAACAACGAAAAAAACUUCAGUAGGGUGCUUUCCAGUGAUGCGUUGUUAACAACUACGUGUCACUUAUAUUUCCAUUUAAGCAUUGUAAUUCUAAAUCUAAAAUUUAAAAACUAUUUUUAGACAUAAAUAUUAAAACAUAUUUAACGAAUUAUUGGAUAGAGAUAAAAUUAAUAUAUGACAGCGAACAGAGAAUCCCAAGUUUUAUAUCAAAACAACAACACACGCAUGCACAGGCGCACACGUGCGUACACACGCGAACAAGCUUAUUGUUAAAAAAGUUUAUCUUAUCCAACAAAUUAUAUAUCCUUUACCACACAUUGAAACUAAAGCAAACUCUAUCUAAAGCAACAAAGCUAAUCCUAGCUAAAGUGGGGUUACUUUUAAUAGUUUAUAUACACCCAAAGUUCAUUAAACGUUAAAUAUAACUAAAGUUGUGGUCUCCACUUAAUUACAAUUUCUUGUAAAAAAAAAAACAAGAAAAAAAAAAAGAAAAAAGAAACAAAAAAAAACCAUAAAAAUGUUAAAUAUAAAAAUGUUUAAACACCGUUCUCUAACAGCUUAAACUUUUAGAGUACAACGGUUGUUUCAUAUGGUAUCAGAGCAGGAGGUCCUGAGUUCGAGUCACGUCAGGCUCCUAGCAUAUUAAUUUCCUCCCAUUUAAUUCAUGCCCACGUCAUGGGCCGAUUAAAAAGUCUCGAGCCCAGACGUGAGGGUGAGUGUUAAAUAUAAAAAUGUUUAAAUACCGUUCUCUAACAGCUUAAGCUUUUAGAGUACAACGGUUGUUUCAUAAAAAAUGUGUGUGUGUGACAAGGACUUAUGAUUCUUUGUCCUUUUGCGUCAUAGAAAUUCGUGUAAAUUUUAUAUAUUAUUGUUUUCACAUUUAUAUUUAUCAAUAAUUUUAAAACUAAAUUAAAUCGGCCACUUCGAUGGUUCCGAUCGCCACUCGAUCGAGUCUAUAAAAUAAUUUUAUUUAAUUUUUUAAAAUUAUAGAUAAGUUGAAAAUUAUUUUGGACAGUUCAAAAUAAUGGUUCAACUAUUGAACCGAUGAACAGGUUCAAUUUUAAUCAAACCAAUGGAGAUUUUUUUUAUCAAGUCAUAUUAAAAUUCAACAUCUUAAAAUCUGAUUAAUUACCUGAUUUUUAUUUUUAAUUAGCAUAAAUUAGCCUUAUAAAAAGAAAAAUAUAAAAAUUUAUAUCUAUUUAAACUGAUUUAAAAAUUAAUAUUUUAUAAUCAAAUAUAAUACUAAAAUAAUGUAUACGUAUUCUAUCUAUCUAUAUAAUAAAAAUAAAAAUAAUAAUUAAAUAUUUAUAACUUCGUGCUAUUAUCACUGGUUCAAUCUGUGACUUUUCAUCCAGUAAUAUAUUCAGAUCCUUAUUUGACCCAAUUUUUAGAGCACUAAUAUUUAUUCAUUUGUUUUAUUAAUUUUUUUCACUAAAUUUAAAAAAAAAUAUGAAUCUUUAAUUUUGAGAAUUAAGAUACAUAUCUCUAUGUAGAAUGUAAAGGUAUCAUUUUCUUGAGAAAUUAAUCAGGUAAAUAUACACAAAGCCCCUUUAACUACAUGUUUUUGCCCCCACAACUUUAACAAAUUAUAAUUAAGAAAAAAAAAAACUACACAUCUUAGGCCAUAUCUUAUUUACAUAAAAAUGGUAUCAAUUACUCUUUUGCAUUUUAUUAUGGUUUCAAAUGGUUCUUAAAAUUUAAAUAAUUGAUUAAUUAAAUUAUAAAACUUUAUUAGAAUAAGGUAUAUAUCACAUUAUUUCAUAUCUUAACCUCCAUCCAAUUCGCAACUAAAAAAAAAAUUAAAUGAAAAAGUUAGAUACAAUAUAUCUCUUAGGGUCUAUUUGGUUUUUUGGAAAAUACUCCAGAAAACAUUUCUCAGGCUGGAAAAAAAAAUUUCGUGUGUUUGAUUCGCAGAAAAAAUAAAUUUAAAAAAUAUAUAUUUUUAUAUUUCACGAAAAAAUUUUCUUCUCGUCUUUCUUUUUUUUUUAGGAAAACGAAAACUUUUUUCUUACAAAUUAACGUUUUAAGGAGUUAAAGUGGGAAAAAAAAAUUCUACUAUAUUAGUGUAUGUAUACCACUAAAUUUGUUAUUUCCACCAUCUCUCACCGCCAUUUUUAUCUCCCUAUACUAUAUAUAUAUAUAUAUAGAGUCCGGCUAUGGUGCUUGUAAAAGUACCAAGCACUUGGUGCUUGUAAAUUUUUUACCGUUAGAUCUCUGCCUUUGAUCAUUUUCACCCGUUAGAUUAUACUAUUAAACUAAUAACUCACUCAAUCGUAGGGGGGCAGUAUUAUAGUCUCGUUUUCAACCUUAGAAUGCUUAAAUCAACAAUCCAUUUGAAGUUUUUAAGAAUAAAAUUUUAUAUUUUUUCGACAAAGUUUACUUUAUAAUCAAAUCAUUUCAAAAUUGUCAAUUUUCAAUGGCUAGUAUGACGAGUUUAUAAUUUAACGGUGUAGAAGAAUCUAAAUUUAUUCAAAUUUUGAUAGAAAAUACUUUAAACUAACUAGAUGAAGAUCAACAUUCUUGAUCUUGAAUUUAAAAGCUUUAUCCUCAAAUUUUAAAGAUUACUCAAUUUCAACCGUUCAUUUUGACAUGAUUUACUUACUAAGUAAACGAUGUCGAAAAAAGUUAAAAUUUUAUUUUUAAAAACUUAAUAUACCCUAGAUCAUAUUUGAUGAUAUGGAUGAUUAAUUUGAAUAACCUAAAAUCGAAAAUAAGACUAUAGUACCGGAGCCCCGGUACAAUAAAUAGUAUAAUAGCCUAUAUAUAUAUAUAUAUAUGUGUGUGUACAUGGAAGAGCCAUCUCUUUCUUCUAUUUGUAAUCUCCAUCAUCUCCAUUUCUUUUGUCAAAUUAUAUUACCUAUACCAAAAUAUAGUUAAAUUUAUUUUUAUUUUAUUAUUUAUUAUUUAUAUUAUAAAUAGUUUGUGAGUAUUAUGUUAAAUUUUAAAAGAUUGAUAAUCUCACCUUUCUUCUGUAGAAGGCAUUUAUAUAUCAAAAUUUUCAACUAACAAAACAAAUGAAAUAGAAAUAAAAAAUUAUUUAUUAUUUUUUUUCUUACCAAUCAAACACGCAUAUAUAAAAAAGUAUUUUUCUUUUCCAUCGAACCAAACAACAGAAACAAAAAAAAAAAUUCACAAAAAAAUAUUUUCUUCAGAAAAUAGUUUUCUACUAUUUUUCAAGAAACCAAGCAUGCCCUUAUUUUUCUUGUACUAUCAAAAUUAAUAGUUUACUGAACAAUUUUAUUUAAUUUACAUAAUUCUACUGCAUUACUUAAAGAUAGAAUUUUAAGGGAGACAAUUACUACUGUGUCUACAUGUCCUGCAUCUUUUGUAAAUGAGUACUGUAUUGGCCACUCUGGCACCUGCAGAUCUAGUACAUAAUAAAUAACAUCACAUAAGAAAAUAAAAAAAAAUACUAUUGAGUUUUGGAUUAAUUGAGGCAAAUUUGAAUUUUUGAAUUGAUAAUUAUUCACUAUUUAAUACAAAGGCAUAUGGUCAGAGCAUAUGUUUGGCCCAGUCUCUGCUUUUAUUUUCAGCAACAGCAAUAUUUGGUAAAGUGAACAAUAAAUUACAGCUUUUGCAGCAACAAAAUGCAACAACCGGAUCUGAGCCUUAAAAGUAAAAACUCCAAUUCGAUGCUCGAGAAAGAAUCUAUCAAGGAUAUUUUGAUGUAUUGCUUUUUCUUAUAACACUACACAGACACCAACACUUUAUCAAAUAAUACUGCAGCCUGCGACAGAGCCAAAUAUGCUCUAAAAUUACAAGCAAGCUAUACCUUGUCACAGGCAGCGUUUGGCUAGGGGAUAGGAAUAGGAAUAGGUCCUUAUCCUCCCUUUAUAUCCAAAUGCUAAUUUUUUAUCCGAGAAUAGUAGUUCUCGGUUAUUCCCACUAACACCUUCAUUUUCUAUAUAAAACUAUCUAAAAUUGUUCUUAUCCCCGGGAACAACCCAUUUUUCAUCCAAACACUGUUUUUCUUAUCCCCAUACUUGUACCUAUCCCUAUAAUAGCUAGUUCUUGCUUAUACCCGAACCAAACAGUACCUGAAAUUAUAGGCCUAACAUCAAUUCGUAUUUUUUUCAUGUGCGAUUUUGCUUUUGGUAUAGUAUUGUUCGAUAAAGUACUGUUUGAGUAACACUAUUAAGAGAAGUACUAUAUAGAAUCCUUCCAACAAAUCGUCCUUAUAACAGAAGCAGAAGUUUUCAAGUGCGCAACUGAUUUUACAGCUUAAUAUCAUUUAGUUUUCCGUGGCAAGUACUAAGGGUGUUUGGUUGUAAGUAAAACAACUAAAAAUAGUUAGAUAUGAGCAAAAUAGUUAGAGACAAAUGAGAAGAUGCCUAAGAAGCUUUAGGUACAGUAAUGAUAAUAGUCACCUAAUCAAGUAAAUUAAUAGCUAACAUAUUUGAAUCUAUAUUCAUGCUUUGAGCCUUGUUGGAAUGAGGCAAAGGGCCCGAUAUGUUUGGCCCUUUUGUAGAGUGUAAUAUUAUUAGAAGAAACAAUAUAUGUAAUUCGCUAUGAGCUUUUCUCUGCCGCAAAAUCAAAAGCUCUAACGUAGAGCUUUUGCUUGUGAACCUCAAAAUGUUGUUUUCUUAUCCGUCAUAAUGGAAGCUCUAGUGCAUUCCAUUUUGCUAAACACUGAAAUAAAAGCAAUGGCAUCUAAAAGCAGAAGCAGCGCCAGACAAGCAUGAAGGCAAACUAGAGAUCUUUGAAAGCCUAAAAACAAAUCUCAGCCCUUCUGCCGCGUCGCAAACUGCGAUUCGAACAUAUCUCAGCCCUUCUGCCUCGAUUCAGCUUAGGCCUAUUAACAAUGGCUAGAAAUUUGAAGAGAUGGACAACAUUAAGGCUUAAUUUGAAAAUGCGACAUCCAAAUAUAAUCAAUUUGAUACUUUGUUUUAUUAUAAAAUAAAAAAAAAAAAUCUGACAAUGUUUUAAAACUCAUCUCCUCUGAAUCUGAUGCCCCACAAUGGCAGUAGAAAUCUUAAACCAUCACAUCACCAGUUUAGAAACUUUUCAAUGCUUGAAGUUAAUUUUAGAUCUUAUUAACUAAUGAUUUAAAAAAAGGGUGCAUGUGAGGGAUUUGAAACCACCUCCAUUGUUUGAAAAAGGCUAUACAAACAAAUUAAGUAGAAACUCUAUAAAAAUAAAUCCUCCAGAUAAAUAGAUACCAUGUCUAGUACCAGCAAUCCAGCUCGUUGCUCGCGAGCCAGCUCAUGUUUGAUUCGAAAUGAUCUCGAGAUUGAUUGCUCGAUUAAUAAAUGAGUCGAACACGAGCUGAAUAAUCAGCUAGAUGUAGCUCCAUAUAUAUUACAAAUUUUAACUAUUAGGAUUUUAGGCAACCCAAAUGUAAAGAGGCCUAUAUUAUAUAAAUUUCAAUUAUUAGAGUAAGAUUCUAAUUUUCUUAUUACAAAUUUUUACUAUUUGAAUUUUAAGCAGCCAACCCAAGGUAAAGAGAAAUAUAUUUUGUGAAUAUCAAUUAUUAGAGUAAGAUUCUAAUUUUCUAAUUUUCUUUCAACUUUUCAACCAGUAAUAGGACUGACAAUCUAACGUGCUAUCCACAAGAUGACUCAAGUUCGGCAUGUUGAUAAACAAGCCCAUCACGAGCUGAAUUUUUUAGCUUGAUAUUUCAAUGAGCUGUUCGACUCGUUUAAUAAACAAACAAACACGAAUCAGCUCCAACUCGCUCAUGUUCGACACGUUGACAGCCCUAACCAUGUCAUUAUAACAUUAGUAACUUGUGUCCAUCUCAAAGACACAUAAAAGCAAUUAACAAUAACUUGCCCACAAACAAGAAAUCUGAAAAAAGCACAUGGACAAAGAGAAAAGGAAAUUUACAGAUCCAAUUCAUCAAAAAAAAGAAAAAAGAGGCUAAAUUACAAAAACUCCUUAUAUUUCCACUUUUCUCCCUAACUUUCAAAGACCUACAUAUUAUCCCCUCAACAUUUCAAAUUAUUACAUCUAGCCCCUCCGUCCAGAUUCCAUCAUUAUUCCACCUAUGUUUUAUAAUUUAUACCAAAAAUACCCUUCAAAAUGACAGAAAUAUAUUAACAAAUUAUUUUUUUUAUAGAAGAAGAAUAAUUUAAUUAUUUUGCCCUUUCGAUUAACAUUGUACCCUCCUGAAAAUAUUUCUGAAAUUUUAAUGGGACAAUAUAGGUCUUUAAAAAUUCGGGAGGAAAAAUAAAAAAGCGGGUAUUUACAAUAGAGUUUUCUGCAUUUUAGCCCAAAAAAAAUAAAAAAAUAAAAAAUAAAAAAGGGAGAGAUCAAAUUCAUCUGUAAGACACAUAAAAAACAAUCAAUCACAUUAACAAAAAAGAUGAAUGAACUCAGAAACAAAGAAAUUUGAAAAGCCCAUGGACUAAAAGAGUUAUAGUUCCAAGCAAGGUUUUAAGUACCCGUCGGCACGGGCCGUAUCCACCGUGCCGUACCGUGCCAACAAGAUACCGGCACGAUAUAGACCCCGUGCCGAUGACACAGCUCAAAACCCUCUAUUCUUUAAAUUAAUAAGUAAUUUCCUCAAUAAAGUUGAAAAUAUAUGAUAAAAAGACAUAAAAAAUAGUUAGAAUAUUUUGUUGCUACAGAAAAUAAAUAUUUCAUGCUAUUAUGUGUCGGCACAUAAGAAUUUUUUUGACCGGCACGCAUCGGCACGGCUUGGUAAGCACCGUGCCGUACCGUGCCGGCAAGUUUCCGGCACGGUCCCGUGCCACGGCACUUAAAUCCUUGGUUCCAAUAUCCAAACCCAAAUUGGAAAAGAAAAAAAAAAAAAAAAAAAAAAAAAAAAAAAUCUUUACCACUUGCAAUCCUUCAAUGUAGAGGGAAUAANAAAAAAAAAAAAAAAUUACUUCAUUUCAUGUUCCAAUUCCUGAAAACACACGAAACUUCGAAAAAAAUGAAAAAAAAAAAAAAGCUCAGAAUUUCAAUUUACUCACGACGGAAGUCGAUCACGACGGCAUUUAUCAGAUCAAAUAAAAGGAACUUGUUCAUUUGUUACUAAAACAGAAAAAAGAAAAAUCAACAUUGGAUCAGCUAAUUGUUUCAGAAACAAUAAAAACCUAUGAAAAACAAUAAGAAUGCGCGAUCGAAAGGAUAUUUCCCCCAUAAGAACCUAAAGCUGAGGACGAAAACAAACAAUCCUAAGCAAUGGAUGAAGCAUUUACAGAAUUUAAAGGUAAUGAAUAUUUACACAACUAAGUUUUUAAGGAGAGGAAGUAAGAGAAAAGAAUCAGUAACGGCGCGGUUCAUGAUGGUUUAUUAUAACCUUUUUCUCACCAUCGAUCGAUGAUUUUGCCACGUCCAAACGAGCAGGAAAAUUGAAAGGACUGAGCCCACCGACGUCCAAAGCAUUACGAGCCAUUUAGGCAUCGGAUUCGGAAACAGACCUGUUAGAGAAGCACAUUUUUUAGCCCUAAUUAAAGAAAACAAGAAACAAAAAAAAAAACAUAGGUCGACGAAGAAAUUAAACUCCUCACCAUGGCCAAAUUUGAUACAAAUGAGAAGCUCGACUAUGCAUAUCGCCAGCGAAAGCCAACAGAAUGCUCCUACCUUCUUCACAGGUUUCCUGCUAUCAUUAAUUAUGUUUCAUGAAAAAAUAAAAAAUAAAAAUUAGUCCUCGGUGUUCAACCCCCGAUUUCAUCCUGCAAUUUUAACAACUUAGUUUCUGAAAAAUUAGUUCGUCUUAGAUGGUGUUCUCCGUUGAUUGGAACGAACUUCAGAUACUAAAUAGUUAAGAUUGAAAGUACGAGAACGUAGGACGGAAUUCGUGAUUGACUAAGGCCCUGUUUGGGAUUGCGGAGAGAUUGUGUUACGUGCCGUGGAAAAGUACGAUAGAAAAAUAUUAUGUUUGUUUCCGUACGUAAUAUAAAGUCGCAGAAGCAUAUCUCCGCAUGAGGCCUCAACACCAAUUACUAAACAGGCCCUAAUUAUCGAAGAACAAAUAAUUAUCCGAAACAAACUUAACAGGAAAUUGAAACUUUCGAGGUCGUAACUCAAAUAGGGAUCAAACUUCAAUUUACAGCAAGAAAGAAAAAGUUUAAGCAUAUUCGACGAAAUGUGCUCAUGAGUUAAGAUAUUAAUUUUCCUUUCCUACGUCGCAAGAAACUCAAGACCCAAUUUUGUAUGCACAAUAUGCCGUAAGAAAGGGAUUCACCUGUCUUGCAAGUAGGUGUUAUACUCGCGGAUCGUCGGGAUUGCGAUGAGCCACCAGAGAACCAAUCGGUAGAUGAUCAAGGGGUUUCGCGGCGGGAUCCAGAGACAAAACUUGAGGAAGAAAGUGUUGAGCUCCACGGUCAUAAACACGAUGCAGAGGCUCAGCACUUGGACGAAUCUCCACGGCCCGAGGAGAGGGUGCCACUCGUCUUUGUCCCACCUCGCAGGCGUAAAUUGGCCUAAUGUUCUUUUCACCUACGGAAAAAUAAAAAAGCAAAAAAGAAUAAUAUAUAAUAUAUGCAUUAAAGUCGAGUUAAAUGGAACACAAUCAACCGAUCUCCACCCCUAAAUUUUAUAACUGUAGCUUUUGCAAGUUCAGAAUCGAUUCGAAUUACUACCUCAGCUAAACCCCCAACUAUUCGGUAACUACACUAUGGAUUCCGUUAACACUUGACGUGCGGACAAGUCAUGGAGUAAUUAGCUUUAACAAAAACAACUCAAAAGAAUCAAAAUUAAUAAAAGUUGACGGGGCGCAAAAAGAAAAACAAAGAUCUGAAGCUUAUACGGCCGAUAGUUGAGCGGGUCUCGACACAUUUUUAUCUGUGAUUCUUGCAACUUCGUCAAAAUAUUCAAACAAAAACUUCCGAUAUUAUAACCUAAACCAUCAUUCCCGUAACCACGUCCCAAUAAAGCAAUAGCAUCAACUGGGUGGAUUUUGGGCAUGUUUGGCCUAACUUUUGUAGAACUGAUUUCUACUUAAGUGAUUUUAAUAUGCAGAAUUAUUUUUAGUUAAAAGGUAUAGAACGAUUGGCUGAAUCUGGCAGGAAAGUGAUUUUUCUGAAGUGAUUUUGGCCAAAUUUAGCAGGAAAACGAUUUUUCAGAAGUGAUUUUAGUCGAGUUUGGCAGGAAAGUGAUUUUUCUAAAGUGAUUUUGUAAAGUUAUUUGGAAAAUUUUCUAAAAUGGUUUUCAAAAUUUAAAUUUUAAAAUUUUGAAAAUAAAAAUUUCAAAAUUUGAAGUUCAAAAUCUAAACUUAAAAUUUGAAUUUUAUCAAUUUUGAAUUUAAAAUCUGAAUUUGAAUUUAAAUUUUGAAUCCAAAAUCCAAAUUUAAAUUUGAAAUUUGAGAAAUCAGGAUAAGAUUUUUUAAAAAGCAGGUUUUAGCUGCUUCUAAGUUUAGGGGGUCUAAAAUUAUACAUCUGAUUCUAAAAAAUCACAAUCAGAUUUUACAAAAAAAAAAAAAAAUUGAAGGAAAAGUCACUUUUUUGGCCCUAAAAUCACUUCCUAAAAGCUAGGCCAAAAGACACCCCAUUAGUCUUCAACAAUAAUUCAAGACACAGACCGACCGUUCCUAAAGCAAGUGGCAAAGGGAUUGGUGGUUGGUACCCGAGGUUCCAAGUUCGAAUCCUAGUUGAUUCAUAUUUCCAGAUAAGUUUAUUUCUAAAUGAAAUAAACGAAGCGGGUAGCGUGCUACCUAUCUCUCAAAAAAUAAUAAUAAUAAUAAUAAUAAUAAUAAUUCAAGACAUAGAUAUCAUCCGCGUUGAAUCUCGAACACAAGGUGCUUUGAGAAAUUGAAAGAACGGAACCGAACAUUACCUUACCCAUGAUAUUCGGUUGCCGACUUAUACCAACCCACUCAUACGUCUUUCCGUCAAAGUACCUCACGGUAUGCAUUCCAGCCCAUAUGCCUGAGAUAUACAGCAGACGAUUAAUUUCGUAACCGGAUAAAGCACAAACAAGUAACCAAUAUUGCGCUAUUUUGAGUACUCGACUCAUAAAUUAAUGACUCGAUAUAAUAUUUAAGGAAACAAUACCCUCGUAAACUAAGAUUUAACCACUUCGUGCCCUCGUCUGCGUUCUGUCGGGCAAUAUCCCUCACUUUUCGCUAGAUUAAUGGCAUAAAAAUGUUGGUCUUGCGAAUUCGCAAUUUUCAUAAACAACUCCGCUGCAUUUUAACCCUAGAAAAGAACAAAUGACGUAAAAACAAUGGUAGGAUCUUACCGAACCAAUUGCAGAUCAGAAUGUCGAGAAUUAUACUAUCCCACCAGCACUCAUUAAAAUUCGGCAACAUAUGACGGAAAGUAAGCUGUAAAAGUUAAAAGAGAACAAACUUUAAGAAAUGAAAAGCUUUAAAAAAAAAAAAAAAAAAAAAAGAAGAGAAAACUCAUUAAGAAAAGACGUUUACCUCCAUUAAUUCAAACCCUAUCGACAACACCCACAGAAGGGGUUGAUUUCGUAUCAUUAUAGCUUUUCCCCACCAGCCAAAAAUAUGAGCGAGCACAAACUCAUCGAAUAGCGUCUCCUAGAAAACCUAAAAGUCAAAAUCAGUAACUUGAAAUAUCACAAAGAGUAAUUUGCAUACGUACCCCUGCAAAGAUAUCUGUUUAUAUCUCGCAAAAAUUUGAUUUUUUAUAUAUUUUCAGUUCAAAAAAGGGAAAAAAAAAUCAUAUUUGUUAAACUUUCGAAGAAACUAAAAUUAGAAAGACGGAAAUGGAAAUGGGUUGGUGAAGACAUCAUACGUAGACAUUUUUGAACCUGUUUUUUGGAUUCUCAGGGACAUAAAUACGGCAAUCCGCUCCAUACGAUCUUUCAGGCAGCUCUGUUCGAAUGUUAACAACGAAGAAGCUUAAAUUUCUUCACCUACUGAAGUGAAGUUACUUAAUUUCACAAAAAUAGAAGAUAAAAAAAAUUAAGAGAGACUAAUUACCAACACCAAGAUCAGGGUGGAGAUACUUCAUGAAUUGUCGCGCAUCAUCACGGUUCUGGAACGAAAAGAAAAAGAAAUCGAUCAUUUACAUCACGAGUGUCCUUCCGUGGGAGGAAAGAGAAAAGCAAGAUUCGGUUAAGGGCCUGACAUAAGUGUUGUUUAAGAAGAGUUGUUUAAAAAGCACGGCUUCUCCUGCAAAUUCCAUCGAUCAACAAAUGUUCCAACUGUAACAAAAGCAAUAGCUUCGAAUUGGAACUUCUACUUUUUUGGAGCACAAAAGCUCAGUUCAGCUUUGUCCCAUAGCAGAAGCUUAACAUUUGUAAAACGUUUGGCUGUUACUUUUCAAAUUAGAGAAGCUAAUCCAGAAGUAAGGCCAAAUAGGCACGGAGAAAGCAAGAACAAUUAUACCUUCUUAUUUCUUUGAUGAAUGCCGCGUCGUUGGCAUUCAAAUUACCAAAUGGAACAAUUCCGACCGUCUUAAACCAAGCUAACUUAAAAAAAAGGAAAAAAAAAAAAGAUUAUGAAGACAAACCUGAAAAAGCAAAAAGGUGAGGGCAACAAGGUAAACAACAGCCAUCCCAUGAACCAAGCGCCAAAUCGCAGGAUGCGGCCUAAUAAGUACUCUGAAACACCAAAGUACGGACGGAAUUGCCAGCGAUCGGUCAGGUUUAUACAGCCAUUACUGGUGAAAAAUAGUAGUCCGAUACUACAAAUAUUUCUGUUUAACUUUUUCGCUGUCGAAACUUACAUAUUCCAGCUUUACACAUUUGAUGCUUGAAUAAUUGGUGGCAUCAUAUACAUCUAUGUUCAUAUUGAACUAAUCACUUCAUACGAAUAAGUGUUGUCGUUGAAUUUUACUUGAAACAUGAGAGAAUCGUCGAAAUCAGAAAGAGAAUGGCAACUUACGUGGAAGGAGCUUGGAGCAAAGAGUAAGCUAGAAAAACCGCGAUCAUCGCCCACACGCCCCUGCACGUAAUAACAACAACAGCUAAGGAAGUAGUAAGUAAAUCCCUAAGGUAAAGAAACAAGCAAAAGAAGCGAAGAAUUUUGAUGCAUGUAUCUCAUUUGUAUUUCAUUUGAAACAAUUUAGUCCCUAAAUUUGAAGUCGAGGAUGAAAUGAAACCGGGGAGAAACUUCGGAUACUAAAUUGUUGCAAUUGGGACUCCGAGGAUGAAAAACGAAAUUCGGGCAAAACUUUCAAGGACUAAACCUGUCACAAACUGUAAAUAAAAGAGUCGAAAUUUGCGAAUCGAGCUGCCGUCAUACCUCUUCACAGAUGUAACACGAUCGGUAUCAGCGCUGCUUUCCGGAUUAAGAACACCACUUGCCCAACUGAAAACAGAGAUAAUGCUAAGAUCCAAAUUCAAGAUACCGAAAAAAGUAAUCUACCAAUGUUAAAUUACCGUAUUUUACUCCUAAAUCUUAUAAAUUUAUGCCUAUCUUAAUUGAAUCAAAAUAACUCCAUGAAUUUCAUUAGCGUAGUUAAGCUCACAUUAAAAGGCAAGUGCCGAGUAGUAGCAGAGAGAUAGUGCGAGGCUUGUAUGCCCAUGCCGUCCACGGAUCAACUUCACCAAAAUAACUCAGCAACUUCACGUCGUUAUCCUCUUGCGAAUUCGCAUACUCCCUUCUCCGUGAUUUCAUCUGGCCGUUGACCGCCAUGAGACCAUCGACGUUCAGCGGCUCACUGGAAGCGGCAGAGAUACGUUUCAGUUCGAAAAUAUAGCUUGUAGUGAACACAAAAUCACAAUAUCUGUAAUGUGGUCAGGGACAGAACAUGUAAAGUUACAGCAAUAUCAUGUGAAUGUGGUCCUGGAAACUUAUUUAGUAGAGAACCUCUGCCAUAAUAGAGCUCAAAAUAAAAAGGACAAAAAAGAGAACCCGAUCGGGAAUUACAACGAGCGACAGCAAUCCGCAUGUUAGUGCACGGAAAAGAAAAAUGUUUCACACUGAAAAUUCAGUGGUAACUUACGAUGAAGAACAAAAAAUCAUUGCACUUUUUGUAAAAUUAUAUGAUUUAGAACUAAAAGAGGUGAUUAAAACGACCUCGUUUGAUUCACUCAGAUAAUAACAACUCAAGAUACAAAUCCAAGUAAAUUGUAUGAAGCAUAAUCGGUUAUUAAUGAAUAAGACAUGGAUUAACAUCAUGUAAAUUUUACUGCAGAUGAAUUCAAAAGAUAUUGUGAAAGAAUGUUUCAUGAGUGCAACAGGCCAAAAAUGAAAGGCUGGAGCUUUAAGACUCGAUCGAUCGAUAUCAAAAAGAAUGAUACACACAUCAUUAAUUUCCUUGAAAAAUAGAAAGGAAAAUUAAAUAAAACAGUAACCUUGAUGAAUAUAAACACUUCAAUGAAAAAUUCUCAGUCAAAUUACGAACAUUAAACAAGCCAUUUGAAUAAGAUCACCCAAAAUUAAUCUGAAAUUUUGUAAUUGAAAUUAUAAGUUAACAAAAUACAUCAAUGAUUAUUACUUAACAAACCUAUUAAAAGUGGCUCUUUAAGGAAAAGAACUUAAAAUUAAAGGAAAUUUAGGUGUACCCAGGAAAUCAAAAACAAAAAGAUCCAUUAAAAUUCAUGAAAAUUCACUACUAAAAGUAGAAGUAGAUCAAAUCUUAUAUGAUUUAUUCAAAAAUUAGCAACAAAAUAGGGCUUCAAUUAACAUAAUUAAACUUUUACUACACAUGCAAAAAAAAAAAAAAAAAAAAAAAAAAAAAAAAAAAAAAAAUUAUAAGCAUUUACUGAAAUACACACACACACACACACACAAAGUUCAAAAGAUAUACUUAAAUAUUAAUCAAACCAACAAAAGGACAGAGCAUAAACAAUGGAUUAUUAUUAUUUCUUUACCAAGAAAAAAAAAAUUGGACCUCAAAUCAAAAUGAAAAAAAGAAAAAGAAAAAAAUGAACCCACAAUAUACAUAAAAUGAUAGAAGUAAAGAAAGAAAUAUUUAUUUAUACACAUGAAUCUCCUAAAAAUUAACCAAACUAUAACUAAAUCAUCAUCCCCUCUAAACCAAGAAACUAUACAACCCAUUCAAAAGAGAUCAACAGGAAACAAAACAAAACAAAAAAAGAAAAAAAAAGAAAAAGAAAAUUGUGAUAGAACCAAGAAAAAGAUAAUCUGGGUUCACUACCCAAGAAAUCAAAACAAAUCUAAUAUAAAAAGAACACAAGAAAUUCUCUUUAAUAUGAAAACAAAAGAAUCAUGAGAAGAAGAAUAAAGUGUGAAAUGGAAUCUAAAACACAAAACCUUAUAAUGGUAAUUAAGGGAUCAUAACGUAUACCUAUAAAUAAAUGCACAAAAUAUGAAUCUGGGUUCACCCAAAAUAUCAAAACAAAACCAUUCAAAGCACAAAAAUAGAAAAAUAAUUCCCUUUCAAAUUGGGAAAAAAAAAAGAUGGAAUUUUUACAAGAACAAAACGUGAAAAAUGGAAUCAACAAAGAAACAACAAGUACUUGAUUUGGGAACCAUCUCAUAUACACCUGGGUUUCACCCAAAAACUCAAAACAAAACCAUUUAAAACAUUAAAAAAUCCUCUUUAAAAUGGGAAAAAGGAGGAAUCUUUACGCGCACGAAAUGUGAAAUAGAAUCAAAAAACAAACAUAAGCUAAUUAAUUGAUCAAAUUACAUAGAAAUAAAUGGACCCAAUUGAAGAUUCGGACAAAAAUGGAGGUAAAAAAAAGGGUAUUUAGUACUCAUCAUGAAUAAAAUUCCAAUGGAAAUAAUUAAUUACCCACGUAGGGGAAAAGCCGACAAAGUGGCCGUCUCCGCCGUACGAUCCCCAGAUGAGGUGAUCCUGACCGUCGAAAUCGAUUAAAGGCGUCGCCUUUUCAACUCUUUUCUCUCAAAUUUCCCCUUUUUUUUUCUUUUUUUCCUCUUUUUUCCUCUUUUUCUCUCUCUCUCUCUCUCUAUCUCUAUCGCUCUACUUUGAUUAAGGGAGAGGAAUCAUACAAGAGAACAUAGUCCGGAAAAUCUUAUAGAAGAAGGUGAAGAGAGAGAAAGAAGAGAGAGAGAGAGUACGAUGGUCAAAGAUGGUUUCAUGAAAUGGGGCCAAAAUAAAUAAAUAAGAGUGAAAAUAAAAAAAAAAUAAAUGGGUGGAGUAUCACCAAAGUAGAUAAAUUAUUCCGUGCACCGGAUGUAUAAUGCAUGCAUAGAAUAAAACUCAAAUACCUUUCGGGCCAGUUUUUGUCGGGUCGUUGGCGCUAACCAUUAAAAACAAAAGCUCGAACUGCUAGAAAUACGCAACCAAUUUACUUAAAGCGUACAGAUGCAGCGCCCACGAGUCUCAAUUGUGACUCGACCCACCCGGCGGUCCCGGCCUCACGCCACUUCGAAUACGACUCGGCCCACCCACCUUCACGCCAUUUCGAACGUGACUCGGCCCAACAUGACCUCCCGCCAUAAGACAGGAUGCUGGCCCAUGUAAGCCAACAGUUUUGAGAAUAAUAGUGUAUUCGAAUCGAUGAUGAUCGGCACUGUUAAACUUUAUUUAGAUUAUUUUAAUUUUUUUUGUAUCUAAAUUUUACGAUUUUCAGACAUUAUGUGCCUAUCAUUCAAUUGGCUAAUAUAAGAUCAAUUUGAGACCACUUGAUCACUAAACGGAUGACGGUGGAAAAGCGAAAUUUCUUGCUUAUAAAGUUCAAAUAGUUUAUGUUUAAUAAUGUAGAUCGUCGAUUUAGCCUCUCUCUCUCCCCCUCUUUUUAUAUAUGAAGCUAGAGUGACGGUCUAAUUAACUGCUCAUCACUUUUUUUUUUAGAGAAAGGUAUCAUGCCACCCGCUUCGUUUAUUUCUUUAGGUAAUGAACUUAGCUGAAAAUGUGAAUCAACUAGAAUUCGAAUUUGGGACCUCAGAUAUCCACCACUCUCUUGCGCCGGGGACAGUCGGUCUCAUCACUUCUUUAAGACUUGAAAAAAGAUGUAUCUUAUAAAAACACGUCUAAUGGCUUGUUUGGUUGUACACAAUUACAAUUUUAGUAUAGUUUUAACAAAGAAUAUUUGAUAAAUGGGAAGCAAAUUUUAAUAUAUCUGAUAUAAAUAAAUGCAUUUACAAAUAAUUUUAUUUGAUUACGUUCAAUAAACGCAUUUAUAAUUAAAAUUUUGUCACUUCAUUCAUCUAAUGAUAAGUACUCGCAAUGUAGAAGAAAAAAUAUUUGCACUACAAUAAAAUUAGAUUAUAGGGACAUAUUUUUGGGACACUUUUAAAUAAGUGUCCUAUUUAUGCCAAAAAAUUUUAAAAAAAAUUAUUAAGGCCUAAAUAUAAAGUCCAAUCCAAUCAAAAAUAAAAAGUUCCUGUAUUCAACUAACCAUACUCAGCUCACUCGGCCUGAUUACAGAUAAAAAAGGAAGAAAAAAAAAAAUUUGAUUACCAUCUCCCCUUCUCUUCCUCCGCCGCCGCAGCCGAUGAGGUAGGGUCCCGGCGACUAGAGUUCGGCCGCGAGAAUAUCUUAGGGACCGUAGAAAGCUAUGAUCGCCACGUAUCUCUCGCCGCAUGUUGCUGAAGGAGUGGGUGCCAAAUAUCAAGACGGCACCACCUGUAGCGACUCCACAUAUAGCAACACUUUUAAAAAGUGUCGGUAAUUUAAUCAGUAGCACUUUUUUGGCCUGUAUUGAUAUUUAAAAGUAUCAUUAUACAUCAUUUUUGUUGUAGUGUUGAUCCAACUACAAAAAUUGGAUUCGAAUAUACCUAGCCAAAAGUUGUAUUUGGAUUUACGUAAAGUUAAAACUACAAUAUAGUUGUAGCUAUAUGCGAUUAAAUGAUCCUACCGUAGUUCUAAAAAUAUCUGUAUUCAACUGCAUAACAUCAACAAUUAUGCUGUAUUUACCACUAUAAUCAAACAAAUGGUCCCCAAAAGAUAUAAGGGAGGUCUCAAAAUAAAAAAUCUAACCAAUUACGAAUUUUUAUGACAUAAGUUAAGACAAUAUGAAAAUUUGUAAAAUUAGAUAUUAAUUUUUUUUGUAAAUAACACAUCGAUACUUGAUGACAUAAUUAUAAGCUCUCAAAUUUGAGGGAUUCUACAGUGUCACAUUUGCACCACGUCAUCAAUAACAAGUCAAUUACAUUUCUUCUUUUCAAACAAAAGUAUAAUAAAAAUAUUUUUUUUAUAAUCAUGAUAGGACAUAUUUUUUUAAAAAAAAUAUUUGAUUGGCUUAUUAUGCCACGUCACCAAUACACCUGUUGCUUUCUAGAAUUUUUUCUCAAAUUUUAUAAUUUUUAUGCGUAAGCUAUUGAGUUGAUAUUAUAUUUUAGUUUAUUAAUUAAUUAUUAAAAGUUAAAUGCAGUGUAUAAGGUGUAUGGAUGCACCAGGUCUAGGGAAUAAUUUCUUACAAAGUGGCGCAUGUGGUCGAGGACACGUGGCUCAGAUGCCGUGAACUAUUUAAAGUUUUUUUUUUUUUUUUUGAGAAAAGAACUAUUUAAAGUUAAAAGAAAAAAAAAAUGUACAAAGUUUUAAUAUGAACCGCAAAAUAUUUAAAAUAAAUAUCUAAAUAUCUUCAAGUAUCUUAAUCAUCAAGUAUUUUGACGUAGAUUACCUAAACUUUAAAAAUUUUAUUUAAUUAUGUAACAAUGUAGUAUUAAUUUUCAAAUUUUGAUUAAUAGCUUUUUAUCGUAUAGUCAAUUAAUAACUUCAUAAAUAUUCUAAGAUUAGAUAAUAAAAUUAAAAUUUUUAAAUUUUGAACUUUUUAAACUUACUAAGAAGUUAUGUUAUAAAUUAUUUUUCUUUUUUGAAAUGUAUGUUUCCGUUUCUGUAUGUGCAUAUAGGGGCCGUUUGGUUGAAUGUAGUUGUAAAAAUAAUGUAGUUGGAAGUACAUGCAGUUGUAAAUGCUGCAGUCAUAACUACACCUAGUCUGUUUGGUUUUAUGCAGUUGCAACUACUGUAGUUACAUUUCUUCUAUUUGGCAGUCUGCAGUUGAGAUUUGUAUUUAUAAAUUUUAUCAAUUUUCAGAUAAAAAUGUGAGAUUACCUCUUCUGAUCAUAACGUAAUUAUGUUUUGAUUAUUAAUUAAGAUUUUUAUAUCUAUAUAUAAUUUAUAUAUUACAAAAUUAUAUAUGAAUUUAAUAAAUUUUAAAUGUAAAUAUAUUAUAAAUUUGAUCAAAAUAAAAAUUAAGAUAUUAUUAAACUAGUCGUAUGAAAAAAAAUUUAUUGACCCUAACAAACAUUACUAAAUCUUAUCAGAUUUCAUAAAUAUGUAUUUUUAGAAAAAAUAAAAAAAAAAAAAGAAGCGUAUGAAAAAAAAAUCACACUUUGUUUAUUCUUUUAAUAAGUAAGCCAACUCCGGCUCAACUACUGCAAUUGGUACUACAGUCAAUUUGGUUGUAAUACCAACUGCUGCAGUUGGGCAUUCUCAUGCAGAUGCAACUGCAGCAGUUGAGCCUAACUGUACCAAAGCAAACAAAAAAUUAAUAAAUGCAUGCAUUUUCAACUGCAAUGCAGUUGGAAAUGCAUGCAACCAAACAACCCCAUAGUGCAAGGUUCGAUUUUUGGCAAAAAUGUACUUUACCCCUUUCAAUAUAUUAUAUAUUACACUUACCCCUUGGAUUAAAAAAAAAUGCCCUUAACCCCCUAUAAAAAUUUACGUCGUUAACACUCACACCUCUUAAAUAAAAAAUAUAUAUAUACAAUUCAUCUUCUUAUAGAGGGGGAAAAAAAUUUAAUAUAGAAGCAUAUUUUGUCAUUUUACGGUUUUUUAACACGAUAAUUUAAUAAAAUAGUUUUGAUCUUCUGAGGAGGCUAAGUACACAUUUUUUUAUAUGUAAGGAGUAAAAUGCAACAUACGAUAUAUUGUGAGAAUUAUCUUCAUUUUAGCUUACAUUUUUUUAUAAGGAUGAGCCAUGAUAAAACGUUAAGUCUGAUUCGAAUUUUCAGAUGCGUAUAUUCACCUCAAGGGUACAGAUGUUUGGAAUUACAAAGAGUGUCGAAUAUUCGCAACCGCCACCAUUGAUGCCACCACCAUCACAAUCACAAACCACUAUUACCGUCAUCAUCAAUCGUUGCGUCGAUCACACUACCACCAAAGGCAAAAUUAGGGGCAAUAGAUUUACCAUGCCUUAUAUCUGCCAAGAUAUAAUCCGCUGAGCCUCCAAUUCUAUUACCUUCAUUAAUACGCCUCACCUGAAGGUGUUCCUUUCUGUUUGUGCCUAAAUCACCUAGAUAAAGUAUCUUUUACUUUUUGCUACAAUAACACCACGACAAAAACAUAGGUGAUCUGAUUCGGAUUUCAUACUCGUAUAUUCGCCUUAAGAUGUACAGAUGUUUGGAGUUACGGCGAGCAACGAAUGUAAGCAACCACCACCACUAAUGCCACCACCAUCACAAUCACAAACCACUAUCACCGUCCCCAUCACUUCUACGAUCACACAUCCAUAAAGACAGAAGUAGGGGGCAAUAGAUUCACCCUACCUUCUAUAUGCGAAAAUACAACUCAUUUAGCUUUUUUUUCUGCCACUUUAUGAUAGAAUAAAGUACUACUCUAUGAAACGCCUCACCAGAAGGUGCUUCUUUCUGUUUGUGCCCUAAAUUCGCCCAAAUAAAGCAUUUUUUUUAUUUUUCCUCCUGCAAAACUGGCUUCACUAUAAUUAUAUCUUAAUUUUUUAGAUGAAAAAGAUAAAGAAAAUAAAUAUACCACAAAAGAAAUUUUACCACAAAAUUUCCUCUCAAGAUGCAUUUCAUAUUAGAGAGAAGCAAUACCUAGAAUUGGACUACAUAUCUAGGAAAAAGUAUAGGCCUUAAAGUAUUCAAAUAUUGAUUAGGGUGAAUUAAUUUUUUUUCCGUCUCCUGCUCCAAAUCCGUCUCGAGUUAUAAAAUUAUUCUCAUUCAAUAUAUUGAAUCUAUUUACUUGCUCGCACUUAAAGGGGUGUUUGAUUUCCUCGAAAAUUUAUCAGAAAAUAGUUUUCUGGCUGAAAAAUAUUUUUUCGCCUAUUUAGUUCUGAGGAAAGUAAUAUUUUUCAGAUUUUAUAGAAAAGUAAUAUUUUUGUUUUUCAAAUUUUUAAUCCGGAAAACAAAAAUCCUGCGAAAUUAUGUUCUCUAUAUAUAUAAAAAAAAAAACUAUUUUUCUAAAAAAAAAAAGUUUUCUCAGUUUUCCGGGAAAACAAACAUCCCCUUUAAGCAUAUUUGUUUCACCGAAAGUAAAAAGGAUUGAAAUUGUUUUUAACCGUAGUGGUCACUUUUAUUGUUUGGUUCACUAUAAAUUAAAUUUGCUCGCAACUCCACUUUUCAAGAUGCCGUAAUUGUCUUCACUCUUGCUGGUGCAGAAGUCAAUUAAAUAACUUUAGGAAAAAAAAAAAAAUUACAGUUUCAAAAUCAUUGACUUUCUAUCAAAUAAUAACUUUAGAAAAAAAAUACACAUAAAUUUCACUUCAACUAAAAGUAAUUUUCAACCUAAAAAACCACUAAUGGGGAAACAACUACAACUCUAACUUAAAUCUAUUUGCAUCCCAAUCUUAUUUAUUGCAUCCAUAGAAUUCUUUAAUAUACCUUACUUGCAUGCAUGUAGGAAACUUUUAUCAUUUUCAAAUCAUAAGCAAUGCAAGAUGCUCUUAGGGAGAAAAAAAAAAAGAAAAAAAAAAGAAAAAAAAAGAGGGGAGAUCCAUGUAAAGGAUUCUUGGAAGGUAAAAAUGAAUGAAAUUUACCUAAAUUAUGACCAAUUUUGAAAUAACUAUAUGAUCUUUAAAAUUUAGCUUUACUAUUUAGCUAGUUCAAUUUUCAUAAAAAAUUAUUAAAUUGAGUCUUGCUUUUUUAAAUAAUUUAUUUCAAAUAAAUAAUUUUACAGAUGUUCUUGUAAAAUCAGCAAUGUAAAAUACUCUAAUUAAGUGUAUUAAAAUAAACAUGACAUCUAAAUUUUGUAACAAAAGAUUCAUAAAACAACACCAUCCAAAUCUAUAGGGGCAUUUGGGGAAAUUGGUAGACCUCAUGAAGAACAAUUUUUUUAAAAAAAAAAUAGAUCAAAAUAAUUAGGAUAAACUUCAAUUUGUCUAAAUGUAGUUGUAUAUUCACUUUACAAGGCAUGUUUGGUUGCUCGAAAGUCGGCGAAGUAAAAAAAGUCACUUUUACGAAAGUGACUUUUCAGUUCGAUUGUUUGCUUGCUAUAAAGUAAAAAAUUAAAACUAUAAUUUUAUAAUUUUAUAAUUAUUAAAUUAUAUAUAAAGAGGUGAAAAUAUAAACAAACUACUUAUAUUACAAUUUAAAUUUAAAUUAAUAUUUAGAAUUCAAAGUUAUAUUUUAAAAUUUAAAUUUAAACUUAAAUCUGAGUUGAAUUUAUAAUUAAAAUUUAAGACAUAAAUUUAAUUUACAAUUUGAAUUUAAAAUUUAAGUUAUAACUUAUAACUGAAAUUAAAUUUUAAAAUAAAAGUUCAACACAAAAAUUAGAAUUUAAAUUUAAAUUUAAAUUCUAGAAUUCAAAUAUAAAUUCAAAUAAAUUCUAGAAUUCAAUUUCAAAUUCAAAUAAAUUGUAGAAUUAAAAUUUAAAUUCCAAAUUUAAAUUUAAAUUCUAGAAUCAAAUUUAAAUUUAAAUAAAAAUUAGAAUUUAAAUUUAAAUUCUAGAAUUAAAAUUUAAAUAAAAAUAAUAUUUAAAUAUUUAAAUUUAAAUAUAAAGUCAUAGAUUUGAAUUUAAAAUUUUAUAUUGAAUUUUAAUUUACAAAUAAAAUUUAAAAUGUGAUCAUAAUUUUAAUUCAAAUUUAAAGUGAAAUUGAACUUUAAAAAUAAAUUUAAAUAUUAAAAUUAAGACCGAAUAUAACCUCUUAGCUAAGCUCUCCACUUUCGGUAACUUCUGAAUUUUUUGAGCCGAAGUCAAAAAAGUGAGAUUUAGUUAUAACUCACUUAAUCAGCCGACAUUCAUAAAGUAACUUUCAUAUUCACUUUCAUAAACCAAACAACCGAUAAAACAUCACUUUCUAAAAGUACCACUUUCGAUGCUACACUUUUGGUGAACCAAACAUCCCUUUAAAAAAGGUGUAUUUAACCACCUUAAUUUUUUUUUUUUAUCAUAAUAACCUAUAAUAAGAGAAAAAAAUGUUAUAUUAUACCGCUAUAUAGUUUACAAAAAACAGCACUUUAGUAUUCUAUUUAAAGAUCGAUACAUUCUUCUGAUAAAACAAAAGUAAAAUUAUAGAAAAAUUAAAUAUAAUUUUUUUAAAAUCAUAAGAUAAUUACAUGAAAAUGUGCUUAAUCACAAAGUACAAAUUAAAAUUUCCCCAAAAAAAUAUUAAAAAAAAGGGAGAAAAAUAUGACCAAACUUGUCCUAUUAUCUUUGCAUGUCUCUGACACCAAAUAGUGUGUGUCCUCUGAGGCCCUCUCCACUCUCCUCAGAGUCCACAAUCUGUCAAGUACAGCCCCCUUAUAAUUGCUAAUUAAAUACUAAAUUUUUAUUCCCUAAAUACCCCUCCAUGUACAAAAAGGUUCUCAAAUAAAUGAAAUUUAUUUUAGGUACACUUUUACAUACAGUGCUAUUUUAGGUAUAUUUUCAUGAAAUGGAACCAUUCCAAAAUAGGAUGGUACAUGGUAUCCUUCAAAGAAAAUAGGAAUAGUCAUUAGAUAACAUAUAUACAUACAUAUAUAUAUAUAUAUAUAUAUAUAUAAAAAAGUUGAUAUUGAUAUUACUAUAAUAGUGUUUUUAUAAGAACAUUUUAGAUUUAUUUAAUUUGGUUUUAUAUAGUCAAUAAAAUAAUAGUCAAUUUUAGAUUUUUUUUUCCUUUGCUUGUAUUAAAUUUAGUUUUUGUACAAACUUCACCAAAAAAAUUAGAUUUGAUCUACAUUAUUAAAAAUAUUUGAAAACUAAAUUUCAUAAUUUUUCGGCAUCAUUUACCUACAAAAUGAAUAGUCUAAAAAUUAAACUGCUGAAAAUAAAAAUCUCAUUAAAAAUAAUGAUAAAAGACUUGAAUUUAAAAUCAGAGGUUUUGAUCUUACUUUAAACAGUGAAAAAAAAUUUCUAUAAAAAUUUCAUCAUAUUUGAAUUUUUUUACACCGUUAAAUUCACAAACGCAUCAUGUCUAUCAUUAAAAUUGUCAAUUUUGAGACCUUUGAACACUAGCCAAAUAAUACCGAAAAAUUAUAAAAUUUAGUUUUCAAAUACUUUUAAUAACGUAGAUCAAGUCUAACGGAGCCGAUCGUCGAUUUGGAAGCCGCAUCAUUAAAAACAACUUGGUAGCACGAAGGCCUCCGUACUACCGAUAGUAUACCAGCCUAGCUAUAUAUAUAUAUAUAUAUAUAUAUAUAUAUAGAGAGAGAGAGAGAGAGAGAGAGAGAGAGAGAGAGAGAGAGAGAAUUAGGCUGGAAUACUAUUAAUAGUAAAACGCUCUUUUUGCUAUCAAGUUUUUAACUCUUGGAUGAAAAAUUGUAGGGUCAGGAUGAUAUUAGUCAGUUAGAGUUGAGUGGUCCCCUUAGGGUUGAGUGGUCCCUACUAGGUUAUAGUAUUUAAUCCAAUAGUUAGAAAUAAUGAAAUGAGUUGAUCCAACGGCUAAAAAACUGGUAGCAACAAUGAGAUUUUGCUACUAAUAGUAGCCCAGUCCAACACUAUAUAUAUAUAUAUAUAUAUAGUGCGGCUAGGAUGCUUAUUGAGCACGGAGGGCUCCGCGCUUCCAAGCAGUUUUCGAUGUUAGGAUUUUCGAAUCAACGAUCGGCUCCAUUAGACUUAAUCUAGAUUAUUUGAAGUGCCUAGAAAAUAAAUUUCACAAUUUUUUGAUAUCAUUUGUCUAGUGAUUGAAAUGGCUCAAAAUCAACGUUUGAAAAUAAAAAUAUUACAAAAUAUGAUGAUACGACAUUAAAAUUUUAGAUCAAAAUUAUUAAUCUUAUUUUAUAUAGUAUAAAAAAGUUUCUAUCAAAAUUUCACGCAAUUUCAAUAUUUCUACACCGUUAAACUUGCAAAAAGCGCACCACGACCAUUAAAAUUACAAACUUUGAAACCAUUCGAUCAUAAGACAAAUGAUAUCGAAAUGAUCACGAAAUUUAGUUUCUAGAUACUUCAAAUACUAUAAAUAAAGUCCAACAGAGCCGAACGUCAAUUCGAAAAUCCCAACAUCGAAAAUAACUUGAAAGCACGAAGGACUCCGUACUUCCAGAAGCAUACCAGCCUCACUCUAUGAUUGAUAUAUAUAUAUAUAUAUAUAUAUAUAUCAAUCAUAGAGUGAGACUGGUAUGCUUCUGGAAGUACGGAGCCCUUCGUCUUUCAAGUCAUUUUCGAUGUUGGGAUUUUCGAAUCAACAUUCAGCUCUAUUAGACUUGAUUUAGAGUAUUUGAAGUAUCUAGAAAAUAAAUUUCGUGAUAUUUCAAUAUCAUUUGUCUUAUGAUCGAAUGGGCACAAAAUCAAUAAUUUAAUAGUCGUAGUGCGCUGUUUGCAAGUUUAACGGUAUAGAAAUAUUCAAAUCACGUAAAAUUUUGAUAGAAACUUUUUUAUACUAUAUAAAAUAAGAUUAAUAAUUUUGAUCUAAAAUUUUAACAUCGUAUCAUCAUAUUUUGUAAUAUUUUUAUUUUCAAACGUUGAUUUUGAGCCAUUUCAAUCACUAGACAAAUGAUAUCAAAAAAUUGUGAAAUUUAUUUUCUAGGCACUUCAAAUACUCUAAAUCAAGUCUAAUAGAGCUGAAUGUUGAUUCGAAAAUCCCAACAUCGAAAAUGACUUGAAAGACGAAGGGCUCCGUACUUCCAGAAGCAUACCAGUCUCACUCUAUGAUUGAUAUAUAUAUAUAUAUAUAUAUAUAUAUAUAUAGUAGGCUGGUAUGCUUAUGGAAGCACGGAGUCCUCCGUGCUUCCAAGUUAUUUUCGAUGUUCGGACUUUCAAAUUGACGAUCGGCACCGUUGAACAUUAUCUAUACCACUUGAAGUAUCCAGAAACCAAAUUUCAAAUCAUUUCGACAUCAUUGACCUAAUGAUCAAAGGGUUUCAAAGUUUGUAAUUUUAAUGGUAGUGGUGAGCCUAUUGCAAGUUUAACAGUGUAGAAAUAUCGAAAUUGCAUGAAAUUUUGAUAAAAAAUUCUUUAUACCAUAUAAAACAAGAUCAAUAACUUUGAUCUAAAAUUUUAAUGUCAUAUCAUCAUAUUUUGUAAGAUUUUUAUUUUCAGCCNGUCUCCUAUAGAGCCGAGUGGGUGGUUGAGUGAAUAGUAUGAUCUAACAGAUGAAAAUAGUCGAAUGUGUAGAUCUAAAUCUAACAGUCGAAAACUUUUGAGUAUAACAAGAUCUAUACUCAUAAAAAUAUAGAAGUCGGACUAUAUAUGUAUAUAUAUAUAUAUAUAGGGCUGCUAUAUUCUUAUGAGUAUAAACCCCUUUAUAUAUAGGCUAUGACUACUAUACUUUUAUGAGUAUAAGCUCUUUUAUAUAUAGGCUAUGGCUACUAUACUUUUAUGAAUAUAAACCCUUUUGUACUCAUAAGUUUUCAGCAAUUGGAUGAAGACAUGUGCGGUUAGUAUGAUAGUGAUCCCCGGUUAGGAUAAUAGUGUUCUCCUAGGGUUGAAUGGGUGGUUUAUUGAAUAGUAUGAUAUAAUGGAUGAAAAUGAUCUAAAGGAAUAGAUCUAACAGCCGAAAAUUUAUGAAUAUAAAAAAACUUAUAUUCUCAUAAAAGUAUAAUAGUGAGAUUGCUCUCCUUUUAGGAGUAUAUGUCCCAUCAUGAUUAUAAAAAAUAUUUUUAUUGUACUUUUGUUUGAAAAGAAGAAAUAUAAUUGGUUUGUUAUUAAUGACAUGGUGCAAGUGUGUAGAAUUUCUUCUCUUUAUAUAUAGGGCUAUAAAUGUCAAAACAGUGGAAACACAUCAUUUACAACAGUGUGAGUCAACAAUUCCAUUUUCCAGAGAUCUAAUGUUUCCUUUUUUUGUUUUUUUCAGAGACGUGGUCAAACAUGCACCUCAGAAUCUAUCCAUAUCAUUGCUCUUAAUUGAGAUGGCAAUAAUGGUAAUAAUAAAUUGAGGCAAAAAAAGGAAAAAAAAAAAAGAAGAAGAAGAAAAUAAUAAGGAAUCAAUUUUAGUUUAUUAGGUAAAAAAAAAAGUGUGGACACCCCUCAACUGUAAACUGCUUUUUUUUUUAAUGUGAUUAAUUGUGUUACUGGGCCCCAACAUUUUCCCCUUUUCUAUUUUUGGUCCCCAAACUUUUUUAUUGGUAAUUAGGCUUAUUAAACUUUGUCUAUAAAAGUACCAUUAGUUUUAAUGGGGUCUUACUAUUUGAUCCUGUGGAUUAUAAAUUGUAGUACUUUGUUAGUGUUUUUAGCAAUAGAUCCUAAUAAUAAAAUAAAUGUAAAAUAAUUGAAUAUCAUGAAUCAUAUAUUGGCAAAGUUUUCUACAAAGAUAAAUAAAGUUAUGGUAAAACAAAAAGUUAAAAUAUAAAAAAUUUUGCUGUAAAUAUUUAUUUUUUUCUGUGACUUUUAAAAUGUAUAUUUUGCGUCAUCAGAGUUUGUCACUGCUCUAUCUAUUUUCUGUAAUUUAUAAUUAAAUGUGUAGACAAUAUUUAUAAAAAUAAUAGAAAUAUUAAAAAAUUAUUUUUUCUUCUAGAACAAAUAAAGAUAUGUCAUUUAUUUUGUCAUCUUCAUUAACGUCUCUGAAAUUAUUUCUGAAAUUUUGAGAAAAUAAAAUAUAGAUUUUCGAAGGUCAGGAAAAAAAAAAUCAGAUACUUAUAAAAUGGUUUUAUAUAUUUUAGCCAAACCAAAACUAUGCUAAAAAAAUCAUGGCUCCAAUUUUACCCUAAUUAAAGUAUUUUUAUUGUAGAUUAAUUUACAAAAGUUUAAUAUUAAGGAAUAAUUGCCUAUAUACCCCUUAAAACUUAAAAAAUUUCUAAUUUGCCCCUAUUUUUUUUUAUUUUCAAUAUACUUCUCAUAUGUUUCUCCGUUAUUCAAAAAUAUUCAUGCUUAAACGCAAGUUAAAUGUCUAACAGAGUUAAAAAAAUCAAAAUACCUCUUUUGUCCUUAACUUAAGAACAAAUAAGAAAAGUUGGUGAUGGUAAAAGAAUAUUUUUGAAAAAACCAAAAAUUAAAAUACUUCUAUUGUCCCUAACUUAAGAGCAAAUAAGAAAAGUUUGUGAUGGCAGAACGACAUAUUUAAAAAGGCAAAAUAGUAAUUUUAUAGAGAUAACGGAUAUUGCUAAUAGUUCACUAACAUAAUUUAACUCUAGCAGUAUAUUUGAAAUAACUUGGAACAUAAAAGAGUAUUUUUAAUAUUAGCCCUCUAAGGCUUCGUUUGGAAUUGCGGGGAGAUUGCGUUCCGUACAUAAUAUUACGUUCCACAUAUUGCGAUUCGUCGGUUACGAUAUAUUUUCUGUUGUUCCAUCGAAGAACGCAGAAGCAUAUCCCUAUUUGCUUUUACUUCAACUCUAUUUUAUCUAAUAACAUUAGAUAGACAUCAAUACCAAACUAAGACUUAAGAGAGAUAAAUUAGAAAGUUGAAAAUUUUUUAGGAGUAUAUGAGCCGUCACCCCUAAUAUUAAAAUGGCAGAAUAAGACAAAAUAGGGUCCACAAUGCCAAAAAGUGGUCUCAUAUUUGUGACAGCCCAUGAAACCCCCCACCCAUUAUAACAUAAACCCUAACCCCACAAUCCGGACAAAAAUUUUAUGGGCAUCGUGCCCAAACAAUUUGUUUGGGCACGAUGCCCAUAAAAUUUUUGUCCCCACAACCCCACCCUCACUAGGGUACAAAAUUUAUGCACUGUAAUUUACUCAGAAACCAGAAAUUGUACUAUGCAAACAAACAAAUAAAUAAAAUAAAAUAAAAGAGAAAUGAAAUGAAAUGAUAUUUAAAAUUAGGACCACUAAUGGUGACUUCCUUCUUUUUUUUCUCCUGAUAUCUUUUUGUUGAAAUUCAUAUAUAAUAGUACAAAAUAAUUAUUAUUCGUAUACAAUAUUGUGAUCGAUUCGAUGUUCGUAAUGUAGCUUUCAAAGAGUAAUAUGAGUUUUAAGCAAUUAGAGAACGAUAUUUUGAAUAUUUAUAUGGCUGAACUGUAAAAAGUCUCCUUGCACUUUAAUUAGCCCAUAUCUAAGUUACUCCCUUGCAUUAAAAUUUGGCUAAAUUUGCAAAAACCUCCUUAUAAAUAUUCACUUUUUUAUUUUUCCUCUCUAAUUUUUAAAAACCUAUAUUUUACCCCCUCAACAUUUUAAGCUGUUGUAUUUAGUCCCCAUCCGUCAGGGUUCCAUCACUUUUUCGCCCAUUUCUUAUAAUUUAUAUUGAAAAUACUCUUUAAAAUGACAGAAAUAUAUAAAAAAUUAAUUUUUUUCUUAUAAAAAAAAUAUGGAUAAUUUGAUCAUUUUGCCCUCUCCAUUAACGCUGUACCCUCUGAAAAUAUUUUUAAAAUUUUAAGGAGGCAAAAUGUAGGUUUUUGAAAGUCAAGAAGGCAAAGUAAAAAAGCAAGCAUUUACAGAAAUUUUUUUUUAUAUAAUUUAGCCUUAAAAAUUACAUCAAUUAUCAUUGCACAUACUAUUGUCUUAUCUCAAAUAGGUCCUGCUAUUUGGAAUGAUUGUUGAAUUAAUUAAGCUAUAAAAUUCAGAAAAAAUAAGUUUGCAGAUGAAGUUAUUUAUAUGUAAUGUAAUAUAAUCAUGCAAGUUGAAUAAAUUUACUCAAUAAAAUAUCAAUUUUGAUGGCAUUACAUGUUGAGAGAGGUGUAAUAAUGCCAAUUCGUUUUAGUAAAAUUUUACAAUCUAAUUUAUCAAUUUUUAAAUUUUUUUGGAUUGAUUUGAGAUGAUAGUAAAGUGCAAGAGGGUAAUUAGCAUAAUUUUUAAUGCACAAAAAUAAUUAAGAUAGAAGGUAAAGUGCAAGGAUGUUUUUUAUGAUUUCGCCUAUUUAUAUAUGUUUAACAUACCAUGCAUUAAUUUAUUUUGUUUAAUAUAUUAAAUUUUAAUUUCUAAUUUAACUAAUUAUUUUUUUGAUAAAAUAAUGAUGUGAUAUUGUGAUGGCUAAUUUAGUUAUUAAAAAAUAAUAUGAUGAUAAUGGGUAGUCAUUAAUUUCAAGUGCUAUGUAUAUAUAUAAUUAUUAAUUUGACAAACUAAUAGUAGUUGGUUUGUCUUCAAGAAACAAGUUAGCAAUCAUAUCAUCUUAAAAAAAUUAAUAUGAUAAUUAAAUUAGUUAACAAUCUAUAAAUUAAAAAUGAUAUGGUAAUUAAAUUAGCUACUAUUUUGUCACAUUGUUUGCAAAAUUACAUGAACUUUAGUUGACAAAGUAACAUGAGUGAAAUACAAACUUUGGUAUUGUAGUUGAAAGAAAUUGAAAAUCAAUGACCUUAAUGAAAUUUUGAUUCUAAUUACAAAACAAGCCAACCAAACAUUUAACAAUCAAAAUCUAUCAACAAUUUUGUAUUAUAUUUAAAUUUGAUUUCUCAAAUAGAUAGGUUAUACUUUGAUUAACUUGUUGCCCAUCUUAAUUAUUAAUACUGAAAAAAAUUUAAAAGAAUUCUAUAUGUGUAUUGGCUACAAUAAUUUUGUGAAAAAAAAAGGGAUAGAGAUAAAGAAUUAUUGCAUUAUAUUGCUAUAUAACAUUUAUACAUAGCUAUUUUUACUAUGGACCACUCAAAUUUGUUAGCUUUAGUCAAAUUCAACCAGUGAUCAGCGAUCAAAUUCGAUGAAUAUUUCGGUCGAUGAGCAAUCCAUUCAAUAAAAAGAGAAUACGAUAAUGGGAAAGUGAAAUGAACGAGAUUUACCAGUACAGUAUAUUAGUGCGCCUUUAUCUGAGCCGAAUUCUGCAAUGAAUUCUACAAUGAAGAGAGAAGAAUCUUCAAUGAUUGUAAAUUUACAUGUGAGAGAAAAUAUGGACCCACAAAUUUUGUUGGGGUCAACAACAAGUGAAUCUUAAGUGCUACUUUGAAGAAGUAUGGUAUGCAAAGAAGAAUUAAUGAAUGCUUGAUUAUAACCAUCUAUAUAAGCUUUGUCCCUUCCAUUUAAGUACCAUGUGCACUUUUUUAUUUUCUUUUUUGGAAAAUACUAUUUGUACAUCCAAAAAAAUGUAUAUAAUUUUAUGCUCUCUCAUUCUAAGGUUUCGAAAAAUUCUUUGGAUUUUUAGUUUUUUUUUAAAACAAAAACCUUGACAAGGCAAGAAUCAAUUUUUGGCCCUUGGAAGAGGGGGCAUACAGGGAGGGGGGGGUACACCUUCAAUAAUUUGCCCUCAUGUGGUGUAGCGUAUUUUUAUUUUGUCAUUCAAUGAUUCAAAAGAUUACACUGCAUGGACUAUCCUGCAGUGUAGCACAUUUUUAUUUUACCAUCUAAUAGUUUAAAAAGUUUUUUUUUUUUUAAGUUACACUUAACUAACUUAACUAUCCUAUAAUACUAUUUUUGUACUACUAUAAGGACCUAUGGUUAAAUAAGGUUUCACCCUAUAGUUUUCAAAAAAAAAUUUCACUUUACUAUCCUAUAUGAUAAUAGCUAGUUAUUUUUAUUACAACAAAAAUAGCACUGUAGGAUAGUUAAAUAUAAGUUUUAAACUAUAUAAUAGCAAAGUAAAAAAAUGCAUGUAAAUAAUAUACUCAAGGACAUGUAAGCACAUGAACACCAAUUUUGUGAAUGUACUUGUGCAAAUUUGCAUACUUAUAUAUAUACAGGAGUACAAAUUCAAAAAUUAGUUCUCAAUCUUAUCCCUCUAUUGGUUUGCUUUUAAAUAACAACAUCUACUCAAAUGUAGAACUGGCAAACGGGUGGGUUGGAUAACCCACGGGCGGAUCAUUGUACUCACGGAUUAUUUGGACAUGGAUAAAAUUUACUCGCAAAUUUUUAGAUAUCCAAUAUCUUUAUCCAUAUCCACCUCGGGUGGGUGGUACUCAUACUUGCAAAUUUGCGGAUAAACCGCGGGCAUCCGUAGGUAUGGAUCGAGAUUAGCAGGUCUACUCAAAAGUAGCGAUUAAUCAAGAACUUCGCAUACUAAAAAGUUCAAUACUUUUACUGUAAUGGGAAACUAAUAAACUUUUAAGAGUAUGAAAAGAGAAGAUUUGAUAUUCCUACUUUUGCUACAAAAAGGAACUGAAGCUAGGGCUGUAAGAUGAUACACAAUUUUUACAUGCAAAACACUAAAACAUUAUGAUAAAACUAAAACUUAAGGAUUCUAAAAAUAAAAUAAAAUAAAAAGUAGCUAAGGAGUUGCUUGAUUAAAGAAAAACCACUGCAAAGUUGCCAAAUCACUUGUAACCUAGCAAUAGUUAAGAAAUGAAGUGUCAAUCCUAAGAUUAGAAGUUUGAGCUUUCUUGUGUGCUUAAAUUCGGAGCUCGUGCUCUCCAAUUUAUCUUGGGGAUACUUAGAAAGUUAAUCUCAUUGGCUUAAGGAAUAUGUUUAAUCCCAUUUCCUAUAUGUUUUCUACUAGAUCGAUCUUUUGGAUAACGUGGUAUCAAAAUUAAUCUUUCAUUUUAUUAGAUUGUGGGUUCAAUUCUCAUGUUUGACAUUUAACUGAUAAUGGAGGUUAAAUCACCAUCUCUUUUCUUUCACGUGUCUUUUAUAUUUAUCAUGCACAUUAGUAGAAGUGUUAGUAUAUGCCCGUUUUCUACUCUUUUGGAUAACAAUCUUUAAAUUAAAGAAAAUCCCUUUGUAGAAAAAGAGCAUGGGGUAUCUCUAGAUCAAAGUAGAGAUCAUGUUGAUCACUUAAUUAUUCCUUGCUAGGGUUUACUUGUAAGGAAUCUUAAUUAUAGUAUUGGAAAAGUUUCUUUAAUUAAUGUGUUAAGUUGCUUUACCAUUGAAUACUACCUACUAAUUAAUUGAUGCAGACGCUAAUGAAACUAACUAAAACAAUUAAGAUUUGAUUAAUGUUGUCCUUAUCUUUAUCAUUAAUUAACUACAUCAAUUGCUAAUCAUUGGUUUUGCUUAUACUAGGUUUUUUUUUUUUUGUCUUUUCUUCUUUUUUUAAAAAAAAAAUUCUUUUAAUUGCUUUUAUGAAUGAUCUGAUCCAACCUUAUACUUUAACAAGGCUCACAACUGUGAUCACAUGCAACAUGUGAAGUAGAUUUGUUUUCCACUCAAUUCCUGCAAUAUAUGAAUCGAUCAAAUCCCAUUUGGUAUUUCUUGGCUCUAUAAAUUAGGUCUUGUGCUUCUUAAGUAAAAGCAAAGUAUUAAAGAAAAACUCCAAACAAAUUUCCACUAAAAUCACUCCAACCACUUAUUACAAUAGCAAAUGUCGAAUCUUUAAACUGGAGCUUCAAUUUUUAAGAUUCGAAAGCUCGUAUCAGUCUCCAACGUAUAACAAAAGUUUCUGUUUCCUUCAUUUUUAUUCAAGUGGUUUGUCGAGCACCAAUUUUUACUGUUCAGAAUACAGAAGUUAUUCUCAAGGGCGAACUUAUAUUGAGAACUAAAAAAAAUAUCCAAAAAUCCAUACAUGUAGAACAACAUGAGAUUAGAUCCAUCCAAUUAUCAUCAAGAUGCUAUCUUGGAAAAGGUGACAUAUAUUAAGUGUAUGAAGCUGUUUACUUUUCAUGUUACUUGAUUCUUACACACCAUUUAUACUCAAAUGGCUUGUAAACCAAAAGAUCUUCUUACUGGUUUGAAAUGAAUAAUAGGAUGGGCUUCUUGUAAAAGCCAAAAAAAGAAGAGUUUUCUUGGAACAUAAGAAUGACAACCAGAUAAUAACAGCUGGCCUUGAGCAAGCUAUAUGAUGGGAAAAGCAAAUGCACUUGCCACAAGGAAAGAACCCUUGAAGGCAUGACUGUUUUGUUAGGCAUGUCUGCUUGACCCUGCUUCUGCUUUCUGUUGCUUUUGCUUCUAACUCACGCUGCUAACUUGAAAAAUAGAAGAGUUUAGAAACUACGCAACGUGUCACAAUGCUUCCUAGAUUGUACUUAAUUAUAGAACACUGUACUCAAUAACAUGGCCAAGCAGACUCCUGAUCGAAUAACGUCAUGGGUUACCUCGACAUAUCAUUUUGAAACUUACAUAUGUCCUUUUGAAAAGGACUUGUGAACUAAUUUUCUUGGCCGAAACUUUUGCGAAAGUACCUAAGUUAGGGCCUAGUUUGAAAAUGCUUACAUAUAAAAACUCAUUGAUGCUUUAGAGCUCAAAUAAAAUCCAAACUCAACCUAGGCUCCACCACCAUUAUGUAGCAACACAUGAAGAUGUUGAAAAUCCAAAGUCCUUUCAAAAACUUUGGAACUUUAAAUAUUAAAGCACCUACGGUCUACGAUGUAUUUCUAAAUGAGACCUAAAUAUAUAGGUUCCAACAAGUAAAUUUUCCCAAAUGAGGAGUAUAUAUGUUCCCACAAGUACUUUGUGGGUUGCACAACAGUUGUAAGAAUAUGUAGAUCCAAAUACCGACCAUCCCUGGCGCAAGUGGCAAAAGAUUUAGUGGUUGGUGUCCGAAAUCCCAAGUUUGAAUCCUAAUUGAUUCACAUUUCUAGCAACAUGCUACCUAUCUCUCAAAAAAUAUGUAGAUCCAAAUUCGGUAUUCGAUUUGAUAUAUUUGAAUCUAACAGUUACAAUUUGAAUUACAUUGAAAGGCACCACUACAGCAGUUGACUUCAAACAAAAGGUAAUAAGCUUACCUUCCUAAUCACAUUUUAAACAAUUUUUUUCCUACAUUAGAAAUAAUCCCACCACCAUAUAAAUAAAGUGAUAAAAUUUUGAAAAUAUACUUUUGAGCUGCAUGCUACCAAUCAAAUUAUUUAUAGUUACAGUACUUUUUACUAUAUCAACCAAAUAUAAUGUAUAUAAUUAUAACUGCUCUAUUUUCAACUGUAUGCAUUUUCAACUACAUUGCAUUUCUCACUUUAGCAAAAACUCAAGAUCUUUCACUACAAAAAAGGUAACAUUUAAGGACACUAUUUUUAAUACUUAACGAUGCUUAAAAGAGUCUCAUUAUAAUCUAGCGUCACAUUUGAAAGCAUCGGUCAAAGCAUUGGCAAAUUAAAAGUCGCCACGUAUAUACCGACGCUUAUGCCAAACAUUAGUAAAAUAUAUCCUGACGCUUUAAAGCGUUAGAAUCUUUUGAAAUACCAGAAUUUUUUGAAAUCCUGAUGCUUUAAAGUAUUGAAAAAUUAAGCAUAAUAGUAAAGUUUAUCAUUUAAUAAAUUAGCUUGAUACAAUAGAAGGUUCAUAUGACGACGCUUUUUGAAGUGUCGAUACAUACUAUAUUGUAGGAACGCUUGGGACGCUUUCUUCAAGCGUCGUCUAAAAAACGUCCUUAUUUCCAUUUCCCAAGCCAAGAACUUGGAUUCUAGAAGUUUUAGCUUUCUAACACACACACACACACACACAAAAGCUUCUUCAAAAGGUAGACCAGGAUAAACCCUAUCCACAACUUAUUUAACUGAGAUAUAUAUAUAUAUAUAUAUAGAGAGAGAGAGAGCUAGGCUGGUAUACUAUCGGUAACACGGAGGCCUCCGUGUUACCAAGUUGUUUUUAAUGAUGUGGCUUCCAAAUCGAUAAUCGGCUCCGUUAGACUUAAUCUACACUAUUAAAAGUAUUUGGAAACUAAAUUUCAUAAUUUUUCGACAUCAUUUGGCUAGUGAUCAAAAAGUCUCAAAAUUGACAAUUUUAAUGGUAGAUUUGAUGCGUUUGUGAAUUUAACGGUGUAAAACAAUUCAAAUCUGAUGAAAUUUUUAUAAAAAAUUCUUUCCACUAUUUAGAGUAAGACCAGUACCUCUGAUCUUAAAUUCAAGUCCUUUAUCAUCAUUUUUUAUAAGAUUUUUAUUUUUAGCCGUUCAUUUUUAGACUACUCGUUUGAUAGGUAAAUGAUGCCAAAAAAUUAUGAAAUUUAAUUUCCAAAUACUUUCAAAAGUGUAGAUCAAAUCUAACGGAGCCGAUCGCCGAUUUGGAAGCCGCAUCAUCGAAAAUAACUUAGUAGUACGGAGGCUUCCGUGCUACCGAUAGUAUACAGCCGGACUCUAUAUAUAUAUAUAUAUAUAUAUAUAUAAUCACAAAAAGAUCUUCUUGAACAAAGGAGAAGAUUAGGAAACAGCUGGAAUUGGCACUGUUUGUUGAUGUAUUGCACUCUAGUCCAAAUCUAAGCAAGAGAAACAGGAGACCAGUCUCAGCUGGAACUCAAAAUUCAAUGGGGGACAUAAAAUGAGCACAAAAGUAUAUUAUAUGUAAGCAAAUGUAACAACAAUCACUACUGCUCCCCACAUGAGGGCUAAUUAUGUGUAUUGUAUGAGCAAAAAAAAAAUUUGUUGGUUUGUUAUUAAAACUAAAUAUGCAUCCACUUGCAACUCAUGUCUCACUUUCAUAGUAGGAGAAUUUAUAGCCACAAUUCCCAUAUUGGUUGAUUUGACCCCCCUCCCCCACCCCUCUUUAAAGUUGAGGAUUAGAUUUUUUUUAAAAAAAAAAUGAAGAGAUAUAUGUUGUCAUACUAGCCCCUAACAAAUUUGAAAUUUUGCUAUUGCCCUGCAAAACUAAAAUUUUGGUGAAAUUGCACUGUUCAUCAUCUAACUUUAGAGUCUAUGACACUUGGUGCUCAAACCUUCAUUUAUUUUAAUUUAUGGUUCAAAAUUUUCAAAUUAUUGCAAGCGAGUUCUAUAAUCUAAUUUACUUGACUAAAUACUAAUGUGGUAGUGAUAUAACAUGCAUCUUAGUAAUUACCACAUUAUUAAUUAUAUUGCUACCACAUCAAGUACUAUUAUUGGCGACGCAUUACUCUUUAACUAACUAAAUUAAACUGUGAGACUUAAUUGUAAUAAUUUUGAAAAAUUGAAUAAAAAAUUACUAUAAAUUAAGCUUUGAGGAAUAAAAUAUCAUCCGCCUCAAAGUUUGAGGACCAAGAAUUUAGCCUAAAUUUUUAAACAAGUAACCUUUUAUUUUCAAGAAUUGGAGAUAGGGUUAUCUUCUGUAUGAAACUACACCUUCGAGGGUUACAUAUAUGGUACUUCAAAUUUUAUAAGGAAUACAUAUAAAUAAAUAAUUUUGUAGGGAUAUAUAUAUUUAAAAAAAUAAUCUAUGACAGUCCUAGGAUUUCAAAUAGUCCUAUAUUCAAGACAUAGUAGGACUAAACUUUUAAUCUGGCUAUAUCAUUGUGGACAGUGGCUAAGACCAAGAGGUUAAGAGAGCUGAGUGAGUUUAGUCUACUAAAGUAGUUCUAGAAUGGAUGAUUUUCUGAAAAGUGGGUCGUCACAGUUAACAUCACAAUCAAUCACUAACUGAAGGUGUGAAAUAAGUCUCAGCUAAGUCAGGAUCAUCCAACAUGCAAAAGCACGACUCUCAAGCUAACGACCAUUAGCGAUACAGCACGGAUUAAAUCUCAUAACCAGAUUAUAAUAAUUUGAAUGGUGGCUAAAUCCAAAAGAUUGAGAAGGAUAAGCAAAUUUUGGACCUGAAUAGUUUCAGAAUGGAUGAUCCUCGAAGCGGAGCAUCACACAAUCUCCAAAUAAACUAAGCUCAAUGAUAAUAAUGUCCACUGAUUUGCUCCCAACCCAAGAAAGAUACUGUGUCAUAACUUGUUCACUAUUCAGUGUUCAUGUCUCUCUAAUUGAGAAAUAGAGAAAAAAAAAAUAUUAUUUUGAGGCAAAAAAAAAAAAAAAAAAAAAAGCAUANAAAAAAAAAAAACAAAAGAACAAAAUCUGAGGAGUUGGGUUUGAAUUAUUUUGAAAAUGACCCAAUAAACAAUUUCAUAAGCAGUCAAAAAAAAUAAUGCAGAGCCCACAUGAGAAGAAGCACAUGAUCAGAGGAGAGAUACUGUGAUCAAAGUAUAUGUACAUAGGUGUAAGUAAAUGAGAAUAUAAGAUAAGAUAAUCCCACAUGAAGCAUAGAGCACAUGAUAGCUAGAAUUAAUACUUAUUUCUCUCUCACCUCUUAUUCAAAAAGUAAAUAAAUAAAUAGAUAAAUAAAUAUAUCUCUUUUAUGUCCAGAUGCAAACUUCUUCUUUGGACUUUGUUGCUCCAACAUGUUUAAAUACCAAUAUUUUUCUUGUGUAAUUUUUUCUUUUUUUUUUCACUCAUCUUUAAUUUUUCUUUUUCUUUUUCUUUUUCUUUUUCUUCCUUUGUUAUUUAAGUGUAACUGCAGGGCCCAAAAUCUUAUGCCCUGUAAAUUUGCUGGAACAGUUGAAAAGUGGAUGUGUUUAAGUUAAUUUUCUGUAGCUCCUUGACCUUGUAGUUUAAUUAUAUGGAUUCUCCUUUCUAAGGAAAAGAUAUAGGGAAAAAAAAGGAAAAAUAGAUUUAAAAAAACACUUUUGGACUUUUUUUUUGCAAACAGACAUCUAAAUUUUUUAUUUUGGAUAUUAAAUCUCCUAAACUUUAUUAAAUAGUUUAAUUAGCAUCUUUUUUUAGUUGAAUUUUUUAAUACAUAGCUGUUUUAGUCGCAUAUCUUGCAUGUAUUACUGUAAAGCUUUUAAAGUACAAAAAAUAAAUUCUUUCUUCUAUUUUAAGAAAAAGCAACAAAAAUUGAAAAAAGAUUCACCUAUCUUCAAUCCAUAAACUUAAUUAUCAAAACUAACCGAAAAAAAAGUAAGUUUUUUUAUAUUUUGAAGCUUUACAAGAUCAUGCGCAAGACAACGAUCAAAAUGACUAUAAAAUUAGUAACUUCGAUGUGAGGAGAGGAACCUAUUGAAUUACUAUAUAAGAUUUAGGAGGUCUAAUCGCCAAAUUUAAAAGUUCAGGGGCCUAUUUUAUAGAAGUGCUUAAAGUUUAGGAAGUCUUUCUAUAUUUUUGUCUAGAAAAAAAAAAAGGGAAAACUUUAGGUUAGAUUAAUACAACACAAAACACAGAAUACUGUAUGACUCAAACACAUUGAUUCAUCAACUUUAAAAAAAUUAAGCUACAGACACGACAAUGAUAUGUACCCAAUAAAUAUCAUAAAUAUUUGAAAAAUGAACAUACCUAAACAUAUAUUCAUUAUUUUUUAAAAUAAAAGGCAUUCUCACUUUUGUUUUUUAAAAUAUAUAUUCAUUAUUUUUUAAGCAAGAUACCAUAUUCCCCACUUCGUUCAUUUUCUAAAAAUAAACUCGACUAUAAAUGUAAAGAAGCUAAACUUUAGACUAAAAUUUUGGAUAUAUACCAACUAUCGAGCUCUUAACCAACUGCACUAGGUACGGUCAGUAUUCAUCUAUUUUUGUUUCCUCACUUGUAUGGUGAAUAUGUUACAUUAAUUACAAACAUAAGUAGCAUUUGAAGGAAACAAACAUGCCUAUAAUAUUAUUAAUUUGCUCUUAUUUAAUGUAAGUCCAUACCUUGGAUAGACUCCUAGCACUAAGUUCACGUCUUACACUUAUUAAAAUGUCGGUGAGAGUAACGUUGAAUAUAUAAUAAUAUUAAUUCUUAAUUUCCUCAGUUAGGUUUUAUUAAUGUCCGAGCUUAAAAAUGAGACCAAUCUAGCUCUUACUACUAUUAUCAAUUUUCUGUCAUUUUAUUCAAGUCUGUAUCAUGCAUCUAUUAAAAUAUCAAAACGCAGAUGGGAGAACAUUGAAUAUAUAAUAUUAAAAAUGUCGUUUUCUAAUAACUUGAAUUUUCAAAGAAUAAUGGACACUAGUGAAGUUACCCGUGCAUUGCGGCGGGCUGAUGCUAUAGAAGACAGAAGAUUCACAAAGUAAAAAUUUUAAAUUUUUUGAAUUACCAUAAGACAUUAAUAAAUAAAGAUAAUAUAUAUUAACAUAUAUACAAAUAAAAAAGAUGAAACAAAUAUACGUACAAAUGUAACAAAAUUUAUAAUUUCAGUAAAUAAAUUAUAAAAAAUAGUAAUAAAAUAAGCAGCAAUAGAAUUAUUACUCCAUACGCAUUUUGAUCGUACUACCGACAUCGGGAGACGAAUCCCCAUCUCCACAUUAUCUUUGCCGCCAUUAUCAACGUCGAGCUCCUUUUUCGUCACAGCCACGUUGAUUCCCUACAGAUCUCUCCAAACCUACCACUUCUUUCCUCUCAUUGACUCCAAAUCUAUCUUUGCUUUCCCCCGCGAUGCUGCGCUACAAUUCACGAAACCCUAAUUUCAGUACACAUACAAUUUAACAACAAAAAGAUAACAAAAAUUAAAAAAAUUACAAAAUAUGAACCAUUCUUAUGCGCCAAAAAAAUGAAAAAAAAAUGAGUACAAAGAAAUCUUAUUUUACUUAUUUUUUCUCAUGAAAGCAAUUUGUUUAUAUGACAUUGGACCAUAAAAAAAAUACACCUCUUACUUUUGUAACAGGGGACUAUUGGCGUGUGGGAGAGCCCACAAAGCGAGAGCAAAGCGAGAGCUUUGGUGACGUUCACAGGUACGCCUAGCCUUGCACCUUCUCGUAUGGCCUCGCAGAGGCACGUGACGCUCCGGCUCAGCACGUGAUCGAGCCCGGAGCAACAAUCCCGAUUCGGCCCCGUUCGCCCCGCCCUUCACAAACUCCAAGCAUUCGCUGAACCCAAACAACGCGCCCGAACAAUCAUGGCUCGACCCAAAUGGCGUUGACGGGUUCGUACUCGCGUUCGAGAAUAAUAAUAAGAAUAAUAGAAAGAAGAGUUGGUUUGUAACAUAGGACAUUGUUGGAGUGUGGUAUUUGGUUUCGGAGAAUGAAGAGAUGAUGAUGAUGGGGUUUUAGUGGUGCUAAUUGUAUGGAUCAUUGUAAUUAUUAAAGUUAAUGAUGCGUUAGUAACUCCUUGUUGGGGAGAUGAAGAGUGUGGGUUUAAGAUCGUAACUUUGUGGGGAGAUGAAGAGUGUAGGUUUAAAAUUGUUCAUUAAUUAAUUGGAAGAUCAAAGGUUUUAUGCGGUUGCAACAAUUGUGAUUAGAAAAGAGAGGAGAUGGUAAGGAUAAAGGAGGUACCGCCACGUGGCAAGACUUUAGGGGAAAUAAUGUAUAGGUAUAGAUAUAGAUAGAUAGGUAUAUUAAUACAUGCCCAAUUUAAACACUAUGAAGCCAUUUAAUGUGAUUGAGAAACCUAGGACGCCAUAAUUUCUAAUAUUGACUUAAUUAAGCCUACUAAAUUUGUCUUGCUCUCUUUCAAUGUUUGCUAGGAUGUUUGUCAUAUUAGGCCUUCUAAGUAAUAUUUAUUAAUUAAGGACAAGGAUUAUAAUUUAUAAUUAAAUAUAAACCACCUUUAACAAGUGUAUUAUUGGCAUGAUAUUGAGUUGGUUAAUAAAUUAAUUUAUCCUAAAUUAGGUUAUUCAAAUUAGUACAAUUUUUCAAAUGCAAAGCAUCAUUAGUUUCAGACAACUAAUAUUGUAUUGUCCUGUACUUGACAGAAUAAAAAAAAAAAAUCAAAAGUGAUUGCUACAAAAAUAGCAAACUAGGCUAGAAUUCAAAAUUUUUGUGAAAGACCGUGAAAUAAUAACUAGUGUUCUGCAAAAGCUUAAGUACCCAAAAAUGGUAUAUUAAUAACUAAAUGAGGCAUCCAAAUAGAAUAUUAUUGGAAGCACGGAGACUUCUGUCCUUUCAAAUUAUUUUCGAUGAUAGGGCAUCUGAAUCUACACAAUUGGAAGUAUAUAAAAAUCAAAUUUUAUAAUUUUUCCUCACCUUACCAUUUAUCUAGUGAACGAGUACUUCAAAUGAAUGAUUAAAAAUAAUUGUGUUAAAAUGUAAUGAUAGAAGACUCGAACUUCAAUCAGAGAAAGUAGUCGAGCUCAAAAUAGUAAAAUAAAUUAAUUGGCUAUCAGAAUGUUACUAGAUUUGACUUAUUUUGUACCACUAAACUUACAAACACAUUAUAUUGGCCAUUAAAAUUAUUGAUUUUACGGUCUUUAAGACCUUGCGAUCGCUGGGCCAAUAAUAUCGAAAAAUUAUGAAAUCAGUAUUCCAAAUACUUUCAAUAGUUAUAUAUCAUGUCUACUAGAGCUAAUCAAGUAUUUUAGCCAGACUCUCUCAAGUCGCACUCAUGGCCUAUUGCUCUGAUAUUAUAUUUAAUAAUGCAAAGUAAUUGCUUAUUUCUCAUAGUAUAGCUUAAGAUCUAGUGAAUGGUGUUCCUACUCUUCAUAUUUGAUACUAGUACAUGUUAUACCAUAUAAAUAAUGUGAAAUAAUUAUUAUUUUCCGAAAAGUUAAGCUUUGGAAGAAUGUUUUUUUAGCAAUCAUAUUCAAUAUACUCUCCCUUAUUUUUAGGCUCGACACUUUUUUACAAACCAAAGAUGUAGAAUAAUUAAAUAGAAGAAAAUUAAAUAAAGCUAGAAGAUUUGUAGGAUCCAAAGUUCGAACCAACUAUUCUGAAGUCAUGUUAAAUAACAUGAUAUUACUGUUAUUAUCUAAAAGCUUAAUUUAUUGAAGAAUAAUAUUUUGUGAUAAAAAUAUAAGAGAACAUACUUGGCCAACGUAUCAUUUCGACUCAACUACUUAACUUUUCAAAAUUUUAUUUUUUCACUCAAUCUUUCAAUUUGUUUGAUUUGAAUCAAUUAGCAACACUUUGACUUCAAAAUUUGAAUGUAUCAUUUAUCUUUACAGGUUUAAUUAAUAUAUAUCUUAUAUAGUUCCCGUAUCGAUAAAUUCAUCAAAGUGAGCAAUUAAUUAGCUUAAAAUUUAAAGGGUAAACUUCAAAUACCACCCCUGUGGUUUCGCACUUAAUUUCUCACCUUAGUAUCAUGUGGUUUAAAAUGUAUCAACUUGGUGUCCUGUGGUUUCAUUUUUAUCUUUUCGUCAGUUUUUUCGUUAAUAUUUAAUUAAAUUGUAUAUAAAAAACUUCAUAUACUCUACCUAAGUUUAUCAAAUAUUCAUUUUAGUAUCCUUUAGUUUUAAUUUUGUUCCUAAUUGAACGAAAAAAAUUAGUGAAAUUGAUAAUAAAAAGAUAAAAAUAAAACUACAUAAUACUAAAUUGAUAUACUUUAAACCACAGAGUACUACAAUGAGAAAAUGUGAAACCACAGAGGUAGUAUUUGAAGUUUUUUCAAAUUUAAACUCAAAAUGCCAGACUAAUAAAAUUAAACAAAUUGAAAAGUUAAAUAGUAAAAUUAAAAUUUUGAAAAAUUGAAUAGUUAACAUAACAAAAUAAUAUGUAGUUCGGAUAUGUCCCGUAAAUUUUUACCAUAUUUUAUAUUCAAAUUUUUUGUCACUGUGAAUUGUUGAAGAGCUCGACAAAAUAGAGAAAAGAAAUAAUUAAUAUAAUGACACAAGUACCGAGGGUUUACAUAACAAAAAUCUUGGUCGAGCUCAAACAAAUUAUACAAUAAAUACUCCAAUUUAAUAUUUUUCUUCUUUGUACGUUUGGAAUAAGUAUAUAAGCAAAAUAUUUGGGAAUUGUUAGUUUAAUAAAACAUUCAAAUAAUAUCACUUGGUCUAGGUCUAGGUCUAGGUAACAAUGAAAAUACAUUUCAAGUUUUAUCCCCACUUUGGACAACAAACACAAUAUAUUGUUGAAAAUAAUAUUUUUAAUAUUUUAUAUUCAACAUUUUUUUUUUCUUAUCCGGACCCGACUUUUUAAAAGGCGAGUAAUACUAAUUAUACACCUCUUUGGGGGUGUACGAUAUACAUCCAAAAGUGGGUGUAAGGGUUAAUUGCAUAUAACAGUUUUCUAUAAACAUAUUGAAUAGUAAAAAUAUUUCUAUAAAACUUUUUAUAUUUAUUCAUAUAAAAGUUUUAAUAUUUUCGAAUAUAUUCUCGCUGGUAGGAUCCAUUAGAAAAAUUUAGUUACCAUAAAAUAUUUAACCCUAAUUAGUGAAUAAGAUAAAUUGACAUUUUACCCUUUUUAUAUUAUUUGUGAUGAUAACAAAGAAGAAGAUGACCGUUGAAAUCUUUGGGAGGAUAUUUCUGAAUAGUUCUAAUCGUUGAGGGUUUUAGAAAGAUAUAUAUUCGUGACGGCAAAAAUAUAAUUUCACUCAUCAUUAAAAAUAUGAAUAUUAUUGAACUUUUGCAGGAGAAAUAUAUUUACUAUUCGAUAUGUUUACAGAGAGUUGUAUGAAAUUAACCCUAUUUUUAAUAUUUUACCAUCAAUGUUAAUUUAAUACGCCUUUUUGACUAGUAUUAGGCACCACUAGCACUGGACGUGCAUCGAGCCGUGGUUAACUAAAAUCUAUUAAACAUAUUUGUUAAUAUAAUUUUAUUUCUAAUGGUACUACUACUUGGAUGGUGAGCAAAAGCAGUGCAAAACAGGUAUUAAGAGCUGUUUAAUCCAAACCUAAGUGAACUAUAACCUUCGUUUUUUUCGGCUUUUGAGUCGCUUAAGUCUUAAAUCAGAACCCUAUGAAACUGAACUGAUCUAUUAGCAAGUGUUUGAUUCCUUUCAAAAAAUAGUUUUUUAGCUGAAAAAGUGUUUUCUGUCCAUCUUGUUUAUAAAAAACAUAGUUUUCAGAAUUUAUGGAAAAGAAGUGUUUUUGUUUCUUAAGAAUAAAAACUACGGAAAAAAAAAAAGUGUUUUUCAUGGACUUUUUGUUUCCUAAAAAAUAGUUUCUUACGAUUUUUCGAAGACCAAACACACACUGAACUAGACGAAGGUUCGAUGGAGUCUUUUGGGGAUGCAAACGGCGCGGAUCUGGAGGUGAGAAGAGUCUCCGAUCCUCCGCUCCAUUUUCUUUGCAGAUCAGGGUGGGUUCGGGGAGGGUUGAUUUGUCGUAUUUUUUGUGCCCACUUAUCGCUCCAUCCGGAGCAGGUCGGGGUGGGAGCUUCACUACUCUGGAUCCAUUCGCAUCCCUACCCGGUUCGGCCUCCAAAUGGGCCGUUUCCGGCCCACUACGGCCCAUGAUAAAUAAUGACUCUUCUAGAAUCCUCCUGGGCCUCCGAGCAGAACCCAAACCCUACUACUACCACUCCCCCCGCUCCCACAUUUCUCUCUCUCUCCCCCACUCCCUGAUCUUUCUAGGGUUUUAUUUCUCCAUCUCCAUCUAGGGUUUCCCCUUCCUCACCUUCCCCAAGCUCCUCCCAUGGCGGCGGCGACGGCGGCGGCGGCGGCGGCGAGCGCGAGCUCGUCGGCGAGGAAGGGGGAGACGUACACGGACACGAAGCGGCGCGACGACGUGCGCAUGGCGAACAUCCUGGCGGCGCGCGCGGUGGCGGACGCGGUGCGCACGUCGCUGGGCCCGCGCGGGAUGGACAAGAUGAUCGCCUCGGCGUCGUCCGGCGACGUCGUCAUCACCAACGACGGCGCCACCAUCCUGCAGCGCAUGUCCCUCCUCCAGCCGGCGGCCCGCAUGCUCGUCGACCUCUCCCGCUCCCAGGACUCCGCCGCCGGCGACGGCACCACCUCCGUCGUCGUCCUCGCCGGCUCCCUCCUCCGCCGCUCGCUCUCCCUCCUCUCCUCCGGCCUCCACCCCACCUCCCUCUCCGACGCGCUCCACCGCCUCUCCCUCCGCGCCGUCGACGCCCUCCACGCCAUGUCCAUCCCCCUCGACCUCUCCGACCGCGGCUCCCUCGUCAAAUCCGCCGCCACCGCGCUCAGCUCCAAGGUCGUGUCCCAGUACUCCUCCCUCCUCGCCCCGAUCGCCGUCGACGCCGUCCUCGCCGCGCUCGACCCCGCCCACCCCGACCUCGUCGACCUCCGCGACGUCCGCGUCGUCAAGAAGCUCGGCGGCACCGUCGACGACACCGAGCUCGUCCGCGGCCUCGUCUUCGACAAGAAGGCCUCCCACGCCGCCGGCGGCCCCACCCGCGUCGAGAACGCGAAGAUCGCCGUCGUCCAGUUCCAGAUCUCCCCGCCCAAGACCGACAUCGAGCAGAGCGUCGUCGUCUCCGACUACGCCCAGAUGGACCGCAUCCUCCGCGAGGAGCGGAACUACAUACUCGGCAUGGUGAAGAAGAUCAAGGCCACGGGGUGCAACGUGCUGCUGAUCCAGAAGAGCAUCCUCCGCGACGCCGUCACCGACCUCUCGCUGCACUACCUGGCCAAGGCCAAGAUCCUGGUGGUGAAGGACGUCGAGAGGGACGACAUCGAGUUCAUCACCAAGACCCUGAACUGCCUCCCCAUCGCCAACAUCGAGCACUUCCGCGAGGACAAGCUGGGGCACGCCGACCUUGUGGAGGAGGUCCCGGUCGGGGACGGGAGGAUCGUCAAGAUCACGGGGAUCAAGGACAUGGGGCGGACCGCCACAGUGCUCGUGCGCGGCUCGAACCUGCUCGUCAUCGACGAGGCCGAGCGCAGCCUCCAUGACGCCCUCUGUGUCGUCAGGUAAGCUAGCAAGCUAGCAUUCCUGUUUGUUUACCCCGAGAGCUAGUCAUCGAAUCAGUAGGGUAGGGUGCGAUAGUAGGCAGCUUACUGAAUCACUUUGUGUAGUCGUUGGGGAUUGCCCAUACUUGAGCUGGGAAGGAUAAGGGAUCAUGAAAUGAUCAAAGUUCGUAUUUUUCAAGCAAGUGGGUCUCGUCGGAGUGUUAGUUCGACAUUGAGAAAGAGAGUGUUAGGGUUUUAUUUUGUCGUAUAAGGAAUACAUAGAUAGUGACUUACUACUUAGUGUUCUGUGGUGGUUCCAAAGUAAGGAGCAAGGGCUAAGACCAUAGAGGAGAAAGCUUAUUGUUUAUAUUUAUCAUGUAGGAUAUAUUACAGGCCAAUCACAUAAUAGCAUGUCUGAUUCAUAAGCUUUGCUUAAGUGUCUUUUGAUAAUUUUAAGAAAAAAUUCAAAAGGAAAUUUUUCUAAUAACUUUGUCCUUCGCUCAAUCUUUCCUCGGCACAAGAUGCGACCGCAUAUUGCCAUUAGGACCAACACAUUCACAAUAUUUGAGUGUAAGUUUUUGGGCAGUGAAGCUGAUAGAGUAAGUUAUAUUAUUGACAGAGAGAUAUAUUGAAUUUGGUCAUUAUUCAUUAACUAAAUUUGACUAGAUUUAAUGUAUCUAAUCUGUCUAUAGUAAAAAUUGCUCUAUCAAUAUCAUUACUUUUGUUUUCAGUUUUUGAAGCUAUGUGUCGCGCUAACUAUUCUCUAUAAUUUAGAAUCUUUUUAUUCUGAAUUUAUAGUUUGUAAAGUUUAUCCUCUAUACUUUAGAAUCUUGUUGGGGAAACCUAAAAGGAGAUAAUAACUUAGCUACCAAUUAGAUAUUUUAUGAAGACAGGAGUUUAUUGUUUUACUACCUGAAUUCACAUUUACAGUAUAUCAGUCAUUAUACUUCAACAUGUAGGCAUGCAAAGGCCUUAGGCAACUAAAAUUAAAGUUUCAGGACUAGUAUGAUAUAAUAAAUCACAAGUGCAAGAGUUUGAACAGUAAAUGUAAUCUAGGCUUUUCUAUAGCUUUCCUCCUUUUUAUGCAAGAUAUUUAGGUGGUAGGUAACUUUUCAUCUCUGUUUGGAUUCCCAAACUGUCAAUAAUCUAUAGCUUUGAUUAGUAUGCUUAUCAAACUAUAGAUCAAUAAUUGCCAGAUUUCGAACUAGAGAGACGAAAUUGGUUAUUGACUACACUUCACAGACUAGAAAUGCUUGUUUUCCUAAAAUUUUUAUUUUUCUAUCUUUAUUACUUGAAUUUACUAAAAUACACUUAGCAUAACCUUUUAAAUGACAUGUUAUUGUGUGAUUGGCCCGUGAUACAUCCUGCAUGGUAGGGAUGAAUACUAAAACACUCUCAUGGGAGAGCAUGUUUGGAGAUUUUUUCCUCUCUUACAAAGCAGUAGUAGAAGAUGAAGCAACACUAACAUGUAAUAGCUUUGAGGUUGAUAUGGUGGCAUAUAUGUGGGUGGUCCACAUGUUAACCGAAGAACUAUGACAUAAUAGCGAUGCAAAAUAGGAUAUAGAAGAUUUUAGUAGAGAGAGAUGCUAGGUGAGAGACAAAGGGAAUGGACAACUAGAGCUUUAGGUUGGCUUUAAGUGAGAGGAGAGGAAGAGUGGGAGAAACUUAUAGAAUGACACAUAACAUUCUAUAUAUAUGAUUUCAAAAGAGAUAGAAUCAUGGAUAGAGAUAGGAAUAAAUUAAUUAUCUGGUCUUUUUAGGAGUGGAAAUUGAUGCUUGCACUUGGUGCAUCUGUACAUUUUGUGCACCGCUCCCGUCCAACCAUUCAUUACAUCUCAAACUUCAAUCCUCAUCAUCCAUUGAUUGAUAGCUUUGCUCAGCUUAAUACUAACUUGGUGAUGAUUGGAUGGUGAGAAUUGAAGUAUGAGAUGUGAUGGAUGGUUGGCUGGGUCCAGUUCACGGGUUGUAUGGGUUGUAUGGAUGCACUCGAUGCACACAAUAAUUUCUUCCUUAGGAGGGAAGGAAGAGAUAGUUUGUGAGCAUGGAAAAGGAGUACGGUGAUAGGAAAUAGUCGGUUGUAACAAAGAUCAAUUUUUAAUGACAGGUAAGACGAAUUUGCUUGAGAUGUGACUCUUGAUUUUUUGUUCCUUUUUUCGAGGUGCAUUGAAAGAGAAAGAGCAAGUAAAGAGUUCUUUUUUCAAGAGUGUUGUAGUAUUAAUUUUCACGGGUGGCAAUUUGUGUUGGCAGGUAGUAUUUGUGUUAACAACAGGGUUAGCUGGGUCAAUUUGAAGUCAUGUUAGUUUACCUCGCUUCUUAUUAACAAGAUUUUGCCUCAUGAUUUACUUUCCUCUUCCGUAGUCUCUUGAAUCAUCAUCUAUGGAGCAGUUUGGUUCUAGAGUACUUGUUUGUCUUUUUUAUUUCAUGCCGUGAAGCAUAGAGUAUAGAGUAUCAAUAGUUUUGCUGGUUGCUAUCGUGUUGUCAGCAGUUCUCUUCUUAUUUCCUUUUUUUUGUCUUUUGAAAUUUCUGAUUGAUUUCAUCCUGCGGAUAGGGGGCAAUAGCAGCAACUGUUACAUUUUCUCAUACCCUAGUUAAUUAUUGCCUGCCGCAUGAAUUAUUUUUCCUGCAUUUAUUUUUAUCUUGGUAAUACCUCCAUAAAUAAUGCAAAUGCCUUAUCUUACCUCAUUGGGUCUGUUUUUAUGUUCCUCCUAUCUGUUGUGCUUUAAUCGAGCUAACCGCCUUUCCUUGUUUAUGUGCUAUGUGGUCUUCGUUGGGUAUUUCACAACCUCUCAAAAGCAUUUAUCCAUCUUAUCUUAACAAUGUUUGUUCUAUUUUUUCUCUGCUGUACUGUUUGGCUUGGUUCAUUUUAGCGCGGAGCCAAUUACAACUUAGAAUAGAAUCGCCAGAACAGAAGAGCGAAAACAAUACUAUUCUAAAGCUGUUGUUUAAUAGCUAUCUGCAAUUUUCUUUGUUUGUAGACAGAAAUUUGGAAUCCCUUCUCCAUUUUAGCCAUUAUAAUUCAUUCUGCCAGUGAUAUCCCUUUUAAACUCUUUUCUUGAAUUACAGAUUCAAGGCUAUGAGCAGCAGUUUUUCUGGCGUAUCUUUAAUGCUAUCAAAUGUUGUUCUUUGUUUAUUUUUGAUACUCUAGUUUACUGUAAGUUGUAUUCAGUAUACCUUUGUAGUUUUGUUAGCCCUAAAACUUUUAGACUUUACGCUCUGCAUCUGGAUUCAUCAGUUAAGAUGGACAGGAGAAGCGGAGUCAGUAGCUGGAGGAAAUAACGGUUUAAGACAGACAAACAGCGGAGAUUAGUUAAAACUUAAUAAACAGUAAAACACUUGUCAAAGUGAGAUUUGUUUCGUUAGUUAUUGCAGUAUAGCAUCAGUCCCUGGUGGAACGUUACCAUGACUCGGGCUCAUUUGUCUGUGAUAAUUAUUAUUGCAUUAUUUGAAUUUCCACCUUAACAAUCUCAUGUAAUAUGCCUAACUCUCCUUUUUAAGGUAACUUGCAUUAAUUCCCUUAAAGAGUGCUAACUAAAUCUCCUCAAAUUAAUCAAAACCAUGUAUUAUUUCCAUGAUAUUUUGUACAUAAGUAGUUUUGGUUGCAUAAAGAUCUUAUAGCAUGAUAGAUAGAAACAUAAGAUAUAUUGGCUUUGUGAACAUAUCGAGUAUAAAUUUUGAGCAAGAAAAUGUUGUUUCCAAUAACAACUUACUAGCAAUGGCCCUUUUUUUUUUGCGUCUUCUGCUGCCAUGGCAUAUCGUUAUACUUUUUUCACUCGUUAUUAGCGUAUGCUAGAUGUUAAAAGUAGUGGGUUGGUCGACAAAGCUGUAUGCAGUAUAUUUGCUUCUUUUUCUUUUCAUAAUGAUUGUUUUAGAAUAAGUCUUCUCCCAUCAUUCUUUGUGCAAAAUUUAAAUAGAAGCUAUACUUUCCGCCUGGUGUGUUUGGUUCUUAGAUGCUUGGUGAAGAAGAGGUUCCUGAUAGCGGGAGGCGGCGCGCCGGAGAUUGAGAUGUCGAUGCAACUUGCAGCGUGGGCGAAGGAGCUCCAAGGGGCGGAGAGCUACUGCAUCAAGGAGUUUGCGGAGGCCCUCGAGGUCAUCCCCUACACCCUGGCUGAGAACGCGGGCCUAAACCCGAUCGCCAUCGUGACGGAGCUGCGGAACCAGCACGCGAAGGGCGAGAUCAACGCGGGGAUCAACGUGCGCAAGGGGCAGAUCACCAACAUGCUGGAGGAGAACGUCGUGCAGCCGCUUCUGGUCAGCACAAGCGCGAUCACGCUCGCGACCGAGUUCGUCAGGAUGAUCUUGAAGAUCGAUGAUAUUGUCACGGUGAGAUAGAAAACAGCAGGGAUGAUUAUGCCUUGGACGUGAACACAAGCAUUUAUGAAUGUCUGGUAUCUCGGAUGACUUUUUCAUUUUAAACUCCUCGGAUUAUUUAUGCCCAGGCCGAAAUGAAUCUGGAAAUUCCGAGGCGCAUGGGUUUUUUGUGCUUUUUUUGGUGAUCAAGUUAGCUCCAUAGAUAGCUCGUAUGUUGGGCUUUUCUUUGCCCUUAUUUAUGGAGUAAAGAGUCUCUUAGCUUGUACUGUUGCUUUCGAGAUGUUUAUAUCUGGGAUCAACAAAAUUUCAGUGGCGCUGUAGUGAUUGGUGAUCAUUUUGUUUAGUCGUUGUUACUCUGGGUACUAAGAACACAAAGUUUUGUUGUUUUAUCUUUUUUUAAAAAAAGAUCUUAGCUUCGUGGCUGUGCACUUUUUGGAUGUUUUGCCCUACUUAAAGAGUUUAUUUAAGUUGGGUGGUUUUAAUUCUUUUCGUGGUUUUUUCUGGUAGAGAGAGCCUUCAAGGGAAUAAAAUAGAGCAUGUGUGGGAAACCAAGUACUCGUGCGGUGUUUGUGAGCUGUGGUUAGAUUGGUGGUAAAUGGAGCUGAGAGAGUUAAGUGGAUUGUGCAGGGUUUCGCUUUUGAAUGGACAAAUUUUGUAGGGUGCAUCAUGGAGACAGCAUCCUGCUCUCGUAUGGCGGAUCUGGUUCACCUAUGCAUUAUCCGGUCCCUCUCCCUGCAGAGUGCGCUACAAUGCAGCUUUGCGUAGGGAUGCAUGUGCAUUUGGUUUAUGGAGCUCCGGAUGGGAACAUAAGUGCGGGCUUAAAACACAGAAAAAUAAUAAAAGAAAAUUGAGCAGGGGUUAGAAGAAGAGUCUCUUUGAUCAGUCCUUGCUCACUUCGCCUCAAUCCAUCUCAAAUAGAAUGCAGUGGGGGGAUAAAAAGAUUAGGUAAAAAUCAACCCCUUCCAAAUCUAUCACGACCUGCCAAAAAAAACACAAAAGGGGUGGGUGGUGGACUCUCGCCCCCCGAAUCUACAGAAGGAUGUAAGAAAGAAAAAAAAAAAGGACAUUAUUUUAACUCCUCGAAAAUAGGAUAAAAUUAUCAAGACCAGCAAGGGAGAUCACUCUCAC